rnacentral:lncRNA from 1 species
GUUCUCAAGCUCAUUUUCUGAUGCAUUUAGUGCAAAGUGUAAGCCAUCUUUUUUAUAAUGCUAAUCUGUUCAUUUGCAAUUUGUGCCUUGAUCCCCUUCCUUAUCAUGUAUUGUAAUGGAAUAGCUUUAGUUAUGGCUUUACUGAGGGCAUUAUGCUAAAAACAUACACACACUCACCAGACAUAAAACAAGUGAAAUUUCCCCUUAUCAUGACAAAUUUCUACAUGUCAAUAAACAGGGUCCAAAAUGCUUUUCUCAUACUAUUUUGUUUUACACAUUUUUCAUGUGCGUUUUCAGUUAUAUAUCUUACCCCCUCACAUAUCCUCCUAUCUUCUCUCAAAUUAUAUUUCUACAGUUUGGCGAGUGUUUGAUAACUAUUCAAUGCAUAUCUGCAGUGAGUUUAUUAGAGAAUAAUGUUCGAUCAAAUCAACCUGUCAAAUCUGUUACUUCACCCCACGUGGAAGAUGAGCCUUUUGAAUCUCUUGAAGAACUUGAGGCUCAGACUAUAGGAAACCUCCUUCCUGCUGAAGAUGAUCUGUUCUCUGGAGUGACUGAUGAGUUGGGACAUAAUACUCAUGUCAAUAGUGGCGAUGAUUUGGAAGACUUUGACCUGUUUAUCACUGGUGGAGGCAUGGAAUUAGAAGGGGAUGAUAGUGUAACUGUCGGUCAAAAAAAUUCUGAUUUUGUUGGGGGAGUUAACAAUGGUCAAGUAGGUCCAAUUGUUGGUGAACAUCCUUAUGGUGAACACCCUUCUAGAACAUUAUUUGUCAGAAACAUCAAUAGCAAUGUUGAAGACACUGAGCUACAGGCUCUUUUUGAGGUGCAUACUAUUCAGUGCUUUGUUUGUCUUUCAUGUGGACCAGUCAAUGCAGUUUUUCUUACAUUUGAUAAUUGCAUUUUGUUCUGUCAGCAAUAUGGGGAUAUUCGAACACUUUAUACAGCAUGCAAACAUCGUGGUUUUGUUAUGAUCUCUUAUUAUGACAUCAGGGCAGCUCGGAAUGCAAUGAUAUCUCUUCAGAAUAAGCCAUUGAGGCGAAGGAAACUUGACAUACAUUACUCAAUUCCAAAGGUGCAUGGAUUUUGUAGUGAUUCUUAUCUUAUGAUUAUCAAUUUUUUUUUGUUCUCCUUGUCAUUUCUGUGGUUGCUUUUGUUUGUUAUUUGGCGUCUUGCUUUUGCAUGUUUCUAUUGACACUUCUUUUUUUUUUUUUGGGUAUUCUGGAUAUAUCAGGACAAUCCAUCUGAGAAAGAUAUUAACCAAGGCACUCUAGUGAUUUUCAAUCUUGAUUCUUCUGUUUCAACUGAGGAGCUACACAAAAUAUUUGGAGUUUAUGGAGAAAUUAAAGAAGUAAAUUGUGAACAGAGUAGCAUUUUGCAUCAAAUUUACAAUAGAUGAAAGUUUUAUAUCCAAUUUAUGCUGUUCCUUUUUGUGGUUUGCAGAUCCGUGAGAUCCCACACAAGCGCUAUCACAAAUUCAUAGAGUAUUAUGAUAUUAGAGCUGCAGAAGCAGCUCUGUCUGCAUUAAAUAGGAGUGAUAUUGCUGGGAAGCAGAUAAAGCUGGAACGGAGCCUUCUCGGGAGUACAAGACGGUAUUGUCAUUGUACUCUUCUUAUUAUUCGAAUUACCCAGUUAAGAUUGCUUCUAAUGAGGCUAAUUCUCACAUUGAUUUUCUUUAACUUUAUUAUUUCUGCCUUUUGUAUUCUCUAAUUGUUUAUUUGUGAACAAAGUGGCUCCUUGUUUCUGGGCUACUUUAAUAAGCUGCUAGCACAUUAAAAUGGUUCUCUACCGCAUCCACCCGCAUCUCUCUCUCUCUCUCUCUCUCUCUCUCUCUCUCCUUGUUUUGCCUUUUAUACUUGUCUCUAAUUGAAAUUUUCUUUUACAGUUUGGUGCCAAAGCCUGAGCAGGAGCAAGAUGAACCCAGUCUUUGUCCAAGCCCUUUUGACGACUUAUCAUCUGGACGACUUGGUAGUUCAUUCUGUAAAAAUUUGUUCCAGUUAAAUAUGAUCAUGUUUUCCCUUUUAGAACAUAUAGUUUCUUGUCCUUAUGCUAUGUCUUUUACAGCAGCACUUUCUUCUGGAGUAAUUGCAUCUGGUUCCAUGAACAAGGGAUCAGCCCAAGUUUUACCUUCAGCUGUCCAGUCACCUGUGGGUUCAUUUAUUGAAUCUCAUCUGAGUUCUAGUGUUCCAAAUAACUUGCCUUCUCCACUGACGAUGGCAUCUAUUGGCAAACAGUUUGGACUUAAUGAAUCUAGUCACUCCAUGGAUGAAAUAAUGUUCAGUAACCAAUGCAUUCCAAGUUUCCACCCUCAUUCCUUGCCAGAGUAUCACGACAGUUUAGCCAAUGGUGUUCCAUAUAACUCUUCAACGACUAUAGGAAGCAUGGCUCAUAGUGUUGGUUCAAAAGUGACAGAAGGAAUCAACAGCAGGCAUAUUCAAGGAGUACGGUCAAAUGGGCACCUGAUGGAACAUAAUGGAGGGGGUAAGUCCUGAUGCUUAUAACAUGCUGGGUCCAUUUCGUACCACUUUUCUUGCAUCUCUACAAGGAGAGGAAUCUGGGUAACUAACUGAACAACAAUAGGAGAAUGGAAUUUAAAGUCUUAAUAUUACAUAUAGCUCCUGGCAGUUAAAAAACUAUGUUGAUAGGCUUUACAAUGCUGACAUGCUUCAUAUAUAUAGAUGUAAUACAAGAAGGAUAAAUCUAAUCACACUUCAGAAGCAUCUGAAUAGAUUUUUGCAGGAAGGAAACGUUUUUAAAUAUAGAACUGUAUACUUAAAAUUUCUUACUGAACUGCUAAGAUUGAGAUCAUUGAAAUAAACGUGCAUAUUCAAAUUAGUUACCUUUCAGUUGAAAAUAGUUAUUAUGGGCAGGACAAACUCUUGUGAUCAACAAUCAACAAUUUGUGUUGCACUUUUGCUCUGAAAAAAAUUUGAAACUUUUGUCUGACCCGUGUUCCAGGAUGAUUGCUUUUGCUGCCUUGUAGUAUUAUUAUAUCCUUAUGUAUGGUUCAGAUGGAAGCUAACCUCAAAAUGCUUGUCUCUCAGAGUUUGGGGAAUUGGAUUAUAUGACCUGGAUGUGCAGCCUAGCUAUGUGGUUAGCUAAAUUGUGUUUUUAAGUGUUUUAUUUAUCAUACCAAUUUCCUGUAGGAUUGAGAGUAGUUAAUUGCUUUGGCAUGUUAUUAAUCCAAGGUAGCUUUUCGUAACCCCAUAGGUCCUUUUCAAAAAAUUAUAAUUUACCAAAAUUCAAAUAUUAGUAGAUAUGAAAAAUAUGCUACUUUUGGAAGGUAGUGAUUGUUUCUCAUGAGAAUGGGUAGUUCAUACUUCAAAAUAGAGUAUUUCACAAAUCCUGUUCUGCAUUGAGUUUGAUACCUCAUUAUCAUUUAUUGUUAACUUUAUAUUUUUUUUCAAGUUAUAAUGCUAUCUGAAUUGAAAUGCAGUUAUGUGAUAAAUGAGAAACAUACAAGGAUUAGAAUUAUUGUGCUUGACUUUUUCACUAAUGCGACCCACUAUGACAGUAGAAUUAUUUAUUAUCCCUUUGCCUCACCCUUGACUUAAUUCUGUUUCAUGGUUGAGAUGUUUGAAUCUUAGCUUAAAGCCUAUUUUCUCUGCUUUUUUGCACUAAAUAGCUGAAUCUAGUGAUGGCCCCGUUAAGUUCCUUUAGAACUCCUGUUUUUUUGUAAAUACUUAGUUUUCAAACUUCGCUUGGACAUUAUUCACUCAGUUGUGAUAUACAAUGUUUGAAGUUAACCUUAUAUUGCAUUAUAUUGUUUCCUUUGAAGUUUGGAGAUAUAAUUCAUUAGUAUUUGUUUUCAGUUGGUGGCAUCAUUUUCAAAUUUAUUAAUCAUUUUGGUAAUUUUCUUCUUACAUAAAAUUCUCUGUAGUUUUUGGAUCUUCUGGAAAUGGAACUGGCUCUCUUCCAGGGCAUCUUUACAUGUGGAACAAUUCAAAUUCAGGUCAGCAACAUCAUGCAAACCAUAUGAUUUGGCCAAACUCACCAUCAUUUACCAAUGGUGUUCAUGCUCAUCACGUUCCACAUAUGGCUGGACUUCCUCGAGCAGCUCCGGUUAUGCUCAACCAGUUACCUGCACAUCAUCACAUUGGAUCUGCACCAGCUGUCAAUCCUUCCUUGUGGGACAGGCGACAAGCUUAUUCUGGGGCGUCUCCGGAAGCUUCUAGUUUCCAUUUGGGUUCUCUUGGGAGUGUGGGUUUUCCUGGUAGCUCUCCACCACAUCCUAUGGAAAUUGCAUCCCACAACAUUUUCUCUCAUGUUGGUGGAAAUUGUAUGGAUGUGACUCAAAAUGCUGGACUACGCACUGCUCAGCCAAUGUGCCACAUUUUUCCUGGGAGGAACCCGAUGAUCUCAAUGCCAUCCCCUUUUGAUUCUUCUAAUGAACGUGUCAGAAAUCUCUCACAUCGUAGAAUGGAAUCCAAUUCCAAUCAUUCAGAUAAGAAACAAUAUGAACUUGAUAUUGACCGCAUAUUGUGUGGCGAAGAUAGUCGAACCACAUUGAUGAUAAAGAACAUUCCAAACAAGUAAGGAAAAAAAAACUCCAUAUUUUCAAAUUUGUCCAUCGUAAGAAUUCUUACUAAAAGUAUAAUGAAGUAUUUUUAGAUUUCUUGUGAACUAGUCAUUUUAAUAACAAAUAUGUUCAAAUGCCCUGAUACUUUGUGGAUCUAGUGCCAAUUUUACAGGGUACUAGUGAUGAAUGAGAAACUAAAAAAAAAAAAUUUUUGUUAAUGAACUAAUUGAGAAUAGAAUGGUUUUUGGUCCUUGCCAUCCAGUUUAUGUUUUGGUACUUUACCGUGAAUUUUCCACUUUAAAACUGUUUAGCAUAGUGCAACUUAUUAUGUACAAAAGUAGUGGUUAAAAUUUAUUGUCGUAUGCCACAAUGGUCUUUAUGCUUCCUUUACCAAAGGAGCUUGGAAGUGCUUAGUCCAUUUGAUUUGCACUUUGUUUUAUCUUCACAGUUUGUGGUUUCAUCUUUCUAUUUUGCCCCCAGAUAUACUUCAAAGAUGCUAUUGGCUGCCAUUGAUGAGCACUGUCGAGGAACAUACGACUUUAUUUACUUACCAAUUGAUUUCAAGGCAAGUAAUCUGUUUCUUUACUGAGAGCCUCACAUUCUGAGCUUGUCUACAGACAUACAGAUAUGCAUAUGAUGCAAUCUUCACAGUUCUCUUGUAGCACUAAUUGAAAUUUCUAGUUGUGAUUUAACAGAACAAAUGCAAUGUGGGUUAUGCAUUCAUUAACAUGAUCGAUCCUCAACAAAUUAUUCCAUUCCACAAGGUCUGAUGUUGCUUUAGUGACGUAACAGUAGUUUGUCAUUCUUCUGUGAAAGGAAAUACUCCUAUGGCUCUCAACCCAUGAAUUUUAAAAGCUAACAGCAAAGGCAAACAUAUCCAUUUGCAGGCAUUCAAUGGCAAAAAAUGGGAGAAGUUCAACAGUGAAAAGGUGGCAUCUCUUGCAUAUGCUCGAAUUCAGGGAAAAGCUGCUCUUAUUGCUCAUUUCCAGAACUCAAGUUUGAUGAAUGAGGAUAAACGCUGUCGCCCUAUACUCUUCCAUACUGAUGGGCCGAAUGCUGGUGAUCCGGUAUGUUAUUGAGGCUUGCGAUUCGCUUGCCAUUAGACAAUGUUGCACCUGAUAAUUUCUAAUGACUGUCAGUUACAUUUUAUUUUCUGAAACCAAUGAUGAUUUUCUGGAAGAUUGUGCUUUUGGCGGUCAAAAUUCUGGUUAAUGUUAUACAGAUUUGGUUAAAGUAGUUCCGUAAGUGGAUAUUGUCCUCAUCUCUAAGCUUUACUACACAAGUUACUAAAUUCUCAAAUUUUGUUGGCCCAUCUUAAGUCUUAACCGUAAGUUAGAUCUGAUUGUAACUAACGGAGAUGAACUGAAACAAUGUCUCAUUUUUAAUGUUGCAGUUUAUUCUUACCUGCCAAACAAACUUGUCAAUCUUCACUAGAGGCUUCUUUUGAUGUUAGUCCCUUAUUGUUAUGAGGAUAAACAACAUCAGAUACGAAGGACUGUAACUACAUUCAUUGUAUAAGCUAUUAGAACUCUGGUUAUAAGAGUUUAGCAUUACCCAAUUAUUUUAUUCACUAGAUGGAUUACAAGUCAUGGGUGAUGCUCUGGACUGCUUGUGAUUUGUUACUUUAUUGCGCGAUUUUUGAAAGAGAAUACAGUUUGACUUUUUUGUUUCUAGUACCAUCCACCAAACAAAUCUGUUUUCUUAUGUAGGAGCCUUUCCCCAUGGGUACCAAUAUUAGGUCAAGAUUGGGCAAACCUCGAACCAGUGGUAAUGAAGACAACCACCAUCAGGUGAACCCUUCUACUUCAGCAAAUGGAGAAGAUUCUUCCAAUGGAACAGACUCAACAUCGAGUUCCGAAUGAUCAGUAUGCUUCCUUCAAGGCACUAACUCUAAAAAUCUGUACGAAAGAGUACAGAGAACCAUAUCCACCCCAAUUCUGUAAACUAGGGGUGGCCUGACAACUCUCUUUUUUGUCUUAUAGAGAAGCACUUUUACAAAGUUCUGGAUGCCAAAGUGCACAUUCAGCGCCAAGUGGGCAACAUCAAAAUUUUCUGUUCCCAUUAAAAAAAAAAAAAGUUUCUUAUCUAGGGCCAAAUAUGAGCAUAGAGAAUGGCUUAAUAAAGGCUUAAAAAUUUUGGUUAGUCUUGACUAGACAAUAUUACGAUGUACAGGAGUUUCACCCCCCACUUGUGCACAGGCUUAGGAGGGAUCUUCUGUGUUAUCGUUUUCAGUUUUGUCUGUAAUUUCAAUUUUCCCAGUGGGGGUGUUCCGGCUAAUUGUUGGUUCAGUUUUUGUUUUAAGGUCGAGUGUGUGGUUGCUCAAGGGGACUCCCAACACAUUGAUGUAUCUCGGUUUUAGAAAUUUUUUUUAAGUGUUAUUUUCUUCUGUAACCAAUGCUAUUUAAUACUUGUAAUCUCAUCUCCUGUGGUUGUCUACGGAUUUAUCAUAACAGAAUUAGUAACAUUGAUGAAUUUGAUCUUGUAGACUGAAUGGUGUUUGUUUCAUGGUGCCGAUAGGGCUUGCGAGCUGUGGUUGAUGAAUAAUUUUUUCUUUUUUGAAUAAAAGAAGUUUUGUUUUUAUGAGUGUUGAAAUUUAGUUUUGCUUGCACUGCCACAGUCGCGAACGGGUCUUUGGCUAUUGGAUGUGGAUGGUAUUGCAAACGCCUUUAGUUUUUACGUUUUAAAUGUCUAAAUUUUAAUGUAAUAUUAAAGGGAAAAUUACUCUACGGCCCCUAGAUUUUAGAGAAAUUAAUUAAGUGAUUUUUAUAAUUUUUAGAGAUCAUUAAAAUGUCCUUCAUUAUUUAAAAAAUAUACUAAUAUAUCGAUUUAAUCUUUCUAUUAAAAUUUUUAUUAGUUAAAGGUUAGAAAAUAUAAUUAAAGAAUAGAGGGUUUAUUAUAAUUUUAAAAAUGCCUCUUCCUUUUUUUAAUUUUUAUUUUUAAAUUUUACAUGACACUUGAAAUUUCAUCUCUUUCUUUAUGAUGAAACAGACCCGAUCGGAAUCACCACCACCAUUGCUGUCACUUUCGUUUCCGUUCGCCUUCACUCUCGUAGAUGAUGAAAUUACUCAUUCCUCCUCCCAUCACUCUCGUAGAUGACGAAAUUAUCCAUUCCUCCUCCCAUCGUCUCUCCUGUUGUCAAUGUUAUAUUUAUUGCUUUCUUUUUCUCUUUACCUUUGACCAUACAUGCAUUGGGCUCUGAUUUUACAUUUGACGUCAUUUUCGCCUCCGUAUAUAGCAUUGUGACGGUGAAGUUCACUGAGAGUAUCAUAUGCUGUGGAACAAGUGGUUAGGUUAUAAACGUUCAACUCACCGUCUCUUUCUCUAUCAUUUUAAGUGGGCAGGACUUUUUCUGUGGCCUCCAGUCUGGCGGAUACAAUUUAGCAACUAAAUAACACAGUAAGUAGUACACUGGUAUUGUUUCAUGCUAGAGAGGAGAUGGAAGUAUCAGCAAUAGAUGGUGAUCACUUUCAGUCAAUUUAAUAUGGGAAUGAAUUUUCUCUUGGAUUCGAUGUGCACUUACAAGAAAUGGAUUGGUGGUUUGUUGGGGAGGAGAAGCAUUAGGUUUAGAGAUUUUAUAGAGGAAUUAGUAUAAUUUUGAAUAAGGUUAAAAUCGUCUUUUUUCUAUGAACAAAUGAAAUCUGUUAGUCUUUUUAACCAUUAUAUUUUUAAAUAAGGAGAGACAUAUUUUAAUGCUCUCUAAAAAUUAUAAAGAUCACUUAAUAAAUUUCUUUAAAAUUUAGGAAUUUUAGAGUAAUUUUUUAAUAUUAAAUUUACAUAUUCUAUUUAUUCAAGUAAAAGUAAAUACUAUCGAGGAGGAUAGUUUUCAAUAGAAUAUUAUCAUGCCAUUAUUUUUUAAAAUUUUUGAAAUUUGAAUCUUUUAACGUUGAAAAUUGUUUACAAUAGAAUAUUAUCCCAUGUACAUUCACCAUUAUUUAACUUAUUGAAUUUUUUUUUUUUUGCAAUUAACUAAUUAUAAUUUAGUAUAUCUAUUACUUAGCUUCCGCUGUAUAAAAAAAAUUCUUGUGAAAUUACCGUUGGCACUAUGAAAAUUGUAAAAUAUAUAAAUUUAAAAAAAAUUGACAUUAGAGCCGUUAAACUUUGAGAUGUGCGCUUUGUUACUUUUCAUGCCCCUUCAUGAUUUUCUCUCUCUUUUUUUUUUUUAUUUUUUUAUUUUUUUAUUUUUAAAUAAAGCUUCAUUAAAACUCACAGAAUUCUGGGUGUUUGUAGUCCACACUUGCUCAUCUUCUCCGUCCAUCCGAGACUUUGCUAAGGAAUAUGCAACCUCAUUUGCUGGGCGAAGAAUCGCGUGCCGAACAACGAGACAGCAAUUGACAAGUCCCGACAAUCCAAAAUAAUACUACCUAUUUCAUUUACGGGAGCUUCCUCACGGUGAACAAGAGUAAUAAUAUUCCGACAGCAUUCGAAUUCUGUUUAGCUGGAAUAAACCCCUUUAAUCAACAGUAGCAUCAAGAGGAAGAAACUGAGGAGGUGUAAUAAUUUCAUGUUAAACUCUAUCUGUCUAAGUUAAUUUCAAAAUAAUUUCUUCUUCUGAGUAAUGAAAAUAAUUCAUUUUUAAAUUUAUAUAAUAAAAUAUAUUAUAUUUAUUCUAAAAAAAAAAUUUAAUUAAUACCAGAAUCAAAAUUUUAUAAUAACAAGCACAACCUUUGCCAAAAAAAAAAAGCACAACAAUAAAAUUCAUAUUUAGUUUUUUUUUUUCUUAUUAUUGAAAGAUAAAUUACUAUUUAAUUUUUAAUUUUUUUACCAUUAACAUUUGAAUUCCUCUAUUUUAAAAAUUAAAUAAUUUAAUACCUUAAUUUUAUGUUCAUCAUGGGUAUAAUUUUGUCACUCAGUAUAAUUAAUUAUAUUUUUAUCUAUUGCUCUCCCAUUUUCUUUUCUCACCUUAUUUCUUUUUAAGAGUAAAGAGAGAGACUGAAUUAUUUAUAAUUAUAAAAUUAAGGGAUAAAUUAUAAACAAUUAUACCUACCCUAAGACACUAACAUAGAACAUAUGGCAGAGUAUAAAUGUGAAAGGGAAUGAAAAUUGGGGGCUAAAUUUAAUUUGCAAAAUAUAUUGGCCAAGUGUUAAUAAUAGUAAAAUUCAGGAGUUAAAUCGUAAAUUUUCUAAAUAAAGCGCAUGCUCUGUAAUAUAUAAUGGUUAAAUGUUACAUAAAUAUAUUUUAGCAUUUUUAUUUAAUAUUUUAAUUUUAAUGUAUAACUUAAUAAAUAAAUCAAAAUUUUUAAAAAAUUACUUUUAAACGCUUAGAAUUUUUUAAGUACUUCUCUUAAACACACGAUAUAUAAUAGUCGAAGCCAGCAAACCCUGUGAUUUCUCUGGCGCUCGCCGAGAGCAAGGGUACUGUUCUGUACAAAGGAAAUAUCAAACAAAGAUACGAACGAUUGCCGUUUCUCUGGGAGAGGGGCAGCGAUUAUGAGCGCGCCUCGUCCGAUUCUCAAAAAGCCAAAACUAGAACUAGACGACGGCAACAACGACGACCGACAACUAGUAAGAAAACCGAAUUCGAUGUCCGAAGAAGAGAACGGUGGAGGAGGAGAAGAGGAAGCCACCAGCAGAGAAGAGCAAGAGGAGGCUUUGGUUGCGUUGAUCGAUCACCGUACUCGUGAAGUUGAACAUCUCAAGACACGUAUCUCCUAUUAUAAAUCUCAGGUAGUUUUUAAAUAGUUUUCUUUUUUAAUCCAUUAUGUUGGUCAUUAUCCGGAUUCUGCAAUUACAUUUGGGGGUUUUCCAAUGGUGCUAUUAUAGUAUACAUUGCUACAUUUUAUGCGCGGAGUGAGUUGUUAGCUUUAUUUUUAUUUCUUCAUUAAUGACAUUGAUGCUUUCGAAGUGAAGUAAAAGCAUCCUUAAUUAGUAAGUCUCAGCUUUCAUGGGCAGAUUUUUAUUUUUGUAGUUCUUUGUCGGAUUUCAAUAUCAGCUGCAGGGGUUUCUUUUCACAUUCAAAAGGGAACAGAUAGUACUUGUUUAAUAAAGGAACUUUUCUAUGUAGUGAUGUUUCAUGACUGCCAGAAUGUAUGCCUUUUUUUUUUUAACAAAUUUUCAUUGUGUCAAAUUAAGGAUAGCUUUAAAUUAAAUGAAAAAAAGAGACUUUAUAGUGAUGUUUCUUUGAUCUAUCAAAAAAAAAAAAAAGAUUGACUUUCAUUCUGUCAAAUUAAGGAUAGUUUAAGAGAUGCACUUUUUGAUGUAGUGAUGUUACCUUGCUUGCUCAAAAAGAGGCUCAAAGUAAGAUGAGGAAUAUUGAAAACCUAAUAACGGACAGAUAAUUGACAUCCUUCACUUAUGUCAUACUGUUUACCAGAGAAUUCAUGUUGGAAAGAUUUUGACGAAUAAUGAAAUUAACAAAGGUUGUGUUUGGAUUCAUGGAUUUUUGGAUUUGUUCAAACAUUGGAUUUAAAAUUUAAAAUUUAAAGUUAUCUUCUUUUGGCAACAAAAAGAAUUUUAAAUUUUCAAAAUGGAGGUGAGUAUCUAAUAAAAAUGUUUUUGGUGGGCCGGUUUGAAUUUCAAAUAACAUAAUCAAUGUUGCUAUUUCUGAUUCUUAUUUUUUGAGUCUUUAUAGUUAUCUUGGAUUUGAUUGAGAUCUAACUUUAUAUUUUUUAAACUUCCCAAACAAGAUAUUUGAUCCAAAUCAAUGGAUUGAAGUGCUUGAAUCCAAAUACAUAAUUUAAUUAUUGGCUAAUUAUUCCUAUGGAAAAGUUUGCAGCUCCAGCAAGCAGAGAAAAGGUUGCAUGAAACAGAAGCUCGAUUGGCUCGCAUUAGGGGACAAAGCAAUGCAGCUCCAUCUAAAGCUUCUAUGGGAAAUGGAACUAAAAGUGCAAAGAUGGAGUGUAGAUCAACCAGUCCUAUCCAUACCAUUGAAGGUGCUCCUAGGAACCAGCCUCAAUUGAGAACUGAACUCCUGAUUCCUGCUGCAAAUCCAAAAAUUUCACAACCUAUAAAAUUGGCAGGGUCCAGUACAAAAUUGUCUGUUGGUUCUGGUGCUCAAUCCAGUCCCUCCAUCCACACUAAUACAGUUCCAAAAUUAAAAGCAGAAAAAUCUUACAGAAGUUCUCCUGAUGCAGAAGUUAAUGAAAUUCAGGAUAGAGGAACAAAAAGGAAGCUUGGUAAUAUUUGUGUUGGACCGAUCAUUCAUUUUUACUUUGAGUUAAUGUGUGUAUGUGCAUUUUAAGUGGGGGGGUGGGAGACUUGUGCAUAUGGAAUUGCAUUUGGCAUCACUUGAUGCAUGGUUGCUUGCUAAGUUUGAAAGUGUUUUUUUUUCCAUCCAAGUUCAUCAGAAUUUUCUGUAUAUUUGCAGAACAGAAAGAACAUAAGGAGUUGAUUCCAUUGAUACGAAGUAGCUCUUCUCCAUGCACAAUCCGCUGCCAUACAAGUAAUCACAUCUCUAGUCAGCAUAAGAGAAAGUUGAGAAGUCUUGUUCUUUGUCCAGUAAAUGAUCAACUGUUUGCGACCAGGUGAUUUGCUAUUCGACCUGUUAAUCAGCAAAAGAGAAAGAUAACUUUAAAUUAAAUGGAAGGAUAUACUGUUUGAAAUUAUUGAAUACUUUUGAACUUGCUUCUUUCAGUGACAAUCAAACAAAUGACAGACGAGAAAAUGAAAAAUGUUUCCAUAUUUAAGACCUUUCACCAUCUGUAACAUGACUAUUCAAGGAUACUUCUUGGUUGUGUUGCUUGAUAAUAAAUGUUGUUUGCAGUAUAUUUAAAGAUGGAACUGCAUUGACUUCAAUAGAAGCUCAAAUCAUCUUUGGAUUGUUUUAAAAUGAGAAACUAAUCAUUUUGUUCCACAUAAACAAAAUGCUCUCAAUGGAAAAUUUGCAGAGAAAUUUUUCUCUAGUUCUGAUUCUGUAGGAUUAUAGAGCAACAGGAAAGAGUGCUGGUUGGAGUGAUGACCAAAUCAGCAAGACCAUGGAAAGUGGACUGCAAGUCAAUGGUGAAACUGUGAAAGUGAUAAUCUCGUCUUGCAUAAGAGCUGUCUGCAUUCUACUGGAUGAGAAGUAUUUAAAUCCACAUAUUAAGUAAUAAAGAGGCGCGUCUAGGAUUAUAAAUGGACUAAUAAGGAUGUAAAAUUUCUCUCAUGUUUGAAUUAUUCAAAGAUGGGUUUGUUAGAAUUCAUCAAGUGCAGUUGCUCGUAUUCUGAAACAUGAAUGUGGAAUAUUGUUUCUCCUAAGAGCUCUAUAGUUACAAGGAAGAAGAUACACGUGCUUGAAGUUUAAGGAUAAGUUUAGCUCAGAUGUUGCACGUUUUCUUGUUGCUUAAUUUUUUUUUCAGCCCAUAAUGUUCAUUUUGUAAAUAUGAAAAUAACUCCUACGGUAUUAAUUUAUCUUUCUUGUUCUUGUAUAAUCUGUAUUAUCCGAAUUAUGUAAUGUUUUGGAUAUAUAUACAGUGCUUUGGAUGGAAUGGUCAACUUAUGGCAACUUCAAUCUCGGGGGUAAGACUGAAAUUUGAUUGCUAUUUAUGCAUUGUCACUGACACAUCAUUUUUUUUUGAAAUGCACGUCUUGGUUAAGGAUAGUCAGAUAUACACGACACUUUGGCACUCCAAAAGUAGGGGGCAAAAUUAUUUAAUUUUGGAAAUUAGGAAGCCAAGCUCGUGAACAUGCUCUCCUGUCAUAUCUGAGUCUAAGCAAUAUGGACUUUGCACAUUUUCCUGUAUUAGCUGAGGUACUAGCGGACAGAAAGAUGUGCAAAGUUGUGUGAAAAAAUAUGCAUAUGCUGCAUUUUAGCUUACUGUAUGAUCUUGUACAUUUGAUAGAGAAACAUGCACUAGAUGGACACUGAAUAUUAUGCAAAUGAGAAAAGUUCUGUUCUGUGGCAUAUUUGAUGCUUUAGAGUUCAUGGUGAGAUUUAAGGUCUACAAUUGUAGUUUGUGUUUUGUUUGGUUGCAAUUUAUGAUCAUUUGGUGGAUGCUUGUUUGGCUGCAAUCAUGUGUGAUCAUUUCUAGAGAGGAAUGCACAGCACUUUAUUUAUUUCUGUCCAACUAAACCAAGUAAAAAUUUGUCAAUUUCACUUUUCAGCACUGAAAGUCUGAAACCUUACUUUUUAGCUGAGUCACACUUGAGCUAGUGAUUAAAUUGAACUUUUUGGAAUAUCUUUAUGUUCUCAGUAAGAGAUAUGUACCUGGACAAAUGAAUGACUGCACUCCUUGCUUGCCACCACCCAAACAUGCACAAAGACACCCACCUUUUGUUUGCUCUGUUUCCUUUUGUUUUCCUAUUUCUGAGGAGGGUUUUGUAAUUGCUAUUUAGCUAUCUGUGUGCUGUUUUUCAUUUUUAUGAGUAAUGUAUCACUUUGAUGCAUACAUUGAACUCUAAUUUUUUAGUUCUGUGAGGUAAAGAUUCUUAGUCUUGUUCUUUUUCCUCUUACCUUGCAGAUCAGGUGCCUCUCUUCUCAGUUCCACUGAUUGUAUGUCUUCAAAGCAUAGGCGGUGGCCAGAAGAUAUGGCUUGGCACCCACUGGGGAACAACCUAUUAUGUACUUACAGUGCUGAUGGUGGGGAUUCUCAGAUAUCAAUUCUAAAUUUGAAUAAAACACAAGGGGUAUGGAUCUUUGUUAAAUGAUUUACUUUCUGAAUAAUAUUCUAAUUUCAUGUACAAUAACCUGUUUAAAUUGAUGCACUUCCGUAUUGUUGUGGAGUUGGCAAUGAACUCUUUCUACUUAUUUACUUUGGCAGAGGGCCCGUGUGACGUACUUAGAGGAGAAGCCUCAUGUCAAGGGUAUAAUUAACAGCAUAAUGUUCAUGCCCUGGGAAAAUGCCUGUUUUGCUACGGGUGGUAGUGAUCACGCCGUUAUACUUUGGAAUGAGAAAGAUACUGAGAAUUUAUGGAAGCCAAAGCAAUUGCAUAGGAAUAUGCAUUCUUCAGCUGUCAUGGGAAUUGCUGGAUUGCAACAAAAGCAUGUAGUUCUGUCGGCUGGUGCAGACAAAAAAAUUAUAGGGUUUGACGUUCAGGUAGGGAGAGCAGACUUCAAGCAUCAACUAGAUAGUAAAUGCAUGAGUGUUCUGCCUAAUCCAUGCGAUUUCAAUCUAUUCAUGGUUCAGACAGGGUAAGUUUUUUUUUUUUGGAUCCAUGUUAUCUUUAUUUAUUUGCUGAUUAAUGCUCUGCUUUGUUACUUCCGGAAAUCUACUCAAUUAGCUAGGUUUAUUGUUGUAUUCAUGUUCACAAACACACAAUUCUUCCACCUGGUUUCUUGAUAUGCCAUGGGUUUUAAAUUUAGUAGCAAAAGCUAAAUAUCCAAUGCAUGUAAUUUAUGUAAAUUUUGAACCUCUUUUCUAUAUAAUCAAGAUUCAAUACACAUAUGAUAGGUGGUGGAAGAGCAUUUUAAUGUUGCAGAAACUUAUCUUUAUCCUUUGAAGAUAAUGCUUUUUCUCUUUAUAAUUUUCUGUUAUGUGUAUGCCGCUUGAAAGUUCUGAUCUGAGAUGUGACAUAUGCAGGACUCCUGAGAAGCAGCUGAGAUUGUUUGAUAUAAGACUUAGGCAGACAGAGCUUCACUCUUUUGGGUUUAAGCAAGAAAGCAGUGACUCUCAGUCAGCUUUGAUCAAUCAGGCUUGGUCUCCUGAUGGUUUGUACCUGACAUCUGGUUCAGUAGAUCCUGUGAUCCACCUAUUUGAUAUCAGGUACAAUUCUCACAAGCCAUCCCAAUCUGUAAGAGCUCAUCAGAAACGGGUUUUUAAAGCAGUAUGGCAUUACUCUCACCCACUUCUGAUUUCUAUAUCUUCUGAUCUGCACAUUGGGUUGCACAAGAUAUAGCAGUUUUGUGAACAUUUUGGGCCUGUAAAGGCAGUUUCUUCAAUAGCUCGUUUUGCAUUUUGAUGCUCCUUGUUUCAAUUUGAGGUGAAAGAAAUAUAAGACAAGCCUUUGGAGAAUGGCUUGUCUGAGAACAUGAUUUGGCAUAUUUUGCCUUUGAGAUGUAGGAAAAACGAUCCAAAAAUUUUGAACUAGUUGCAAACAGAUAGAUGUUAGCGUUGGUCCUCUAUAUAUGUUCUAUAGGUAGACGCUUGCAACAAACCAGCAGUAUAAUGCUUGUAAUUUUGUUGAGCACUUUUUUGGUUGUAAACUCGUAAGAAUCAAUUGAUUACCUCCUUCGUAACAGCGUUUUAUGUUCUUUCAUGACUCGAAUGCAAUAUGGCAAUUGGGACGGUAAUUACAUAUGCCAAACUAGUAUAAAAAAAGAGAUUGUUGGCUUCUAAUUCGUUCUACGAAACCCUGCAACAAAAUAUUCUGGACAAGCGUCCAGUAUUGGCUGCGAAGAAAAAUUAAAAUCUUUUCGAGUUAGUGGCACCCAAAGUUUACUCCAAUGACAACAGCCAUCAUCAGUGUUACUCAAAUGAUUUUCAAAGGUAAAAAAUAUAUAUAUACACCGAAGAGGAGUCGCUUUUACUGAGAACGACAUGUCAUCAAACAUUUCACUGGAGUCGAAUGUCCGUUAAAUAAAGAAAAAACAUUUCACUCGAAUGGCUCGUCAAUUGGAGAUUUCAGGAAUUAACGAGCAUUACCGCAAGUCGAAGCAAAACGAUUCAAGUAAAUGACGCGUCGUUUAAACUAUAUAAAUUAAUUACCCCAGCUGCCCAGCGCUGAACUGCUGCUCCUGAGUCCUUCCGAGUUUCCUUGACACCGUUACUCUGCAGAGAAUCGUGAAAUUAAAAGCUCGGCCUGUUAGGUAAUUCUCUUUGCCCGUCGUUUAGCGAGACCUAUUCUCUUCUCUUCCUUUUCCUGCACUGUUGGUGGUAUAUUUUCCAAAUAUUUAUACUCUUUAUUUUAUAUCUUUAGUAUGGCGUAAUCUAUAAUGUAAUUAGAUUUUUUUAUUAUUAUUAAAAUUACAAAUUUAAAUCCAUUACCGUCUACUAAACCUACCAUUAGAUGUGCCAUCUGGUUAAUUGUUUUUCGAACUCAUUUGACUGUUGACUUUAGUUGAAUCUGGUGAUGGGAAUGGUUUUUAAAGGUGAAUGUGGCUGACAGGUGUUUCUGUUUAUACAAUGAAUAUUAAUCUUCUGGUUUAUAUCAUAGAAUAUAUUUGUUCAUAUAAACUUCUAACAUUAAAAAAAUUAACCUAUUUAUUGAAAUUGUUCUCUUGUAUGUUUGGAGGAAGAUUUUAGAGGUUAUGUUGGGUAUGGGUUUAUAAGGUAUACAUGUUCAGGUCACCUGAGUGUUUCUGGUUUUCAGUACUAUCAGUUUUGUCCAUGGCGUGGCAAGAGCGGAGAAUCCAAAAGGAAAUGGUAGGCUGCAGGUCCCCUGAAUGCCAAAGAAAAGAUUGACAAGAGGAAUAAGGAGAUUCAUUCUCCUUCUUCAGAACCUGCACAUGGCUCUAAAUCUACUUCUGUUGGCCAUCUAACUAGAAUGAAUAUACAACAAAAAAGAGAAGGAUGUGAACAAAAUUUCCAGUUCUUUUUGUAAUGGAGAAACAAAAACAGAGUGCUACAUGUACCACGCUUCCUCACGAGGGGAAAAAACGAAGUUGUGGACAAGUUCAAACCAAGGAUGGAGCUUUUUCUCUUUGACUUUGAACUAAAGCUUCUCUAAGGUAUCUUGUUCUUGCAUUAACAAUGAAGCUUGAUUUGGUAUCUUGCGACCAAGCAAACUAGACACACAUAGAGACAGAGAGUGGCAGCGAGAUGUUCCCUAAUGGUCAAAUACUGGCUCGGCAAAUGAUCAUCAGUUAUCGUCAAAGAAGCAAGCAAUUGUCUGCAUCAGGAAAAUGUUCAGAACUAAUGUUACUUGCCUGCAGCCGCACAGUCACAUACUCUACAACAUAUUAAAGCAUCGAAGAACCAACACCUGGACUGGCAGUGGGAGUACAUCUGUUCCUUCUUCAUAUUCUUAUCUUGGGCCACUUAAUCACAUCAUCUAACAAUUGAGUUGAGAAAAGGUCUUAAAUUUUCUGGAACUUGGAUAUUAUUUUCCAGUUGCAUUUGCAAAACAUCUCCCUCUACUGAGAACCUGAAGCAUUUGAUUUGUGAUCCAUUGUUAAAUUUCCAUGUUCAUGAUAAUCGAUGCUUAUUCUUGACAGCUCUUGCAGUAAUGUUCUAGUCUGUAAUCAAUACUGACUGGAAACUGAUGGAUUACAUUUCAUGUUCAACUGUAAAAAUCCAACUGUUACCCAAUAUAUGCACUGUUUCUACUAUGCUUGAUCUAUUAUUUUUCAAGGAUGCAGGUUAUUUUAGUUUAUGAAUGUACAAGUGUCCCUGGUAAAUUAACAUCCUUGACUUCCUGUUAGAGACCCACUGAGCUCUGACACAAGCCGUUUUCUUGUCCCAGGAUGAAGAUGGACGACUUUGGCCCUCUUCAGGACUUGAUUUGAAGUUAGUGCGUCGAGAUAUCUUUGGUCUUCUUCACAGUGGAAAGCCCAAAAGAGGAGUGGAUUUCCUAUUGACAUGGGUGAAGAGAUGAUAUGACGUUGUACUCCUAGGAACAUCGAAUCUCUCAUUUGCUUGCAAUUGCCUGGGUAGAGUGGCCUCUUGAUUUGCUCUCCUAGUGAUUGUAUUGCCUCACUAAAAAAGGAAUAACCACUCAGGAGUUGAAGCUAUAUUCACAUGGUAAGUGGGCAGAGGUGCUUCUGAGUUCUGAUUGAUGUAUUCAUACCUCAUUUAACCCACAAAUAUGUCAACCUUUAAAUAAUAAAAAAAAUUAUUAUUUAAUUCUUAUAAUAGUUAAAAAUUUACUAUUUAAUUUUUAAAAUUUAAAAAUAUAUUAAAAUAUUUAUAAUAUUAUAAAAAUUUAUUAAUCCGUCAUUCAAUUAAUUUUGAUCAUUAAAUAUUAAAAAAAUUUAAAAUAUUCUCAAAUAGAAAUACUAUAAUUAAUAAUUUUUCAUAAAAUUGGGAAAUUAAAUAAUAAUUUUUUUUUAAAUUAUAAAAAUUAAAUAAUAAAAUAUUUAAUAGUUAAAAUUAAUAUAAUGACUAAUUAAUAGAUUUAAUAUAUUUUUUAAAAAUAAGUAAUCAAUUAGUGAAUUUCUUCAAAUAUAAGGACUGCACAGUAAAUUUUUCUAAAUAAUAUUACUGAUUAAUGGGAGAUGGGGUCUAGCUAUUAUGUUUGGCUUUUAGGGGGGUUAGUAGUUAGCCUGCCAUUGAUUUGGACCCCUCUUCUCCCACACAGCAGCGGAUGCUCUUGCUUUAGCCGUAUUUUGCCAUGUCCUCUUUCUGCCUUUUGCACAUUUAAAAUUUGAGAUGGAGCAAAAGCAAGCAGGAACUUCAUAAUUGUCUUAGCUUGUGGCCCCCAUUUGUUGAUGUCUCUCUCCUAAUGUCUGGUUGAAUUCUUAGAUUUGUUAAUUAGAUUUUACUCUGACAAAGAGCACCACUCCAAGAAGCAGUACGCAUACACUGAACCUUAUGAUUAUACUGCCUUUAUUUGUCAAACCUAUUGAUAUAAGUCUUUCAUUUGUGGCCUAAAAGGCUAGACUUAUUUAACUCAACGAAGUUCUUGUCCUUAACUCCAAUAACAGGCUGCAAGUUUGUGGUCCAUUUGUCCUUCCAACAUCAUUAUGAUUGUCUACUCUUUACAGUAACAUGAGCUUGGACUUGAGCAAACGCUACAUGGCAUUACCAUACUUGUCUCUUCUUUGAUGUAGCAGACCAAUUGGCAAUUGUUAUGUGGUUAGAAUAGGUGUAGUGUUGGAGGAACAUCUUAAAAAACGUAAAAAUAUGAGUAAUGAAAGAAUUAAGCUUCCAUCUUAGUCGCUGGUUUGGCAUCUGCUGCUUGGUUACAGAGAAGGAAAGAGUGAAAGCUCAUGCUGUUGGGGUUAUAGGUUGUUGCAUGAUAUCUUGCAUCAAAUCACGGUGGAAGCAUUAAUUAAAUAAAUUAAAGCAUCCUCAGAUGAACAAUUUCAAGCUUUUAUCAGACUCGUAUUUGGCCCAUUAACGUGUCCAAGACUAUAUUGGUCUUUUAAUUUUGUACAAGCCCAUUGUCUAUAUUUCGCCCAUCUUAAUCUAGUGUUAUUAAUUAGCUACAGAAGUCAAGGAAUCUUGGAAGAAAUUUAGGAUGAUCCUUUUACAUGACGAUCAAAGAAAAAUUACAGUGAUCCAUAAAUAUCUAAUAAUAUGGCCUCUUCUCCCCUUAGCUAGUCAUAAAUAUUCUGCACACAAAUAUCACUUUUAUGUUUCUAAUUUCAAGAUACAUAGUGAUAAUGGCUGGAUUUCACUAUCCCGAUAUAAGAUCGGGUCCACAAUUAUAAAAUUAGUUCAAAAUCCAUGAAAUCUCUCAAGCGGACCGGUCCAGAUCAUUCGGCCUCAAGAUUAGGCCUUCCUUGGGUUUCAGUCUCUUCACCCCAAGCUUGGCCAUGAGACUCAGCAGAAAGGGGACAACCGACCCAGCCACCUAACAUUCCUGUUUACACGCGUGUCUGAAAAAAUUAAAUGACCGUUUUAUAUGAAACAGAUGUCUAUCGUUUUUGUAUGUAUAUAUCCGUAUGACAGAGACAGAUAACCCAAUAACUAUAAGGUCAUUAGACGUUAUUAACAGACAAAAUAUAAAAAAAAAAAUAUUUUCCUCUCAAAUUAAUCAUAUUCAAUUAUUUUAAACCGUAUUUUUCUGGUAUUGGCAUCCGGUUUUGAAGAAAAAUGUUUAAAUACAUGGAUUCUGUACAAUUUCAGAUAAUGGACCCACUAAUUGUGCUGACGAUGAAUCAAGUCAAGACAUCUGAUAGUUUAGUAUAAUAUUAUAUUAAUUUAUUAUUAUUAUAAGAUUUUAAUACUGCAAUUGGACAGCAUGACAUGUGAUGGAUUUAGAUUUUCAGUCUUCUUUCUAUUCUUUAAUUUCCAAAGUCGCCCCUAAAUUCCUAAUGUUGUCUUAACUUGAGAUCUUAUCAACCAAAUGCUUUCUUAUACAAAGUCAUAACAACCAUUGAUCUUAUGGAUGAUUUUACUCUUUUUUCUUUGUUAAUAUUCAAUGUUGAUUGAUAGUGCACAUGUAACUGGGAAUCUUAUAAAACUUCCAUCAUUUAGAAUUACUUUCAAUCAUGCUAUUAUAAUGAAGUAAAUUGUUUUACACUAGAGUGGCAUUUUGGACUUUUCAAGGACAACCUACCGCCACCAAUUGGCCUAUUUCACGCCGUCGAAUAAUUUCUCAACAAUCUCCUAGGGGCAAAAUCCGUCUUCCAUUAUUCAAACUUUUAAGUCGUUGAAGCGCGUUAAACGGCCGUAAGAGCAAAGGUCGUUCAUUUUUUAAUCGAGUCACCAAGUCCAAUCACAUACCGUCAAAACCACUCCUCCUAACCACUAAGGGGUACUAAAGUAAAUUCAUAUACAGCCAUGAACUAAAUAGAUAUUCUCUCAGCUACUCUCAUUCCCAGUUGGCAGCUUUUAAAUGGAUAAAAAGGUUAACCGCAAAUAUAUAAAUUCCGUAUCUGAUCAGAUCCCCCCCCCCAUUCCUUGGCUCCCUCUGCCGUUUGGCUAAAAUAUAUUCAAACAAUUUUUGAAAUAAAAACUUAUAGAAAAAUUCAUUUGUUUCGUUUUUAUUCUUAUUUUCUGGUUUUCAAUGAAGAGUUUAUUUUUUAAUUAUUCAAAAAUUUAUUUAAAAAAUUAAAACCAUAGAUAAUUUUAUAAAAAUUUAUUUAGAUAAACUCCUACGAAAUACUCCGUGCCAAGGAAGUCUAAACAAACGCGCGCAGUGUUAUUGCGGUUCUCCUGAGAAAAAUUACUGCGAACGGGAAUUGUCCUUCAGACAAUUAGACCAAGGCUGAGGAGGGAGUGUGGGACCCGCAACUGUAUCAAACUCCAAUAACUACACGUUCAUAGAUUGGAGACUCGGUCUCUCUCCGCUUUUUCUCUUUUCUUUUUCCAUUUCUCGUUUUUCUAUAUCUUUGAUCCAAACACACGCAUCUAUUUUGGGAGCUCUGCUGCUGAGUUGUUUUUAGUGGCGGUGGGAUGGGAAAUUGCUUCUCCGACGAGGCCGGCGGAAAAGCGGCCGUUGGUGGCACUUCCAGUGCGACCGGUGGCGGUGCUGCUGCUGCGAAUGAUGCCAUUGAUUACUACCUCAAGUCUCGUGGUUUCCACGGCAUCUUUUCUCAGAUCGAGGUAGUUACUUCUUCUUGCGUUUCUCGCUCGCUUUUGGAAAUAUUUCUGUGGUUUCGUUGAUAAGCAUCGAUGCGGAUUGGAUCCAGAGCUUCUACUCUCUAAAUUCUGUUAGUGACAUGGUUUUUGGAGUACAUUUUGGAGAUGUUAUGUGCUAAGAAGUUCUAGGAGUGGCAUUCUAUAUCUUCAUCUAUAGCAUUUUGUAAAUAGCGGUUUGAAAGUAGCUUUGAUUUUUAGCUUUUGCUUUUAGCGGUUUUUAAUCAAUGAUAAAGUCGCUGGGAUGCCAGAGAAGGAGUUAAUAACUUAAUAGAAACAGAAACUAUCAAAUUGAACAGAGUGUUGGGAGUGCUUUUUUUUUUUCUUUUUCAAUUUUCUUAAGCAGUAGCAUAGUUUUGACGUUAGUUUUAAUUUCAUAACUUAAGGAAUAGAGGACUCAGCCAUCGAAAACUAGAUCAAUUCCCGUGAUUAUGGAGUAGGACUGUAGAACAAUUGAUUGAUUGGUCAGCAUAAGAUAAAUUUUAGCAUCUUUUACUGGAAACAACCUUCUGUCUUUUCAGAAGCUAUUUUGUUAGAUGCCGAAAAUUUUAGGUUAACUUUGACAAUCAUUAUUGACUUAUUAAAGUCAUGCUUCUCCUUAAAUUAACAACUACUAUAAAAUUGGACUAGUGUUGAGCUCGGUGGGUGAUUACUUGGAAAGAAUAUUUGCACUUGGUGCCAGCAACGGGAUUUUGCCAAUUGAAUUCAAUUGGUAAAUUAAGCAUUUUCCUUGUUUCACCAUGUGCAUCAAAUUGUAUUCCUGGCUUAAUAUUUUCUUCUCUCUUUUUCUUUGACUCCUUGUAAAACCAUAUGUGCAGCUAUCAUUUUCUGCUACAAAUUUGUGUGAUCGGGAUGUGCUGUCUAAGGUUUGUUUCCUGAAUUCUUACUAAACUUUGAGUUUUCGUUGAUGUUACACUAAGGGGUAUGAUGAAUUUAUGCUUUGUCAUAAAUAUUUGCUUAAGCUUUGUAAAUUUUUUAUAUGCAGCUAUAUAAAUUUCCUUCAAACUUUUUUUUCCCUGUUUGACACCAGAUUUUAUUUGUUCAAGACUUCUGCUUUGGAUACUUCUUGCAUUUCUGUGUAAAAAUGUAUGCAGCAUACUGUUACAAUGGAUUCUUAACUAAUAUUGGGUGAUAUUAAGAAUCCAGAAGUUCUUUGACAAUUUUCAUAUAUUUGAAAGUCAACAUCUUAAGUUUAACAUGUGGCCAUGCGUACAACAAUGUUUGUUAAAGUGCAAUGCUCUUGCAACCAUUUAGCAAGGUAAUAUACUUGUGGAACUAAGCAUGAAGCUAUACCCUUGAAUUGUUAGUAGAGGUGCCAUUAUGUAAUUGUUUGUCAACCUCAUUAAUCUAAAAUGCCAUAAACAAGUAGAUAUUACCUGAUCUUCCCAAUGAAUUCAUAAUGCUAGACACAGAGGGUCUUUUGGUGGAAAACUGGUGGGAAACUGUUAGAAAGAAUCACCAAGUAUCACUUCUUGCGUGGUCUUUGGAAUUUGUUUCUCCAUGUGGACAGUAGCCUAAAGCUAGAUUAUAUUAUCAGUUACCUAAGUAAUCUUUUGAUGUGGCAUUGGAGGGAAUUACUAGUCCCACAAGGCACUGAUGAAAAUUGUUUGGCUAUUACAGUUGAAGAGGUUAACAUAUCAUAAUUAUAUGGCAGAGUAUAGGUUUGGGUUUGUGUUGACUAACAUAAAAAGUUCCUAAUUAGAAGGGUUCAAAUCUUUGGGAUCCUUAUUAGGCUUGAUUUAAGAAAUUUUAUUCUUAUUGUAAAUAUUCUUAAUUUAGGUUGAUUCUUUGUGUAUAAAUACUCAAAUCUUAUAAAUAUCAAUUCAAUUGGAAUAGAAUAAAAAAUUCCUCUCAAAAUUCUUCAUGGUAUCAUAGCGAAUUUCCUGAUUUUAAGAUUUAAAUUCAAAUUUUCUCUUAGGAUUUCUAAAUCCCUAGAUAUACCUUUUUGGUACUACCUUACCUAGGAAUCUUUUUUCAUCUCACUGCCUCCACUAGCAUGGUCGUUAGACCGUCGCGGUCCAGCUCCGAUGUUGGAAAGCCACGUGCGUGAGGCUCACUCGCCAUCGCAAGAUUCUGCGUCUUUCCCACGCGUCGGCGCGUGUAACGUUUUUCGGUGAUUUUUUUUUAUGGCAAUCUUUUUUGGCAAACUGGCCUUCAAGUCACACCUCUGACCUAUAUGGACUCGCGACUUGGUUUACCUUUUUUCAGAGUAGGAGAUGUUUUUUGGUGUUUUUUGGCAGUGAUCCUUUCCGGCAGACUCGCCUUCAAGUCGCGCUUCUGAUCUGUUGGACCCAUGCCUUUUUCGCCGGUGAACAAUAAUUAUUUCUUCAGUGAUAAUAAUUUUUCACUGUUUUUGACAGAAAAAGAGUGGUUUCUUUUUGAAAUGGCAGUGACUUGUAUAGGCAAUAUAAGGACUUCUGAUAAUGCUUUUGUUUUGUUUCUUGAUUCUGCUUCAUGGAUUGUUGAUUCUGGUGCAAAUAGACAUACGGGCUUCUUUGAAGACUUCCUUAAUUAUCUUCCAUGUCUACAAAAAGACACUAUCGGAAUCGCAAAUAGUUCUUCGCUCCUAUAUCUAGAGCCGAUUCUAUUUUUUGUACUCCAAAUAUCAAACUAUCUUUUGUUCUUUAUGUUUCUUGUUUUCCUGUUAAUCUUUUAUCUGUUAGUGUUCUUAUCAAAACACUUAAUUGUAAAAUUAAAUUUUUUUCUGACCAUUGUGUUAUUUAGGACCUUCAAACUAAAAAGAGAAUUGGCAAUGGUAAAUUGCACGAUGGCUUGUAAAUGUUGGAAAAGAAUAUGAGUUUGAAUUCACCUCGAGCUCUUUUUGGAAGAAAUUACGAUGUCAACCAGGAUAUCAUACAGUGACAUCGACGAUUAGGACACCCAUCCUUAUUUGUUUUAGAGAAAUUUUAUUCUGAUUUAUUUUCCAAGACUCAAUGUGGUUCUUUAGUUUGUGAUGCUUGUGAGUAUACUAAGCAUACAAGAAUCGCUUAUCCCUCCAGUAACAAUGGGAGUAUAAUCCCUUUUGUGACCAUCUAUUCUGACGUUUGAGAGCCUACUCAAACGGUCUCACUAUCUGGUUAUCAUUGGUUUGUUACUUUUAUUGAUUGCUGCACUCGCAUGACUUGAGUUUAUUUGAUAAAGGUAAAAAGUGAUGCGGUUUCUUGCUUUCAAUCUUUUCACAAGAUAAUUUGUACUCAAUUUGAUGUCAAGAUAAAAGUUUUGAGAACUAAUAAUGGUACAGAGUACAUGGAUAACCAUUUUUCUACUUAUCUGGAGUCUAAUGGGAUACUGCAUCAAACUAGUUAUCCUUGUACCCAAAAUGAUACUGCAGAAAAAAAAAAACACCUGUUGGAAGUAACUCGAUCUCUCUUUUUCACCAUGAAUCUUCCAAAAACCUAUUGAGGAGAUACAGUCUUAGCUGCAGCUUAUCUUAUUAAUAAAAUGCAUCUCAAAGCUUUUGCCUUUAAAAGCUCUUGCCUUUAAAAGCCCCUUAGAGGUGCUACAAGGGAAACAUACUUAUAUUACUCCACCAAAGGUGUUUGGAUGUACGUGUUUUGUUCAUAUUAGGACAGGUGAAAAGUUUGAUCCGAGGGCUAUUAAAUAUGUAUUUGUUGGGUACUCUCCCACACAGAAGGGUUACAAGUGUUAUCACCCUCCAUCUAGAAAAUACAUUGUCAAUAUGAAUAUUACAUUUAGAGAGACUGAACCUUAUUUCAGUACUACUCCAUCACCUCUUCAGAGGAGGAUAAUGAGAGAAGAGAUGAUUCAUAGUCCUAUAAGUCUAGAAUGUUUUACUCUAGAGGAGACUACUAUACAGAGGGAGACUAUUGGUGAUUAGGAGACUAUUAUAUAGGAGAGACUAUUAGUGAUGAAAUUGGACGUUUGGACAAACCAGAUUUAAGGAGAUACUCACGAAGAGACAAAACAGAAAUAAAAAAAGCCAUUGUGCAGCCUACUCAGUAUCAUGAAUCUUCCUCUUCUCCAUCUGGUGAGUCAUUUCUAAACCUUGAGCCCUUUGAUGAUCUAAAUAAACCAAUUGCUCAAAGAAAAAGGAGUUAGAUCUUGCAUAAAACACUUUAUUUCUAACUUUCUCUCUUAUGAGUUUUUGUCUCCAUUUUAAUAGAGUCUUUGUCUUAUCUAUUUUCUCUAUGUCUAUUCUACAGGAUUGAAAAAAAACUCUUUUAGAUCCUAAAUGGAAGGGAGCAACAAUUGAAGAGAUGAAAGCACUGGCAAAAAAUGAGACCUGGGUGCUUGUCACUCUCCCACCUGGAAAGAAACUUGUUGGCUGUAAAUGGGUGUUGAGUGUGAAACAUAAAGCAGAUGGAUCAAUUGAAAAAUUUAAGGCUAGACUAGUGACCAAGGGAUACACUCAAAUCUAUGUAGUGGAUUACCAUGAGACAUUUGCUCCUGUUGCUAAAAUAAACUCAAUCAAAAUAUUGUUAUCUUGCGCUGUCAACUUUGAUUGGGAUUUACAACAAUUUGAUGUGAAAAAUGCAUUCCUCUAUGAAGAUUUGGAGGAGAAAGUGUAUAUGGAAAGUUUUUCAGGAUUUGCUGAUGAAAAAAUACAAAGAAAGGUGUGCAGGCUAAAGAAGUUUUGUAUGGGUUGAAGUAGUCACCCAGAGCUUGGUUUGAUCAAUUCAAUAGAGUUAUGAUUUGCUUUGGCUAAAACAGAGCAAUGCUGACCAUACCUUAUUUAUCAGACGUCACAAUAAUAAAAUUACUCUUCUUAUAAUCUAUGUUGAUGACAUAAUAAUGACAGGGAAUGACACUAAAGAGAUGACUUGGCUAAAAAGAGCUUUUGAUUUAGGAGUUCGAAAUUACAAAUUUAGGAAAACUGCAAUAUUUUUUUAUUUUUUAGAGAAAAUACUUUCUGGAUCUUUUAGGAGAAAGUGGAUCUUUUAAAAAAAACUAGUAAGUUAGGUUGCAAACUAGCAGAAACUCUCAUUGGUAGCAAUCACAAACUACAAGUAGGGGUUGGUGAAUCAGUGGAUAUGGACAGAUAUUAGAGAUUGAUAGGCAGACUGAUUUAUCUUUUGCAUACUCGACCAAACAUAGUAUAUGCGGUCAGCUUAGUUAAUCAGUUUAUGCAUGAUUCUCGUGAGCCUCACAUGCAAGCUGUUUUUUUGCAUUUUGCGAUACUUGAAAUUUUCUCCUGGAAAAGGUCUCCUAUUCUCUAAACACCGUAAUCUUUGCAUACAUUCGUUCACAGAUGCAGAUUGGACUUGAUCUCUUGACGAUAGAAGAUCAACUAGUGGUUAUUGUACACUUGUGGGAAUAGCAUGAUCAGUUGCGGCUCAAAUUCUGCUCCAGAUUUAGUAGCUUGGGAAGUUAUAGUUAGAUUUAUAGAAGGUUGUUCAACGCUUUCUUGAACUUUCUUGAAUUAUAUCAUAAACGAUUCUUCCCCCUCACACCAAUCACAAGUUUUUCUUCAUUCCUCUCGUAUAUCAUCGUGAACAAGAAGUGACAUGUAAACGACAUCGGUACAGGCAUCUAAUGUGCUGGCUAUAUCUUUAAAGUUUUGGCCAUUGUAUCACAUGAUAUUUUGUCGUCCAGCAUUGCACACCAUCUUUUUUUUUUUCAGCUCAUCCUUUCUUCAUCCGCAGAUUAAUUUGUUUACACUCUCAUUGAAUUAAUCUGAAGUUGCUGUGCCAAUUAGCUGAGUCAUUAUUAGGACAUAGUCAAGUUCCAGUUGCGUUUCUGUUUUUGUUUGCUUCUAUUAUACAUGGCCAGAACCUCCUUUGGAGUUUUUUUGGUGAUAAUUUUUUACACAUAAAAAAGAAGUAUAAAAUAAGAUAAAUUUGAAUGUUAUGACAUUGAAAAGGACUUUAUAUUAAAUUGCAUAAAAUGAGCACAUUUUUUUAAAAAACUGUUUUCUAAAUGUUUUCUACCUUCUGUUUCUUCUCAUAUAAUUUUCUUUGCUUUAGAGUGAUCCUAUGCUAGUUGUUUAUAAAAAAGCAAGGGACGGGUCGCCUACUGAAGUUUUCCGCACUGAAGUAAUUCUUAAUUCCUUGAACCCCACAUGGAUUAUGAAAUAUGCCAUCACAUUCCAGUUUGAAGUUGUGCAAACUUUGCUGUAAGUUCAGUGUGUGGAACUCUAAUUUUUUUCCCUGACCAAAUAUGCUUUUAGUAUCUUCACUAUAUUUUUUUAAAUUAAUAUUUAUAUUUUACUACAGGUUUCAUGUGUAUGACAUUGACACCCAAUUUCACAAUUUAGAUGUUAAGGUAUAUUUUUAUUGUUCUGUUUGUUGUUCUUGCAUUGUUAUCAUUGAAGAGGCAAAUGUUCUGCAUGCAGUUCUGUCACAAGAGAAAGUUGCCUAUAAGUUUAAGCUUUUAGUUUCAGUAGUCUCCUAAUAUAGUAUUGCAGUCUCUCCAACCAAAAUAUCUAAAGUUCAAAUCCUUGGGCGCCUUAAUCAACCUAAAAUCACAACGGUUUUUUGAACACACUCAAAGCAUAACAAGCUUAGCAUGAAGGGGCAUGUUUUAUCAGUAAGGUUGAACUUUGUUUUUAUGGUUUGUUAUUAAUAAGCUCUUUUGAAUUAAAACCUUAUUAUUUUUUUCUCUUUUUUUUUGGCAAACAACUAAAUAUUUUCUGGGUAAUUGACAAAAUUCUGAAUCUUUUUCUUCCUUAUUCAGCAUUUUAGUGCUAUAAAAAUUUUAUAAAAAUAUCAUGGUAAAGAUAUCUGUAAUGAGGAGGGGUUGCGAGAAACUAUAUUUAUAAAUGAUUUCACACUUGGCCUUCCAUGCCAAGUGGAAGAAAACUUGGUUAUUUUAGAUGUGCAUUAACACAUCUUGGGAAAAAAAAAUUUUUGACUUCUUGGUGGUUUAGGAUUUCUGCUUGUGUUCGCUUUUUACUUUAUGAUUUGUAUUAUGUGCGUAUGCUGUUUGGACAUCAUCAAUAUAAUUUCACCUAGAUUUUUUCCCCAAGUAAUUGUACUAAAUGAUUUUCUGUUACUUUCAUUGGAGUGAAUGGAAUGGUAAAGAACAAAUGGUUUAACAAUUGCAGAUGAUCAAGCUAGAUGAGCAACAAUUUCUUGGUGAAGCUUCAUGUGUUUUGUCUGAGGUAUGACAGGAAGGCAAUUCUAAUAUACAUCGUACUUUCUUGUAGAAUACCUGUAUAAUGAGACCAUCAACAUUCUUCUUUGAAAUGUGAACUCCUGUGAUUCUAGUCUAGCCAGAGAGAUCCUUAUAUUAUAUUAUGAAGGCUGAUAAAUGCUAUAAUUGCAUAAACAUAGCAGAAUGUAAUGGAAUAAAGAAAAUAGAAUAAUGAAAGGAAAUUUAUCCUAUUCUGUUAUGCUUUGUAACAGUUGUGCAAAACAUAUUGCAAGAGUUUAGGUACCUUCUGUUAUUAGAAACCAGGACACAUGUAUAAAAUUAAAAUUUUAAUUUGUACAUUGUUGCUUCUUUCCAUGCAGAUUUUGACCAAAUCAAAUAGGUCUCUGACCUUAGAUCUCUUACAAAAAGAAGAUUCUACAGUAUCAAGCCAUUCUCCGUGUGGUCAGCUUGUUGUGCAUGCUGAGGAAUGCUUUAGCUCCAAGACUACGACUGAGAUGAUAUUAAGGUGUUCAGAUUUGGAACAUAAGGAUCUGUUCUCAAGAAUUGUAUGGGUUGCAAAGUUUUUAUCUCUUUCUUUGUCAGGUGCUUUUUUGAAACACAUAAAUGAUGGUUGGUGUUUUAUCCGCAGAACCCUUUUCUGGUAAUCUCAAAAAUGGUUGAGAGUGGGAUCCCCAUUGCCGUGUGUAAAACAGAAGUCCUAAAGAAUGAUCACAACCCAAUAUGGAAACCGAUCUUUUUGAAUAUACAACAAGUUGGAAGCAAGGUAAAAGGAAUAUUGCAUCUGAGCUCAGAAUGUGUAUUACCUAGUUCAAAUCCAGCAUCCUGUUGUCCAGUACAUCCUCCUGAAGAAAAAUGAAAUACACAUGGAAAAAUGACUUUGUGUGGGCUACAAAGCUUUGGUGGCUAUUUGUGUCCAAGGACCACCUUGCUGCUGUGACAAUUUUACUUUACCUGUAUGACAUAUUCAAAGACUAAUUUCUUUGCAUUUUAAUACCAAACAAUGAGUUGGUCCUUGCCUUUUUCUUAGCAAUCUCUUGUCAAUUUCAAUGAGAUGGAAACGAUAAGAUAGAAAGGGAAUGUACCAUUAUCAAAAUGGAGUCCAAAAAUUGGCAAGCUUCUCCUUUGAAUAUAUAGAUUUUUUUAUGGUAUUUGUUCUUUAGAUUCCCUGCUUCAUUACCUAGUUAUGGUUAAGUUCUUAGUAUUGUUUUAUGAUUCAACCUGCAGGAUAGCCCCCUGGUGAUAGAUUGCUACAACUUCAAUAGCAGUGGCAAGCAUGAUUUGAUUGGGUAGCCGGAGAGCUCAGUUUAUUCUUUCAUUUUAUUCUCCUCAACUCUAUGCAUUUAAUGGUGGUGAUGCUUCCUUCUUUUUUUUUUUUUUUUUGUUUUGUUAAUGCAGAGAAGUUACAAAAUCCCUAGCAGACUUGGAAAAGCUUCGUUCUAGUGGGGAAGGUGAAAAUUUAUUUUCAACCACUGCUGUUGGGCAUGAUCACAACAAGGUCUGAUUAUGUAAAGCAAGUUACUUUCAAUCCUGGAGCUUUCUGUCUUUAACUUAAACUUUCUAAGUGUGCAGCUACUAAAAAGCCAGCUAUUUGUGGACAAGUUUUCUGAAAGCAUUCAACAUACUUUUCUGGAUUACUUGAAAGGAGGAUGUGAGCUGAACUUCAUGGUGGCUAUUGAUUUCACUGGUACUUGCCUUAGAAUUGAACUCUUCAAUGCCUGAAAUUUUUGUUUCUAAAGUUUAAAUUAUUAUUUUGUUGUUUUCAUUUAACAAGUAACCAAUUAUACAUAAUAUUGGUUGUGUUUCUCUUUGUUCUUUUGUGCAUUGUUUGCAUCUGCAAGUUUUUUCAUAUUUCCUUUCUUGAUUUUCAUCUCAAACUGCAAAUUGACAUGAUUGUAUUCAUUAGAAAAAACAUGUUCUAAUACCACUUGUUAGUAAAAUCAAAAUAGAUAGAUAGAAAGAUGGAUAAGAUGGAGGGAUAUAGCAAAACUUGAUCCUUUAACUCGUAUCCAUAACCAUUCACUUUAUCCCAUUCCAUCCAUACAUCAAUACAGUAUUGCAUAUAUGAGCGUGCAUCCACUUCCUAAAUAAAAUUCCUACGUACAUGAGUCAUUAUCUAAGCAAAACCAUUAUCUAAACAUCUUAUCAAGUGCUUAUUCUCACAUACUUCUAGGUACAUGAAUUAAGCUUAUCUUAAUUAUUAAUCAUAAACAUUAUCUAAAUCUUACAUAUUUUUUUAACAGUGUUGUUAAUCAUCUAUAAGCUAGCACAAUUUGUAGAAAUUUAUUAUUCAACAUCACUUCUUCAUCCAUACAGUUCCCUUUACAUAUCUUAAUCCAUGUCAUGCUAAAGUAUAAGCUACUUGCAGAUGAAAGAAGUUUAGUUUCUUUAUAAGUCAAAGCUAUUUAUGGUUUUGUCAUUUGUGACGUUAAAGCUGGAGCAAGUCUAAAGCCUUUUAGGUGUUCUAUCAUGUUAUCAUUUACUUCUGUAGGUUGCAGUCAAUAUAAUUGUAUUCAUAUCUUAUUUCCCGCUACCCUCUUCUCCCGUUUGUGUCAUCAACACUGGUGGACAUUAGUGGGCUAUAGGUGCCCUAAUAUGUUGUUGUACCUUCCAUUUUUCAGCUUCAAAUGGAAAUCCCCGCCUCCCUGAUUCCUUGCAUUAUCUUGAUCCUUCAGGACGGUUAAACGCAUACCAGCAAGUAAGAAUUUGUUGUCUUCCAUAUUAGCUUGCUUAACCAUCAUUGGUGGACGCUUGUUACUACUUAGUUUGUUUGCAAAAUUCACAACGCACACACAAAGAAGAACAAGGUCAAAUAUGGAGGGAAAACAAAUGAGAAAAAAGUUUUAUGCAUCUGGCCCAUCUGUGCUAGUCCACAGCCACUUGUUGUCCUUUCUCUUUUCUUUUNNNNNNNNNNNNNNNNNUUUGAAGGAGAAACGAAACGUUGCCCCUUUAUGAGUACCACACCCUUCUCCAUCUUUGUUGGAGCUGUAGAUGUACAUUAGUUUCUUUAUAUACGAGUCAUGAACUCAAUGUGGCCCAAUUUAUACUUUUAGGCAAUUGUAGAAGUUGGAGAAGUGUUGCAAUUUUAUGAUUCAGACAAGCGCUUCCCUGCCUGGGGAUUUGGAGCACGGCCAAUUGAUGGUCCAGUUUCUCAUUGUUUUAACUUGAAUGGAAGCACUAAUCACUGUGAGGUGAAAAACAUAGAACUUGUUUAACUACCUUUGAUUUUCUUAUUUAUAACAUGCCUAUUUAUUAAGCAUCGACUUCUCAGGUUGAAGGAAUCCAAGGAAUUAUGAUGGCGUAUGCUAGUGCUCUAUUGAACGUUUCUUUAGCUGGUCCAACGCUUUUUGGGCCUGUGAUAAGCACUGCUGCACUAAUUGCUAGCCAGUCUCUCGCAAAUGGAGGGAAAAAGUACUUUGUUUUGUUAAUAAUUACAGUAAGAAUCAGACUGGAAAUCUUGAUAAUUUUUCCUUGUAGUGUAAUUUCUUUGUUAACAUGAUCAUCUAUUUGAUGGCUUGUUUCACCGUGUAGAGUACUUUCUUAAUCUAAUAGCUUGUAAUUCAAUAGCAGUCUACCAUUACAAGUAUAAAAUAUCAUCGAAGAAUGGAUUUUUCAUUUUCUUUAAAUUGAUUUUACCAAUUGUUUGCACUGGAAUUUGUUGAAUAUAUUAGGAUGGAGUUGUAACCGAUCUCCAAGAAACUAAAGAUGCCAUAGUGAAGGCGUCUGACCUACCAUUAUCAAUCCUUAUUGUUGGAGUUGGAGGAGCCGACUUCAAAGAAAUGGAGGUACCUAUCCACAUUUAUGCAUCUUUCUAUGCCAGAAUGUGAGAUUAUAUAAGUGCUAAUAUUUUCUAUACAUCCUCGAUAAUAAGGUGGAAAUCUCAAUUAUCUAUUGAAUUCCUUCAAAUUUCUAAAGUUUUUGAAUGUUCACAGAUUUUAGACGCUGAUAAAGGAGAGAUACUUGAAAGUUCUACUGGACGUGUUGCUUCACGUGAUAUAGUUCAGUUUGUUCCAUUCCGGCACGUACAAAGUAAGAGAAUUUAUUAUUCUGAUAAAUAAAUAUUUGGUGAUUAUUUUUAGUUUGUUGGUAAACCCUGUAAUAUUUGCAGAUGGACAAAUUUCUGUUGUUCAAGAGCUUCUAGCUGAACUACCGACUCAAUUUUUAACCUACAUGCGAUCCAGGGAUCUCCAACCAAGCAUUUGAUUUUGUAAAGUUGUACAUAUAGAAUUGAAUUUUCAAUUUGGGGAUUUCAUGCAAUGAGUUUUCCAAUUGAAGGCCAUGAUCCCAAAUCCAGUCAUGGUAAUAUAAGCAUUCUCACAGAUAUGCCAAGUCAACAAAACCUGAUGCCAAUUAUGUAGGGCUAGCCGCACCAUCUUUUGCGACAUAUUGUAAGGACUGGACAUAUUUUGCAUUGUGGCCAGCUUGGAACGUGACAGAUAAAUGAAGACUUUUUUGCAGUUUGACAAACUGUACGAUAAUCACCGAAAAUGAGGUGCAUUGGAUCCAUGCCUUGCAAAGAGGAACAAAAAUGUGAAGAAUGAGGUCAGAAUUGUAAUGUCAUAUUUUGUUUGUUUUAGUUGCUUUUAUUGAUGCAUUUUGGCGAUUUGUUGUCCAAACAUAUAAUGUGAAAUACAUUGUUCAGCUUGAAAAUGAUCCCCUACUUUAUCUUCCUCAAAAUUUAUUAUUAUUAUUAUUACUUUUAGUCCCUUAAUUCACGUUCUUGCUAAUUCACUUUGGUCAAAAUUAGAAAAUGAUAGAUGGUCUGACUGGCUCCCUCACACCCCUCGAUGAGGCUUGUGCAUAUUAUAUCUUGUUGUCUUCUUCCCCUCGAUUUCUACUUGCUGACUAUCGUUAUCUUAACUUUUGGCUUGGGAAGAAACUUUGAAGGGGGAUUAUGCCUUCCCUUGGUUUUGGUUUUUUGCUUUUGUUUUUUUGCAAGAUAUGUUUCAUUAAACAGCUGCUUAAAGUCUAAAUAUCACCAACCAAGGCUAAACGGUAAAAGGCUCGGAAAAAAAUACAAAAUAACAACAAAAAUGCAAUGGUCACUAGAAGAAGAAAACUCAAUGAAGCACAGAACCUGCCUGAGCUCCAAAGCCACCUAAUUCUUCAUGCAUCUUUUAAGUCUAAAAAACAAAGAAAAUAAUUCAAAGAUUUCGCCUAAGCUAUUGAAGAUGACGCUAAAAAGAGCUCAUUGGUGACCUAAAGGCCUCUUGAAUCCAACACGAAGAAAUAGUUAAAAGGAUCUUGAGAUACUGAACAUUAGAAAUUAAAAAGAAACCCUCCACAUAGCCAAAAAAGAUCUACAACACAUUGGGAUGCAUGUAGACGGAAAUGGUGUAGAAUAAGAAGAAAAGGAACCAUCAUAGAGGAAGGGUCCUCUUAACCUCUUGAAGCAAGCAAGUGGAGUGGAGAUCCAAAUAUGAAUUGAUGAAGAAUCCGAAACCUGCAUGCAAGCUAACCAGAAAAAAAAAAAAAUACUAAAGCAAAGAAAAAAUAACUAGGAGUACCAUAAAUCUAAAGAUCUGAUUCCUAUGUCAAUAAUCUAUUAACUCUCGAAACAAAAGAAAUUAAUCAAAACAAAAAAUAAAAGUGGCCAAAGAUGGGAGGGUAUUUCCUGUCUGGCUUCCUAGAGAGAAAACCAACAGAGCGGUGGCCGAGCUCCCAAGGAAAACAAAAAACCACGUAGAGAAAGUUUCUCUCUAUUUGAAUAGAAAGAAAACAAAAUUUUUGGUCGAAUCUUUUUGAUUUUUAUUUAGAUUAAACAAAAAUGAAGAGAACACGUAAAUAAAUGAUUAAAGUACAAGAGUAAAAUGAAGUCUUUCCUCAUUUGAGGGUAAAUGUACGCAUCUGUUGUGAGUGUUGAAGUCAAAUUCAAUGUUAUUUUCCAAACUAGCUAGUGCAAGUCAAAUUCAACAUCUUCUCCCUUACUCUCGAAGAUAGGGCCCAAAAGAGAGUUCCUAGUCCCAAUUUUCUCCUCUUCUACGUUUACCAAACACAGGCAAGUCUUUGAAGUAAUCUUAUAAAAAGCAAAAUUAGGGUUAAGGAUUAUGCCAUAGGCCCAACGCUGCCAAUUCCACGUUCCAUUCAUCUCUGCCUCUACUGCUCGGGAUAUGACAUUACUGAAAGUUGAUUUGACAUCAUAUAGAGAACUGCUGUGCUUGGAUCACAGGGAGCAGAGAAUGAGAAAUAGGCUUAUGCAAAAUUGACGGAAACAUCAAGUUGGUUAAGAGCGGUGCCGAGACUUUGAACAAAUUAUGGAGGCUCUUUCCACGUCUUACCAUUUAUUUAUUUGGUCUUUUUUCACUUCAUGUGACUAAACAACCAAGUCAAUCUUUAAUGGGGAGAAUUUUCCACCAAUGGAAUAUAUAUCAAAGAAAAAUUUGUGAGAGAUGUAGGUCCAUUGCAAGAGAAUUAUAGGAAAAGACAGAGAGAAACGAAUACCCUUCUGGCCCUUCAUCUUCCUGGAGUAAAGAAUCUUUGUGAUUUUAAUAUUUAGUGUUUUUCUAAUUAAAAUUUAACAUGUGGAUUGUGGAUCGUGGGCGUGCGUAAUCAAUGACUCAGAUCUUCUUGCCUUGUACAAAUUAGGUAAUUUUUUAAAAAAAAUAACUUAUUUUUUAAAAGAUAAAUUCUAAAAAUCUUAUUAAUAUAUCUAUAUAUAAAUUUUUUAAUAUAUUAUAUUUUUUAAAUUAAAAUUAUAAAAAAUAAACUAUUCCGUUAAAAAUAUAUUUAAAAAAAUAUAUUUUUAAAAUAUAAAUUAUUUUUUAUAAACAAAUGAAAUCUUAAUUUCCAUGAGUAUUACUAGUGUAAAGAGAGAAUACAUUUUGACUAUAAUACCCUCCCCUCCCCUCUUUCACUCUUCCCGUCCCUUUUACCUUUUAUUUUCUCUUUGCCAUCCUUGUGAUAUUGUUGCUUUGGUUACCUGGACUGUUAUCGGCUGAGGACAGCUGGGUUCCAAAGCUCGGGUCCAAGAAAGGUCCAUGCUAGAUUGAUUGAGCCUAGGUCCAAUUAGAGUCUAAGACACAACCUUAUGUUUUAUAAAAGUUUGAAUGCAACCUUAUGUUUUAUAAAAAUCCGGAUGCAAUUCAGAUAGAUCGAAUUGUGCUAAAACUCGUUUGAAAGAGCUCUAGCUCCAUAUACUUGUUAGACCCCAUGAAAUAAUAAAUCAAAUCAUAUAACGUUGGAGAUUGUAUUCAAAUAAUACCGUAUGAAAUUAAAUGAUUGCAUAACAAAAAAAAAUGAUAAAAUAUUUUCAUACAUAUGCUCAAUGUAAAUAUAAGAAGAAGAUACCAACACCAAAUGGCGGUUAGAAAAUAAAAUUAAAAAAUGUACAAAAAAAAUAAAAAAUCAAACUUAUCAAAACAUAUUAUGAAUUUAACUUCUGAUUAGAUCUUAGACAUCAUCCGCAUUUUAUGGAGAACAUGGAAUGUAUUGCACCUCAUCCUUCAAUUGCUAUGUAAUCUGCUACUUUUUUCUGCAAACACUUAGAUCAUCAGCCUUCCAUUAAUAGGCAACGCCGCACUCCAAUUUCAUUAAUUUUAUCCAUCUCAUUUUAGAACACAUUUUUUAUUAAAAAUAUUUUUCCUAUUUUUUAAUAUUUAUUUUUAAAAAUUACAAUUAAAUAAUAAAAUUAAAAUAAAUUAUUUUCUUAUAAAAUAUUUAAUAAAAAAAUAUUAAUGAUGAAAAAGUUGUGAAAUUAAAAUUAUUUCACAUCAUCAAAUACAGCCACUUUCACUCAAUCAGAUUAAUUCAAUUUACAAUGAUGUAAAAUUUGUGAAAUUAAAAUUAUUCCUAAUACACUGCUAAUGUUUCAAAAUAGAAGAUUUAGAAUGUACGUACAGCUACUAUUUUUAUAUUAUUUGAUUUUUUUAUUUAAUUUGAUAAUAAAAUAAAAAUAUAUAAUAAAUAAAAAAGUAUAUAUUUAUUUAAACAAUAAAAUAAAUUAUAUAAUGUAAUAAAUUAAAAUGUUUCUGUUUAAAUAUUAAAUAAAUUGUAUGACAUAUAUACUUGUUACUAUUAUAAAAAAUUAUUAAUAAUAGCAAUUAGAUAAAUUUUAUUCAAUAUUUAAUAUAAAUCAGCUGUCAAUACUAUUAUUUAAUAGUAAUAAUUAUAAGCUAUUAAUUAUAUUCGAUUUUUAAAUUAAACUAAUUUUAAUUUUAAAAGAAUUGAUAAAAAGGCAAACCAAUGUUUUUUUUUUAAAGAAAUUCUUCGGUUAUAAUAAAAUUAUUAUACAUAUAUAUUAUUAAAAAUUCCUUCCACUCAAAACUGCAGCCCUCCAAUAAAUUUAGAUUUUUUUUUUGUCUAGUUAUAACUUGCGUUUUUUACAUAAAUUCUUUACUUUACGUAUCCAAUGUUUUAGUUAUGGCAUGUAUGAUAACCUUUUUUUAUGGCUAUUUGAUUUUAAUUUAUUUUUUAUUUUUUUCUAUUUUAUUAUGAAAUUACUUUUUAUAUUAAACGAUAUUUAAAUUUAUAAAUUUAAAUUCAUAAAUUCAAAUGCAAUAUAAAAAAAAAAUCUCAUGUUACAGUGAUCAUCAAAUAUAUUUUUUGAAAAAUAUUUUUUAUAUUAAUUUUGAUAUAUUUAAUUUUGACAUCCAUAACAUAUAAAAUAUGAGCUAUCCAAGAUCAAGAUACAUGGACACCUCUGCAAAAAGCUUUUCAAUCCGGACAGAAAUUUAGACACCAGCAUGGUCUCUAAAAACCGCUAAUGGAAAGGAUCUUUGAGCUUUAUCAAUCUGUCUCAGCCCUUUGACUCUCAUCUUUCUAUUCAUAUUAGGCUAUUAAAUGUGGGUGUGAUGGUAACUCUGACAUAAGUGUGAUUUCAAUCAUUUCAAUAUUAAAUAAAUCAAUUAUCUAUUAUUAAUAAUUCAUUUAAAAAAUUUAUAAUAAAACACAAUAAUAUAUUUUUUUAAAAAAUAAACUAUACGAAUUAUUAAAAUAAAAGAGAUUAUAUAUCAUUUUCUUCAUUAAAAAAAAAAUUUCGAUUUACCUUCUUUCAUUUCUUAACGCCUACAAUUCUAACUUUAAAUCAUUAAAAAAAAACAUUCAAUUUCAUUAUCACCAUCAUUUACAAAAUAAAACUCAUUCAUAAUCCCUACGAAUUAAAACCAUACACCAACACAAUUUUAAUUUUAAUUUUAUCGAUUUUUCUCAUAUAAAUUUUUUUCUUAUAGGCAUAAUAUAUAUUUCUAUAUUAAUCGAAGACAUAUGCAUACAUAUAUAAUUAAACAUUUUUCAUCCAAGUAUUUAUAAUAUUAAUUUUACUAAAUAUAAGCAUGAAAAUAACUUGAAUACAUGAUCAACAUGAGAUAGUUAGUUUAUAGAAAUAUAAACUAUAUAUAUAAAAAGUUUUAAUGCGUAACUAAAUAAAAGCAGAUAUAACUAAAUUCAUCCAUAAGAAUAAUAUAAGGGAAAUUUACUAUAUAUAUUUAUAAGGAGUAUAUAUUUCAAGUGUAUUCUACAAUUUGGCAGAGGUAACAGCACUCCAGUUGCAUUGACUUAAUUUCAUUCACAUUAAACCAGAUUGAUAUUUACGUAUAUAAAGUCCUCGGCCACACUUCACAGCCCUAUCUUCUUCUUCUUCUUCUUCUUCUUCUUCUUCUUCUUCUUUUGAUCUUCUUUUGAUCGGUCUUGGCGUCUUGCCCUCUUUAUUAAUUUAUGCUCUCCCCUCUCAUCUGCGUACCCUCUUCUUGAUCUUGAUGCCUUUCUUGUCUUGAUAUGGUGUAUAUAUAUAUAUAUACUCGUAACUAAAGCAAGCAGCAGCAAAAUUUCUAGCCACAGAAAGUGGUCUCAUUUCCUUGCUUGAAUGCCCUAGCUAGCUAGAUACAAAAAAUAUAUAAAGUGGAUCGGAAUCAUGGGAAGCGGCCCCUUCCAUUCGAUGAAUCGGAGGAGAAAGAGGAAGAUCACAUCUUCCCAAUCUACUCAGCUCGAUCUCGACAAGACAUGAAUGCAAUGGUUUCAGCCCUAGUUCAAGUGAUUGGAAAUAGCCACAAUAAUCCACUUCAAGUUCAUGAAAAUCCUUUAUCAAUACCACAAUCAAACACACAAGGCCAUGAUCAACCACAGCAGCCUGUUCCAGAUCAAGGUAUUAUCAUCUGUAUAUAUUAUGUAACUAUUUAUUGUUCAAUAAUUUCCUCCAAUCUGUAAAAUUUUUUCUUUAAUUCCUUUCAAUUACUCUCUUGAUGAUAAUAUACACCUGCUUUGUUGCAGGAUUUCAUGUUUUCCAAACUGAAUUUUUAGUCUCUGUGAUUUUCUCUAUUUAAUUUGAUCAAAGUCCCUUUUCUUUCCUUAAAGAGAAAUACUAAUUAUGCAUAGUGUAAUUUUUAAUCUGCGAGUAUUUCUCCUAUAAUUUCUUUGCCUUAAUAUAUAUUAUCUAUCAAGUUUCUUGCUAACAAACAAGUAUGGUGAGAGAAUAAUAUCGCAAUUCUAAGACUCUAAUGUCUUUUGAAGGAAACACGAGGAGAAGACACUAUAGAGGAGUGAGGCACCGACCGUGGGGAAAAUGGGCUGCCGAGAUCAGGGACCCAAAGAAGGCAGCUCGAGUGUGGCUCGGUACUUUUGACAACGCUGAAGCAGCAGCCCUUGCUUAUGACGAAGCUGCGCUUAGGUUUAAAGGAAGUAAAGCUAAGCUUAACUUUCCAGAAAGAGUUCAAGGAAGAAGCGAAUUAGGUUUCUUGACUAAUCGCCAAGAUUUGCAUGCAGGAACCCAACAAAUUAUGACUCGUCGAGUUACUGAUCCUCCUUGUCCUCCACAUACACAACAAGAAGCAUACACAACUCGUUUUCAAUACCCACAGUUUUUGCUUCCUAGUGGGAACUACGGCUUCAACUAUGCUGAGCCCGUGGGUCGUUAUAGCAGUGGAGAGUCAUACCUUUCGCCGGCGUCAUCAGCUGCAUCUUCAUCUUCAUCUUCAUCUUCAUCUUCAUCAUCCACAACUUCUCAUCAACAAGAAGAGCUUAUAAGAUUUUCAAUGCAGUUUGGAAAUCCUUACUCUCAUUAUAAUCCUCCUACAAAUUGGAUGGACUUUGAUUCUACUCGCGGAAGAGACUAGUACGUAUAGGAAGGCAAGUUUUAGUGAGGAGAUAACUAGCUAGAGGAACUCUGAACUUUCUGGUUAUGAUCGGGAUCGAUGUUUAUUUUUCUUUUUUCACUUGCUUGUUUUCUCUUUUCCUGUUUAAAUUUCCCUUUUUUUCCAUUUGGAAUAAAUUGAAUAAUUACCUUGUAUGCUUGUUGAACAUCUUUCUCAUCUGGGAUAAUCAACUACGUUACUCUUUGUUGAUUUUAGUUCCUGCAAGAGAGACUUCUCCUUGUGGUUGAGUUUUAUAUCUCUAGACAUUACAGAAUGGAGAAACAGAAAAUAACCUCAGAGAAAUGUAGCAAGAAUCAUUCCAUAUCCACAAUUCUACGUAUUAAUACAAUGAUGAUCCCAUUUAGAUAAACGUCCUACCUCUACAUCUUGAUUAGUGGGAAAAAUCCGACAGCUACGAGAGGCUCAAGUUUGAACGGAAUCAAGAAGAAAAGCUAAUGCAAACCCAACAGCCAAUGAAACAAUACCUGCCAUUUCCAUUGCCGUCGAGGAGCUGGAACUGAUCCAAACUAACGACAGGAGCUGUAUCUACAGAUGUAAUAGAUGAUCGAGGGAAUGUAAUGCAGGUUUUUAAAUUCCAAAUAUAGACAUCAUUGUUGUGAAAAUGAGAAAAAAGAAAUUGUCGUUAAAAUCGGCUGGGUGGAUGAGCCGAAAUGUAAAUAGCUUAACGACAAAAUGCGUUUAACGCGUUAUAAGAAAUAGUCAACUCUACGACAUACUAGUGCUAACUUCUGGAUAGAUGUUCUGAGUCUCAAGUCAACAGUGUUGAUUGUUAUAUAUUUUAUAAUUACGUGGAAGAAUAUAAACGCAUAGAAUACUUAUAAAAUUUAAACUAAUCAAACUCGAAUCUAAAUUCUACUUUUAUAUUAAGAAUAUUUGGCGUUGAUUUAAAUAAAUUCAAAAGAUUUCAUAUUUUAUUUUCUCAAUUUUUAAUUUUUAUUUUAAAAAAUAAAAAAUAAUUUUUAAAUAAUUUUUAAAUUUAUUAAAAAUUAAUUUAAAUUGUUUAAAUAUAUUUUAAGUUUGAUUAUUAUUAUUAAAAUAAAAUUUAAAUUCAUUUAAUUUUAUAUAUUUUAAUUAAUAAUUUAUAUAAAAAAUAAUUUCAAAAUAUACUUAAAAGCUGUAUUAGAGCUUAUUCAUUUUUGUAAUAUAAGAUCCAUCAAUUUAGUUUUAGACUUAUUGGCUUAGGACUAGCUAUGUAAUAUAUUUAGUGUGCCAAAUUAAAUAUUUUAAAAAAUUAAUUAAAUUAUAAGUUUUUUUAAAAAAUCAUGCUUUUAUAAUAUACAAAGUAUUUUCAUUCAUCUAUUUUAUUUGUUUUUAAGAUUUUAUCGUAAUUAAGAAAACAAUUAAAUCACUUAAAUUACAUCAAUUAAUGUAUUAUAUCAAUUCAUAAUCUUGAGAGUUGUAUUGCUAAUUAAUUUAAAAUAUAAUUAUGCUGUAAAUUAAUAAAUUAUAUGUGUUAAUCAGAAAUAAUUUUUUUAAAAAUUUUUAUUAUAAAUUAUAACUGAUCAGUUAUUAUAAUAUAUAUAAAAAUAGCCACAAUCAUAAAUAAGAUAAAUUAUUGUCACAAAAUCUUAAUCAUAAGAGAUUAUCUCAAUUUUUCUCAAAUUGAAUUCUGAUUCUGAUGAUGUAUUUUUAUUGUUAGCCGUAGUAAGAAAUUUUUUUUUUAUUUAAUUCAUAUAAUCCAUUAAUUUCAAAUUUAAUAUUAUAAUAUAUUUCUCAAUUGUAACAUAACUAUAUUACAAAAUAAAAUUGAAUCUUCUUUUUUAUUUUCUUUUAUUUUUAAAUAUUAAUUUUAUUUAGAUAAUUUUUUAAUUUAUUAUUUAUAUAUAAUAAAUUAAUUUAUAAAAAUAUAAAAAAUUAUUAAAAAAUAAUUAAUAAAUAUAUAAUAUUACAUAUUAUAAUGAUUUCAAAAGAAAGCAUUUUUCUUAUUUUACAGCAAUAUAUAAUAUUUUUUUCUUACUCUUUUUAUAUAAGACAUUCUUUUUAUAAUUCAUGUAGAGAUAUAAUUGUCAUAUUAAUUAAUCACAAAUUAUAUGAUAUUUAUAUAUAAAAGUGAUAAAAUUAAUAUAUUUAAAAAUAAUGAUAAAAUUAAUAUAAUACAAGUAAUUUAAUCUAUAAAUUGUAAAUAUUAUAAUACAUAAAUCUUUUUAUAUUUUACUAUUAAAUUUAAAUAAAAAUUAAUUAAAUUAAAAUAUUGAAUAAUAGUAAAUUUAUUUUUAAAUUUUUUAUUUUAUUAAUAUUUUUAUUUUUCACUAAUUAAAUUUAACUUUAUAUUUUAAUUUUUACUUAAAAAAAUACGAAUUUAUUAUUUUAAUAAUUAUCUAAUAUUUAAAUAUAUUAUUUAAUAAUUUUAAUUUUAAAAUUAAUUUAAUUGUAUUUUUAUUAUUUAAUAAUUAUUACGCUCGUUAAUAUAUAUAUAUUCACCUUUAUGUAACAAGUCCCACAAUCGUCCAAUAUCUAAAUUAUUCCAGACAAUAUAUUGAUAUCUUUUUAAUGUAGGACUCAUUGUCUUUAAAAAUUUAUGAAAUAUUAAUUAUUGCAUAUAAAAAUAUUAUAAAUUUUGAAAAAAAAAAGUGUAUGUCAAUGUUAAUAUUUGAUAAAUCUGAUUUUUUCCUACUCCAUGAUAAAUCUGGUUUUCUUCUUAUCCCAUCAUAUGAGCCUUUCAAUGUUCGAUUUGAUGAAAAGACCUGCAAAAUAAGAAAAAACGGUUAGAGGUUUACCGGAAAUAUCUUCAGUGGAUAACCUCCGACGUUCAAGUCAGGUUUAUGAACUAGUGUAGUAUAAAUAAGCAAGAGUUGCAGAGAAAAAUAAAGUAAAAAUAUAGAGUCGAGGAAGAAGCAGGAAGAAAAGAAAAAAACCCUUUCGUCUCUUGGCGAUGUAUGUCUACCUCUCUGCUACAAUGUUAGCUGUUUUUGUCACUCAGCUCCGUACGUACGGAUGUGUCAGGACUCUUCUCCAUGCUAGGUGGUCAUUUAAUUCUCUCCGGCGCGCAUGCGAGCAGUGCUGCAAGGUGAUUGGGCCUUCUAUUCUUUUUCACAUCACUUCAUGGGCUGGACUUCUUCUCAUUGGACCCGGGCUUAUGGUGAACCCGACCUAUCCCGCGCAUCCGGAUCGAGACUUAAGAUGCUGGAUCAGUCUUGCUUAAGAAGAGUUUGAUGGGCUUUGGGCUAUGGUUCUCUAAUUGGACCCGGUCUCAUCUAGGGUAGAGAAAGUCGCACGUUCAUCAAUAUUAUUUAAAAUUUUAUUUGAUAAUAUUAUUUUAAUUAUCAUUGAAAAAAAAAUAGUAUUAUAAAUAUUUUAAUUAGAUACAAUUAAAUAUUAUAUUUUAAUUAAUUAAAUUUCAGAUUAUUUUUGUUUAAUUUUAAAAAUUAAUUUUCAAAUCACAAUCUCAAAUACUUUUUUUUUUUCUAAUAAAAACCGAAAAGUUCCUUCCCCGACAAUUAAAUCACAGUCUUAAUUAGUUACAUUAUUAUUUGAAUCCUUUGGUUUUAUGAGAUGCACAGUAGUCAAAUAAAUUCUUUAAGAUCGAAGAACGGACGGUCACUUCAUUUUUGUUCCUAUUUAUUAGAUUUCAAUAACUUAUAUUUUAAAAAUAAAAACUUAUUUAAAAUUUUCUCUCCUUAACGAUUUAUUUUUUUAUUUAAUUACGGUAAAAAGAAAAAAUCAAGUUUUUAUUUAAUAAAAUUUUCAUAUUAAAAAUAUUUAAAUUUAACAGACACGAGAUUAACUUAUAAAUAUAAAUUUUAUAUUUCAAUAUUCAUAGUGUUUUUUUAAAUGCAAAAAUCAGUGUCUUAAUCGAAAUGUUAGUUGAGCAGAAAGGCGGUGGUGGAGCAUGACUGUUGGGUUUUAUAAAAGGAGGGCGAGAGUAUGGUCGGAGCUCACACGCUCUUCGUGGAGUUAAAUGUGGAAGCCGGCGCCUCUUACAUCAGCUUCAAAGUGUGACUUCUUUAGCGUCAAAAUUUUCGGCUUUGGACCUUUUUGCUGACUAAUAUUGUCCGGUCCAUAUUCUUGCAGUGUAAUUCAAGUUUGGCUUUUAAUCACUUUGGAAGCUAUAAGAGUUUUUUUUAUAUAUUCAAAAUGUUAAUUUUAAACGUAAUCUUUAUAUAUACAUAUUAUAAUAUUAUAUAUUUUGAUAAAUCUUUUUCUCCUCCUCCUACUCCAUGAUCGAUCAUGAUAGAUCUGAAUUUUUUCUUGAUCCAUCAUAUAGAUCCAUCAAAUGGGUCUCUCAAUAUGAAAGCACCUGCAAAAUAAGAAAAAGGUCUACUGGGGAUACUCCGAUAGAGACCUUUCGACGUUCAAGUCAGAUUUUAUGAAUAAAAGUAGAAUCUUUAGGCAAGAGUUACCGAGAGAGAAUAAAAAAUAAAGUCCCGAAAGGAGAGAAGAAGAAGAAAAGAGAGAGAGCCAGUCAGAGGGUCUCCACCGGGUAUCCCCGGUAGACUCUUGACCGUUUUUUUCUUAUUUUGCAAGUCUUUUCAUCAAAUAGAAUAUUGAGAGAUCCAUUUGAUGGACUAAGAAGAAAAAUAUAUUUAUCAUGAUCGAUCGUAGAGUAGGAGGUGAAAAAGAUUUAUCAUAUUUAAAUAUAUAAAAUAAAUUCAUAAUGCAUUAGUAUGGACUGAUUAUUGAGGCUUGGGAUCAGGGAGAAAGUCGUCCUGUUUUCGUCCUACACAAAAUCUAUAGGAUAGAAGAAAAUCAUGAGAUUGAGAGCAGGAAGCCGUUCAGACAAAUUUACAUCCUAGCAAAACUUUAUCCUCAAUAGUCACUAUCAUGUAAUAUAUUAAUUUGCUAAUUUAUACUUUUAAUGAGCACGACAGAACUAACUUCAUGCAAUUGCAGUGUCUUGUUAUCACUAACUUUGUCUUGGAUUGAACUUUACAUUUUCCAACCUGACAAACAUGUGAGCUGCCAUCCCACAAUACAUUUUCGUCCACUGACACAUCUUUAUUUUCGAGGAUAACCAUAUAUUAAAUAACAUAGGCUGAGCAUCUCUGAAGGGUAGAUGGCAAACCAUUGAUAGCCGAUCUAUGCAAGUAUUUUUCAUAACAUUAAUAUGGCUGAACUAUGCUCCUGUCAAUAGGCUAUGGAUGAAGAAGAGGCUAUGGAAAUGUGAGAUGUUUUGGACCACUUGCUAAGGAUGUGACCAUGAAGAAUACGAGGAAGUUGCCAAACGCAAUGCCCAUGAUGAGAUGAUGUGUAAUGCAUUAGUAAUCCACACAUUGUAAUAUAUUUCUCGCGUCAAGAUAAAUGGAUGAGUAAAAAUGUCUUAAAAAAUCAAUUAAAUAUGACAGAGGAGAUGAGUAUUUGGAAGCUAUGUCAUUGUUCUUGCUAUCGGAUACAGACAAUGUACAAUCAAGCUGUCCUGCAAGAUGGAGAUAAGUUUGAAACUUAUCUGGAAGAAAGUUAUCUUUAUUUGUCGUAUCUUCUUCAGGUACACGGCCAAUUGGAAAACACUAUGCGGCACCCUUUGCAAUUACAGUGGAUUCGACCUCUUUUUUUUUUUAAAAAAAAAAUUUCUGGAUUCGACUUGCUUCCUCAGUUGGAAUACGGGAGAGGGACAGCAAAGCUCAGAUCCAUGUUGAUGUGUUCCUGUGGGAGGCAGUAGCAAGUGAUGGUCAAAGCACUUGGAUCGAUAUGCUGUAUAAGUAUUGUACUUCAGCACCUCAGUCUGAAGCGUUGUAUGAAUUUUAGAGACUGAACUUCUGGCUUUGUUGAUUUUCGCAAUCUGAUUUUGUUAUUAUGUGUAUGUAAUCUUUUCAUAAAAACUCACAUAUAUCUUUUGUACCCCAAAAGAAAAAUCUGUUGAGUAAUGUGCAUCAAGCUAAUGUUUUCAUUUUUUUUUUCCGAAUCACCAUGCAAUAAUAUAUGUAUUUUCCUUUCAUUUGUCUUCUUCCUGGCUUCACUUUCUGUACCCAUGCUUAUGCAGAUUCUCCAUAACCUGCAGAACUUUUAUAUAUAUUAUCUCGGAGUAUAUGUGCAGCGUGCUUAAACACCGAACUUAUCAUGACUCCCUGGUCCCUGGUUAAGAGCCGAAUGUGAAAUUAAGACAAACGAAAUGUGGUCGGUGGAAGUAACCAAUGAUAAUUGCUUAUCUAUCGUUUAGUUAGUACAAUUGUAAACUAUGGAUGUGAAGUGGCAAGCAUCCAUCACGUGGCAAUUGUCCUAACCUACAACAACAGCAAAUACAAACUAUAACUAGGCUUUAGAUUUAGAAAGGCAAGUCAUCACCCCCACCAGAGACAGAGCUGGAUGCUGCAGCACUGUUGCGCUCAGCAUGACACAAUUGACGAAGCUUCGUAGGUACAUACCAAAUGGCCAGACGAGGAUGAGCAUUGAAAAUAGCAUCAAUGUCCCAACCUUGUCUUGCUGCUAUGGUCACAAGUGGCUUGUAGCAUGCCUGUCUCCACGCUCCAACGUUUUCUCCUCUCUCCUUGAAAGCUCUUCUCAGUGCAUUGGACGCAUCCUCAUCAAGGCAAUGAAGGGCAUAGCAGUGCACAUAAUGCCUCAUUUUGGGCUUGUUGAUGUAGCUUGCUCCUGCCUUCUUGGCGUACCUAAACACCUGAUUUGUCACCUAUGUCCAGGAAAAAGCCUAAUAAGACAAAUUUCAUUUAUGCUUAUCUGAAUGCAACAGUGAAAGGAGAGGACAAUGUUUUCUGCUCUUUUGAGCUGCAAAAAAUCAAUGAUUUUUCAAUGACAGGGUAAAGAAUCUGGUCGUAUAGAAGAACUCAAUAACGAUAAAUGCUGUGGGCUUUUGCAUGCCCUCUUAGAGGAGCAUUUCAAAAUCCAGAGGGUAAUGGACUUGGAUCCUAAGUCCAAUUUUGCACGUCAGAGUAAAGCCAACUGUUAAAGCCUGAAGUGCCACGUUGUCGCACGGACUCAGGAAAAUCACAUGUUAAUUGAAGAAUGAAGUACCCUAGGCCUUUCUGCAAUUUAGGCCUUCAAGUAAUGGAAUAGUGACAGCCCCACCAGACCGUACGUGACUUGGUUACCUUUUACCUUGGAACAGCUGUCAAGUUCGUACCAGAUAGGGCUGGUUGUGGGUUCACUGUGAGACCCAUGUAAUUGUAAAUGUCCUUGUGGACCCAAAAACCCGAUAUUAACGGCCCAGAUGGGUUUCUUUGUGUACCUUAGUGGGGCAUUUUUCUCCGCGGUCCUUGGCGAUGUUUUGGACUUGUAUCAAGAAUUCACGGCACUGUUCGUAGAGAUGGAAUAGGUAAUCAAGGCCGUUCUUCUUACCACGAGCCACUUCCCCAGGCUCCGUCACAAUAAAUGGGUGCUCCCGUUGUCUCUCGUACCCACCUGCACCGCCAUUUUCAUCGUUCUCGUUUUCAUCAUCAUGAUCAAUGUCCACCACCUUCCGCUGCCCUUUCCUCCUUCGCUGCUGCUUCCUCUCUGCUGCUGCUGCUGCCGCCUCCCACGCUCCACUUCCGCCGCUCCCUGCUGCUUCCUUCUCUUGCUGCACUGGCUCCUCUGAUAACCCUGCCCACGUACCCAUCACACCACAAUCAGGAUUAAACGCAAACAGAAAAGAAGAAGAUUAUUAUUUACAUACAUCCUUGUGUUGCUUGCAAAGGGACUUGACACAUCAUAUAUAAAAUGGAUGUAACAGUUCCGAAUCUCAAAUCCAAAUAUGAAAACAGCAAUCAGAACUUAAUUUUAUUUUUAGAGGUUACGAGAAGCGCAGAUCAAGCUAACAGGAGACAACGAUAGAACAUAAAUAAAAAAUAAAGAUUACAUAAAACGCAGCUAAGCAAAUUAAAAAAUACAACACAUACUACUCUCUAUCUAAGCCUUGAGUGACGCAACAAGCAUCCAAAGCAGAUAGCUAAACUGGUAAAACUUUAAACAUGCUCUUUCCAAUGAGUAAUGAAUCUCCUACUAAUUCUCAACUCCAUAACUUAGAAUUCUACUAAUAUAGCAGGAAAAUACUAAGGUAAUUAAGGAAGCAACAAUGGAAUUUAUGGGAAUUAUAACUAUAUUGUAUUCUAAACAAAAACGUAGUAAGCUUGGUAACAAAACCUUCUUGGGAGAGAGCAUCGAGAGCGUUGGUGGUAUCUCCUGAUAGCAGAUGUCUUCGCCGAGAAUCCUCCUCCUCAAGCCUCCUUCUCUCAGCUCUAACCGCCGCCUUUAUACCAUAUCUCUCUCCAACAAGAAGAUCCCACCUGAAAAUCUGAGAUAAACUGUUCAUCAUCUCAUCAAGCUCCUCGUCCUUCAUGUCCAAAAGCGUGUUCACAGUGAAUCCCAGCUCUGCUAUCUUCGCUGCCGUGUAGUACCUUAUCCCAUACGCCUGAAACAACUCCUCAAGUCCACACAGCUCCCUCGGUCUCACCGCGUACCCUGCCGUCAGUUGGGGCGGUGGAGCCACAGCUUCGAGAAGACGGUUCGGUGCUGGCACCACUGUUCGCGGGUCCCACUUGAACAAACUUGCUGUGAAGGCCUCUGGAUCCAUAUCUCUAUCUAUGCGCGCGUCUACUCUCUAGAACUGAUCUCUUAUACUUCUGUGAGGGUGGCAAGGUGUACAUUGAUCAUAAAAACAGGUGCUUGUUAGUUGUUUUUGCGUUGUUAAUUUCCGAAACUACCCUUGCAUCCCUUUAUUUUUUUUUUUCUUUUUCUUUUCCUUCUAUUUUCUUUUUUGGAUCAAGUAGCUAACAGAAUUGGAGGCCUGAUGUUUGGUUGGGACUUGACAGUUGAGACCAAACCAGUCAGAUUGUGUGUCAUUCGGUUCCUCGCAGUUACAUAACUUACAUUCUCCACAUCGAAGUUCCAAUAUAUGCACUCAUAUUUUGACACAUAAGCAACAUAACACCAUGUGGGCCACGAAGCCCUACAAUUUUUUUUAUUAUAAUUAUUUUAUAAGUACUCAAUUUGUUUUCUCAUAUUUUCAAUUAUUAUAAAUUAACAAAUUUUAAUCAGCUGCGUAUUUUACGCAAAAAAAAUAAUUAAAAUUAUAAUUUUUUAAAAAAUGCAUUAAAACAAUGGUAACUUUUAUUUUAAUAAUCUAUCAUUAGAAUAUAGCAUAAUACGUUUAAUAAGUUGAAUUAACAAUUAAGAAUUUCAUUUCAUGAAGAAUUAUUUAAAUUAUAAAGUCAACAAUACAUGCUUAAUUAGAUUUACUCUAGGUAUUUCACAUGUAACAGUUUUGCUCAGCCGUCCAAUUGACGAUCAGACAAAGCAGUAGCGCAAUCUUAUGUUUUGGGUCUAUUGUAAGUGUGGUGCAACUGAAUGUGCCAGAUAAUGUCUCCUUGACUUUCUCGUUACGACAUAUAGAGUUUUUCUACUUCGUUGGAGAUGCCUGGUCUGUUUCCGACUUUAUCGUUGCCACAUCAUAUAUUCUAACUUAAAAUACAAAAAGUCGAAAACACCCUCUUAUUUCAGAACAUAAUUAUAUUUACAAUAAAAAUUAAAUUAUAUAUUUAUUCAUUGAUUAAUUAUAAAAUAUUAGAAAUUUUUUUUAUAAACAUAAUUUAUUAUGUAAUGAAUUGAUUUUAUUUUUUUAUUUUUUUAAUUUUAAAAACAAGACAAAAAUGCUGUUGGCUAAUUUUCCAUCCUCAAUCCUCAAGUGAGAGAUUGGGGGGAAAAUUAGAAAGAAAAAAAAAAAAAAAAAACUCUGGGAAAGCCACAUUGACCGAACUAUGCUAGAAAUCUGAUCACUUGCUAUAACAAGAUAAGGGGUAAAUCCGUAAUUCAAAUAGGUUAAACAUGAGAGUCGUUUGGUUAGAGUUAGAAAAAUAAUAAUAAUAAGUGAAGCUUUCUAUCAAGUGCAAAAAAAAUUCCUGUUUAUUUUUACAUAAUUAGAACAAUUUUUUCUUUCAUAUAAGAGAAAUAAUUUAUCUAACAAAAAUUUAAUGAAUUCCAUAAUUUUUUUUCACUUUAAAUUAUAUCAUAAUUAUUAUAUUUUUAAAUUAUAAGUUUCUUGAAAUUGUAUUUUAUAUAAAAUAUACUAAUCAAAAAGCAAGACAAAAUAAUUUAUUGCGAAAUAAAUUAGAAGGACAAUUUAAAAAGCAACACUGUUCCUUGGCGAUGUAGGAAAUAAAAUGCAGAGUAAGUACAAAAAAUGUCAGGUGUUUCAGCUAAGUCUCUCUGAGCAAAAGGCUGUUUUUGUACUUGUGAAUAAAAAUAAAUAAUCCAACGAAGCCCAUAAUGAGCUGUUCUUUGUUUUGGUCUUACAAUCAGCUGCUCCCGCAUCUACUUGCAUCUCCCACUGGAGCUUAUUUCGUGCGUUGGAUAAUCUGAAUCGUGCAGACUAAUUUGCUACGUUUCAAAUAUUCAGUGGCCGUAUCAGUGCACGCUUAUGAGCAUGAAGAAAUUCCCGAAGGGAAAUAAUCCAUCUUUUAUCUUCUUUUUAGAAAAAUAAAAACUUGUUUUACAUCGAAAAAGAGAAAAAAAAAUACCAAAAUUAGUUGGUCAACCACACAGUACUUCUGAUACUGCCAAUGGAAUCAUGACACGUCACGUCUCUGAUUAGAUGCUAACAAUGCGUCAGUUGCUCAGGCUGGAUUUUUUCUUGCAUAAACAGUACUUUUCCUCCUACUCUAUUUCCAGCUCUUCCUUUCACAUUGCUUUUUAAUCAAUUCUGGCGUUUCAUGGCAAAAUUUAUUACUCCAAAUCUAAUGCGGUUUUUCAAAUUAAAUAAUUAAAUAAAAUUAUUUAUAUCAAUUAGACAUUAGAGUCCUCAAUCAAAUAAGAGCUUUUUGAUUAGCGCAUUAAAUCUGAAAAAUUUUAUUAUUUAUUAUAUUUAAUUUUUUUUAAAAUAAAAAUUAGAGAUCAAAGGUAGAAUAUAAAAUUUUUUAAAUUUAUUUAAAUAAAUUUAUUAUCAGUUUAAAUUUGUAAAUGCAUUUAUUCACUUUUAUAAUGCAUAUAAUAUAAAAUGAAAAAAUUAUUAAACUGAGAUGAGAAUCUAUUAAUUAAAAAUUUUAAAUUCAAGGGUUAAAUAUAAAAUAUUUUUAAAGCUGCUUAACAUAUGGGAAUGACAAUUUGCAUCCAUGGGGUCUAACAAGAAAUGGGCUAAUAAUGGGCCACUACCACUGGUAACGAGAAACUUAGGAAUAGUCGCAAGUCACAGAAAUAGCUCUGGGCUUAUGACAAUUGGUUUGGUUUUCGGUUUUGAACUCUUCUUCUUUCCCUCGUGGUAGCGUAAACUUAUGCAUUUAAUUUCACAAUCUCUAAUCAAUGGGACCGUGCUUAACUUUCAGUUUUUAACCAGACACUAAUCAUCACCCUCCACCAGUUUUACAAAAAAAUUAUGGGAAACUAGGUUUUUUUUUAUUAUCAUAUAUUGAUUGUUGAAAUUAAUUUUUAAAAAUUUUAAUUAUUUUAUUAAAAUAAAUUCCAAGACCAACGCCAGUUGAAAUCAAAUCAGAAGAGAAAGCUAGUAAACAUAGGACAGGCAAUUAAAUCAUAUUAGACCAACAACAUUGCAAUACAAGUUGAGUAAUGUGUCGGUGCAACUAUAAAUAAAAUAAUUACUAUAAGGUUUUAUAAUUUGAACGUGUUCAACAUUUUUUUACAUUAUAUUAUGAAGCCUUGAACUAACGUCAAUCCUUUGAGAGACACAAUCUAUCAACUUUUAUGUAAUCAAUUGGAGUUAGGUUCAAUAGUGUUGCUGUUAAAGUAUCAAACAAUUCAUGAAUUUAUUUUAUUAAUUAAUCUCUAUAUUUUAUAAAAAUAUUUAUAAAAAAAGAUAAUGGCUAAUUAUAAAUAAUAGACUAAAUAACUUAAUUAUUUUUUAUAAGAAAAAUAAAAUAAAAUUAAAAUUCACCCACAUACUUGAAACAAGAUGUGCCAAAUUACCCUUCAGUUGAAAAAUAUUUAGCUUAAGUUAAAAAAAGUAAAUUAAAUAUAAUGGGUAGUGUAAAUUUUGAAUAUUUGGAGAGCAGGUUGAAGAAUGCAGCUAGGAUCUGGUAAUGAGGGGGACUUUCCAUCAAACCCCGGCAGAAAUUAAUUUAUAUAAAAAGAAGGAUUACAGAGCCCACUAAUAAAAUAAAUAAAAUUAGUUAUUCUAAUUUUCAAGAAACAACGUAAGGAUCUUCUUCAAGCAAAUUUGCUUGGCCUUCUCUGUCAAUCUGUUGCUCUUUCUUUCCCCUUUGUUUCUCUAAUCAUGAAAGAAACUCGUUUAUUGCAUUUCUAACAAGACCCUGUUACUUGUUAUCGUCACAUUUCAACUGUCUCUUCCCAGUCUCAGCCUCAAAUCGUCCUCCUCCUAUGCUCAUGUCCUCUGCUUCUUUGGGUCCUUGAGCUGCUUCUUUGUCAGAUUUCUCUUUAUUGCUUUUUCUUUCAUGCUUCGAAACACUGAAGGGACAGGGAAAAUGGACAUUUGGAAGUGGGUUUUUGUUGGGAUUCUCUGCUAUGCUGCUUUUGCAUCGACUGUUGGUGCUGUGAAGCUGAGCAGGAGUCAACCCACUGAGAGGAUUUCAGGUCUCUUUCCUUUGCACUUACCUCUAUUUGCUUCUGUGGUGAGGGAUUGCCAUGUUCUGUUAUUAUCCAUCCCUAUGUUGUUGAUUGAUAAGCUGAUUUAUGCUAUUUUAUAACUUUGAUGUAGGUUUGAUAAGUGAAUUUAGGGUUUCUUUUUCUCUUCGUUCUGAGAAUGUAGUUUUUGGUCAUGGUACAUUUUUGGGGAUCCGCUUGGGUUGAAGCUCAACGGGAGAUUUGCUAGGAUUGCUGGCUUUAGUUUGUUUUCUAAGGUCUUUCACUAGUCAAAAGUAAUGUUCGGCGUUAUAGUGUAAGAAUUUUAUUUAGAACACUGAUAAAACUCUUUUAUAUCUUUGUAAGCUGUAUAUGCCUCUUCUGCUAUGAUUAUUCGUCUUAUGCUUGAGCAAAGAGAAAAGGUUGGAGCUUAAGAUUAACAAAAUAUGGUCUCUUAGUUACCAAGCAUGAUAAAUUUGAUGAUGAGACCGAUGUAUCUAUAUGGUUGCGGAAGGUACGUAGAAGGAAUAGGUGGACAUGGUUGCCAUCGAAUGGGUAUAUGUUUCAAUUCAAGUUGAUUAAGCCAUAAUCCCAUUCUAGUAGAAGUGGGCUUUGGGGUUUGCUGGAGGAGGGAUGGCUAUAUGGUUUUUUCCUCCAUUCUACUUGAUUCAGGGCUAAAUUGGUAGAAUGGUCUUAUGCGGUUAAACCUCAUUUAUAUUCAUCCUAGGAUAUAAAAUGGUUACUUGUUCUGAUACAAUUGGACUACUAUAGAAUGUAAUUUGGAAGUGCACUAGAAUUAGAUCAAUUAUUGUAGCUGAGGAAGUCCUAAUUUGUAUUUCCUCGAUUGAAUGCUAAUAAACAAGGGCAACCAAAAAAAAGUAUCAUUUCAAUUAGUAUGAUGGACGGGUGUAAAUAAGGUUAAUUUUGAUUGUAUUUAUUGGUAGUCAUACACAGCUGGACUGCUGCAGAAUAUGUCGUCUGCUGUCUAUUUAGUUAGAGAAAAUUUGUUCUUUUAGCUGAUAAGCUGAUUAUUUUAGUUCAUAUGAUCUCAAGUUAAAAAAAGAAGAAGUUUCCAUGUAUGUAACUCCAACCAGUUUGGAUUGAAUUGAAGGGAGUAAAAAAAGUUAAUUUUGAUUGUAUUUAUUGUUAGUCAUACACAGCUGGACUGCUGCAGAAUAUGUUGUCUGCUGUCUAUUUAGUUAGAGAAAAUUUGUUCUUUUGGCUGAUAAGCUGAUUAUUUUUAGUUUAUAUGAUCUCAAGUUAAAAAAAGAAGAAGUUUCCAUGUAUGUAACUCCAACCAGUUUGGAUUGAAUUGAAGGGAGUAAAAUGUCUCUAAUUUCCCUGUCAUAAGAAAUUAGGUGCCUUUUAUGUCUGAAUGUCAUGGUAUUCUGGCAUGUAUUUUUGACAUCCCCACUAAUGAAAUCACAUUUCUAGGAGUGUAUGCAGAAAGAGAAAGGUUUCUUCCCUGGGUUAGUAAUUAGUAGUUUCUUUUUGCCCUACCUCUUUAAUACUUUCCGAAAUCACUUCACCUAAUAAUAGGCAGUACCAAGCCCUGGAACACCAUAUUACAUUGAUGUUCAUUUUGCAUUAAGUUCGAGAUUAUGAAGUCAAAUUAUUUUUGUGGUGAACAUAUCUGACAUCUUUUAGUAGACCUUAACUAGACUAAUGAAAAAAAUAUUUUAUGCGGAAGUGAGGAAAGGGAGAAAUGGGAGUUUACUUUUUGCACAUAUUGCAAUUGUUAUAUUGAUAAGGAUUAAAUGUUCUAGAACUAUAAACUCUCUGUAAUUAUGAGACCUUUAAGUGAUAGGAUUUGUGGAACAUGUAGGUAGUGCUGGUGAUGUUUUAGAAGAUGAUCCUGUGGGAAGGCUAAAAGUUUUUGUUUAUGAACUCCCAAGCAAAUACAACAAGAAGAUUCUGCAAAAGGAUCCAAGAUGCCUUACCCAUAUGUUUGCUGCUGAGAUCUUUAUGCAUAGGUUUCUCUUAUCUAGCCCUGUUCGAACUCUCAAUCCUGAGGAAGCUGAUUGGUUUUAUACCCCUGUAUAUACCACUUGUGACUUGACACCAAAUGGCCUUCCUCUGCCUUUUAAAUCACCAAGAAUCAUGAGAAGUGCUAUCCAGCUUAUUUCUUCAAACUGGCCCUAUUGGAACCGGACUGAAGGAGCUGAUCACUUUUUUGUUGUCCCCCAUGACUUCGGAGCAUGCUUCCAUUAUCUAGUGAGUCAAUCAAUCCAUUUCUUUCAUGUUUGUUCCUAGUAACCUCCUAUUUUUUUGACAAGCUGUUUACUGAAUUUUAACCAACAGAGCUGAUCAUAUGGAUUCUCAAACUCCUAAUAUGUUUCAGCUUUUGUGCUGUAUCAAAUUGUCAUAAUGCGAAUUUGUACUUCAUCGAGUUGUUAUAUUCUGGCAAGGUUCUCUUCCUUGAUGUCAUUAACUUUUGUUGGAUGUUUCCCUCUUCACACGUGCUGUUGCAGGAAGUGAAGGCCAUUGAAAGAGGAAUUCUUCACUUGCUCCAACGUGCUACCUUGGUGCAAACUUUUGGACAACGGAAUCAUGUUUGCUUAAAGGAGGAGGGCUCAAUAACUGUUCCUCCAUAUGCUCCUCCACAGAAAAUGCAAGCCCACCUUAUUCCUGAGAAAACUCCUCGAUCUAUCUUUGUCUACUUCAGAGGAUUGUUUUAUGAUGUAGGGAAUGACCCAGAAGGUGGCUACUACGCAAGGUAUUUUAAAUAGUGUUUACAUUUUUAAGCAAAGAGUUGAGGUGCAAGUGUUUUCAAUUUUUUUCGUGUAGCAACAAAGGCUCAAAUCCAUAUUUUGUUUGAUGUUGGUAAAAAAAUGUAGAUAUGAAGCUGUGACAAGAACCAUCUCGUAAUUUUAACAGUUAACUGAAAUAUUCAGGUAAAUCACCUGGUGUUUCAUUAAAAUGCUAUGAAUUGUUUGUAAGUGGAAGAGAAUUAUCAAAUUUCAUGGAUUCUCUAUUUAUCCUUGUUCUGAUAGAAGUUUGAAAAGCUAACUUAAUUCUCCAUUUUUGGAAAAUUUUCAGAGGUGCACGAGCAGCAGUGUGGGAGAACUUUAAGGACAAUCCGCUUUUUGACAUAUCCACGGAGCACCCAACUACAUACUAUGAAGACAUGCAACGAGCUGUGUUUUGUUUGUGUCCACUUGGGUGGGCCCCCUGGAGUCCGAGAUUGGUUGAAGCAGUUAUAUUCGGUUGCAUUCCCGUCAUCAUAGCUGAUGAUAUAGUUUUACCCUUCGCUGAUGCAAUACCAUGGGAAGAGAUUGGAGUUUUUGUAGAUGAGAAAGAUGUACCAAACUUGGACACCAUUCUGACUUCAAUCCCACCUGAAGUAAUACUUAGGAAGCAGAGAUUACUUGCGAACCCUUCAAUGAAGCAGGCGAUGCUAUUCCCACAACCUGCACAACCAGGAGAUGCUUUCCAUCAAGUUCUGAAUGGACUUGCACGUAAACUGCCGCAUGACAGAAGUAUUUACUUGAAGCCAGGUGAGAAGGUCUUGAACUGGACUGCAGGUCCUGUAGGUGACCUGAAACCUUGGUAGCAGCUAUAACAUGUACAUUUAUUUGAAGAAAUUCUUGGCAACCAACAGAGUUUCUCAAAAGUUUGACACUGUGAAUCUUGAUUUUGCCACAACUGUUGGAUUAUGCAGGUUUAGUGAAUAGGGAUAUUGCUAUGAGCUGUUUCUUCCCUUCCCCCUCCACCUCCCUUCUCAUGUAAAGGAACUUUUUAUCAAGAGUUUUCCAUGUUUCAAUUAGUAAGAGCUAUUUGUCCAUUCACAAUUGCUAAAUACGAGCUAAGUGCCAACACCCAUGUUGUGGGCUAUAGGUUGAAAGUAUUUAUCUGCUAGUUGAUAAGACCAGAGCUAUAGUUUCAUUUUAUUUAUUAGGUAUUUAUAAUUUAAAUUUGAUAUUAUUAGAAAUUCAGAAAAAAUGAAGAAUAACAAAGGUAAAACUAAACAUAUUUCGUAGAAUUGAACUUGAUGCUGAUGGAGAUAUUAAUCUCAAAAAGAGUAUACUAGUACAUGAAAUUAAAUUGUAUAUGUUAAUAUUGAAAUGAUAAGAACCCAAGUCUAAAUCAUCUUCUCUCCAACAUAACAUGUGAGGAAAUUUUUUUAAAAUAUUUUUAUAAAUUAUUUAAUAUUUUAUUAUUAUUUUUUAAUAAAUAUUAUUUUACAUUAUUUUAUUUUUUUAAUAUUAUAAAAUUAAAAUUUAAAAUUAAUAUAAUAAAUUUUUGUAAUUUUUUAUAAAUAUAAAAAAUAAUUUUUAUUACACUUAAAUUCUUAAUUUAAAUUGUUAACAUUGGUUUUUGUUAUUAUGAUAUAAUAAUUUAAUUUAAUUUAAUUUUUAAAUUGUUAACUAUUAAAUACAUUAAUUUUAUAAAUAUUAACUAUUAUAAUUUAUAAAAUAAGCUUUUAUAUAGAAUUCUUAAAAUUGUUAAUCGUAUAUAGCUCCGCUUUUUAAUACUCUUUAAAUUUAUACGAAAAAUAAUUAAUGAAAAAUGUAUUUUUUAAUUUUAAAAGAAAAAACAUUUUAUUUAAAGUUUUGAUUAUAUAAAUUUUUUAAUAAAAAAAUUAUAUAUAUAAUUAAUCAAAAUUAUAUCAUUUUAUAAAAUAAAAUUUAUAUUCAAAUACAAAAUACUUUAGCCAACUAAAUUAAAAAUCUAAUUACAAUUAUCAAAUUUAAUUACAUCCAAAUUUCAUUAUUUUUUUGUCUUUUCACUUUUAUAAAAUCAUUCCAUUUUAUUUUUUAUUAAUUAUAUUUUAUUAAAUAAAAUAAUUCAAAUUUAAAAUAAAAAUAUUAAUUUUAAAUAAACAUUUGAAAUAAUUUACUCAAUUAUUAUACUAAAUAAUAUAUAUGGUCAAAACAUAAAAUUUUAACACUUUUGAUAUUUACAAAGAUUUUUAUUUUUUAAAUUUAAAAAAAAUAUAUAUCAUUUUUAUUACAUUUUUCAUUUAAUGGAAUGCUUAUGAAAAAAACAUAUAUAUAUAUAUAUUCUAAACUAAAAAAUUAUAUGUAUUUUUUAAAAAUGACCUUGCAUAAAAUAUUUAAAAAAUAAAAAUAAAUAUAAAUAAAAUCAAUUUAAUAAAAAAAUUAUAAAAUUAAAGAAAAAAUUACAAAAAUAUUAAAUCAAAGCAACUGAAAUCCAUUACGCAUAUAAAAAAAUCAAAUUCAACAUAAAUUUAAAUUAAAUAAAAAUAUACAUAAAUUAUUAGUUGAACUAAAAGAGCAAUACAAAUAAUAUUUUUAAAAAUUAAAAUGCUAACAAUGCAAUUAUAUGUAUAUAUACGAUAUCUCUCUAUUAAAUUUAUGAAAAUUCAAUUAUAUUUUUAAUAAAUAAUAAUGAUUUAUUAUUAAAUUUAUCAUUUAAUAGCAAUUGUAAAUUGUAAAUUUUUAAUUUUUAAAUAUUAAAAAUAUUAUUAAUUUACUAUAAUAUUUAUUUUUUAAAAAAAAUAAAUUAAAUUUACAUCAAUUUAAAAAAUUAAAAUUUUCAUUUUUAAUUUGACAAAUCUAUUUUUAAAGUGUAUAACAGAUUCAAAGAUAUACUUAAAAAAUUUAAUUAUUCUCUUCUUUUUCUCGUUUUAAAAUAUAUCAUUAUUUGUAAUUUUAUAAUAAUAACUUAUAAUUUUCUAAACAAAUAAAAAUAUCCUUUUUAAGUUAUUAAAAAAAUUAAUUGACGCUAAUUAUUAAUUUAAAUUAUUUUUAUAUUUCUAUAUACGAUUUUUUAAUUCAUUAUUUUUUUAAAAAAUAAUUUAAUUUACAAUAAAAUUUCAAUAAAUAGAAUUUAAAUGUAAAAAAGAUAUUUUAUAGUAAAAUUUAAUCAAGAAUAUUUUAAUCAAUUUAAAUUUAAAUAGACUAAUAAUAUAAUUAAAUUAAAAUUUUUUAAAAAAAUUAAUUUAACUUAAGAUAAAAUUUGAAUAUAAGUAAUUUAAAUAUUAAGAGAAUUCUUUAUUGAUAAAAUUUAAUCAAUUAUAAUUUAAAUAUUAAGAGAUUUCAUCAAUCAAUUAAUAUAAUUAAAUAAUUAAAUUAAAAUUUUUUAAAUAAUAAUAAAACAUAGUAGAAUUAUUUUAAAAAGUACUAACAUUUUUUUUUAAAUUUUUAUAUAUAUUACAGAUUAAUAAAUAUUAUAUAAUUAAUAAUUCUAUUGCCAAAUUAAUAAUUAAUUUAAUUUUAAACGCGAGAGAAAAAAAGAGUGGUAAUAAUUAAAAUGAUAAUUUGGAGAAAAGACGAAUAUUAUUUUUUUACCAAUAAGACUUAUUAUUUUUUGAAAUAAAAAAAGAUUUAAUAAUUUGUAUUAAAAAUUAUCUCACACAACCAUAAUAUUUAUAAAUUUAUAAAAGUAGAAAAAAAUCAUUUAGUUACUUCCGGUUAAAAUUGAUAGAUAAGAGAUGUAAUUUAUAAAAUUUCCAAAACGUGAGCAGAAAGUGCCAGAACUAGAACAACUUUUGUGGGACGGGAGACAUGAAAGCCCCGCUUCCACGUGUUCUCCAAGCAGCCGAUAAAACUAGCUAAUUUACCUCUACUCAGUGUUCACCUCUUAUCUCCUCGUCUCGUCUUCUGCCUCAAUUCUGUUUGCCUACAGAUCGACCUGCGAGGAGAAGAAGCUUGGCUGCCGGAGAAAUGUCCCUGCAUGCACCCACCAGGAUUCAGGCCGCCAAUCCUACUUCUCCACCUUCUAUUUUAGCUCCUCUUGGCAGUAAUGCUGGGCUCAGGCCACCAUCGGAUCGUUUUGCUCUGAAAUCCUCCUCCUUUUCUCCAUCGCUCCACCUCUUGCUUACUUCUAAUCAACAGAAGCCUCUUGCUUCUGCAGCUCCAAGAUUCUCCAUGCGUGUUGCCUCCAAGCAGACCUAUAUUUGUCGCGAUUGCGGGUGAUGAUAUCUUUUGGGUUCUAGAUUGUUUCUUGAUUUUGUUGUAUUCUUUGUAAAGUUUAGUAGAUGAAGGGGUUGUGAUUUAGUACAAUUCUGGUGAUUCUAGGUAUAUUUACAACGAGAGGACUCCUUUCGAGAAACUGCCUGACAAGUACUUCUGCCCUGGUACUCACUUCCAUGUUCGCUUCAAUUUUCAGUUUCCAAUAUCCUUUGGUUAAUUCAGAUUGGUAGUGGGUGGCAUAGAUUAUCCUCCUUAUCCAUGAACUACUGAUGAUUUCUUAAUAUUGGUUGAUUAAACUGUAGUCCGUCGUCUUUAGCUAUCUCAUUAUGAACAAAAUGUUUGAUGCUUGUAUGCACUAGAAAAGGGAACGGGGAGUUGUCAUUUCAAAAUUUUCUGGCUGGAUUAGAUUGCUGAUGCUAUGAAUUGAAUUUGCUUGGCAGUUUGUGGUGCUCCAAAAAGGAGAUUCAAGCCAUAUGCACCUGCUGUGACAAAAAAUGCUAAUGAAACAGAUGUUAGAAAAGCACGCAAAGCUGAAAUCCAGAGAGAUGAAGCAAUUGGGUAAGCACACGUCUAGUUUCUUGUUAGUUUUACAAAUCUCAGCCUCUCGUAACAAUGGUAAACUUGACAGGCGAGCUUUGCCAAUUGCAAUAGUGGUUGGAGUCGCAGCCCUUGCUGGUUUAUAUUUCUACCUGAACAACAGCUUCCAAGGUUGAACGUCGGUAAUUUCACAGGAACUAUGGCAGAAGAAUUUUAUGUGAAUGCUCGAGUUCAUAGAACAGGGCAAUUCUUGUAAUUUUAUUCUAUUAAGGAAACGUUUAUUUAAUGUUAUUCUUUUCCUCCAUUCCAAGAUUGAUAAAUGCAAACUUCUCACUGUCCGCAGCUAUAAUGAAAAUCUAGGAAUUUUCAAAAUCAACGCAAUAAAUUGCCAAAAGAAAACUGACGGAAAGCAUGGACUUUAACCGAGAAAAUUGUAAUUUGAUAAAACAAAUUAAAGUUUGAAACUUUACACAUGGUUAUAUAUGUAUUAAGUAAUCAUUCUUGCAACACAAAAGAACCCUCUAUUCUUUUCUCCAUCAGUUGUAGAGGGGGGAAAUUCAAAGGAGAAAACAUAUCAUUAGAACCAGAGGCUGGUGCAGGCUUGAACUCAUAAGGUCCUUCCUUCACUCCCCAAACCUGUAUCCAGCAAAGACAGCUUUCUUAAAAAAUUAAGGGUUUUGUUUCAUUUCCAAUCAACGUUAUGUUAAACCAAAGAUAGAGAGCUAACCUGAUUUCCAUCAUCAUCAUAGCCCCUAUCCCAGGUAUGUAUUUCAUUGUUUUUUAAAAUUGCAAGUUCUGAAGUGCAGUAGCUUGCUCCGUUCUGUCAGAAUGAUAGAUGAGUAACGACUACAAUUAUACUUGUUCCCAUCUAUAGAUCUUCUAUAUAAUUUCCCAUAUAAAUGAAAAAACGCACAAGGCCUGGAAUAACUUAAAAUUGAAUGAUGACAAGAAGGAUGAAAGCAAAUACCCAUGAAUUUGGGAAUCCGCCGGGGGGAGUAGAACCUUCAUACAAGCAGCAUUUUCCACGGUCACAGCGUUUAAGAUGUAUUGUUGUCAGAUGUUCUGCAAUGUCCUGCACUUGCGCAACAAAAUGGAGAAACUGAUUAAGAGAACUAGUUAUCCAUUUUGAUAAUGCAGGCCAUGGCAUAUAUUAGAAUUAACAGUCAUCUAAGAAGCAAUGGUGACUUUAAAAUUCACAAUUUUCUUGAAGUUUAAAGCAAAACAAAUAAAAUCCAGUACCACAUGAUAAUGAGUUGAGUCAAAAUCUGAAUAUGUCUAGAGGACUUACACCAAUAACUUCUUCUGGCAGCGGUCGCUGAUCCUUUGGUCGAUCACAGAAAUUUUUGUACUCCUCUGCGUCUCUGAUGGCAGAUGAGCUCACCUGUCAAUUAAUGGAAGAAUGAAAUGAUUUAUUAGUUGUGUAAGGUGUUUAUGUGAAAUCUCUCACAAAACCUCAAAAAGAAUUAGGAACAGCAAAACUAUUUUAACUGUGGUAAUGGAUGGGGAAAAUGAUCUACUUCACAAGAUGAUAUUACUAACUAGCCAGGUAAAAAAAAAAUACAGUUGCAGUAAGAAAACAGGGCAAAAAGUUUUAUAAUGAAGCACACGCAUGACAGUUCUAUUAUUACGAAGAAACCAUGGCAUGUUUUCGCAUAAGUCUCAGAGUCAUGUUUCAGAGCAUAAUUUAUGGAGGUAUAUUCUUGGCCAUCGUUCAUUAAUACUACUACUACUACUACUUUAUAGAUCUACUUGAUGAAAAUCAACUACUAGUAAAUAGGAGUUCAAGGGGCUUCAAACAAACAUUAUGAAGACGGCAUGAUCAAAGUAAAAAAGAACUUUGGUGUAAAUAAUUGCAAAUGGUAUUGAGAAUAGGAAUAGUAGUUAUACUAAUAGCACUAAUUAUAUUAGGGCCAUAUUUAAUCCCCUAAGAUUGCCCCUUAACAAUAUGAGGGAAAGAGAUAAUGCGUAGUUUGUACUUGAUUUACAAUGCAGCGCAAAUAAGUUAUUAUAAUAAGCUCACCUCAACAUCGCAUUUCAACUCCUUUGGACAAGGUUUCACCAUAUAGAACCUCUGAAAAAGAUAUAAUUGUUUUAGAAUUUUCUUUUUGUUGCAGAAGUGUCAUUAAACAAAAGCCGCAAGCUAAAAUAUUUACAAGCAGAUGGAAAAGAAAGCAACUUUUCCACUUUGGAAAGCCAAAAAUCUUGCAUACAAUCUAAAAAUAAGAAUGUUCUUGAUAUAUUAAUAAAAUGUAAGCAAAAAUCUAAAUCAAACAGCAAUAUGAUAGAUUACCUGCCGAAAGGGCUUUUGAGGAGUUCUCCAGAAUGCCUAAUAGUAGACAGAUGACUCUCAUAAAAUGGCAGACAUGAACUAAAUUUACAAAUGAAAAUGCAGUAAAGACAGUGAGUUCAACUAACCUGUUCGAAAUAUAAAACCUUGGAACCAUCCACCAUCUCCGCUGCCGGACAAGUAAGCAUUCUGCACAUGAGAAUUCCUAAAACUAAAAAUAAUGAAAGAAUUUACAGCAUCUGAAAUUUCUCUUGCAAUUUCUGAAUGUUCAAGCUUCAUUCAGGCUCAUCGCUUACUCAAAUUUCAACAAAAUUAGUGGUUCAAAAACAACAAUGGAAAUCCGACGAAGAAGUAAAGGGGUACCUAAUGUUGAAGUAAUUAUCGGGAUCUCGGGAUGCUUGUUCUCUGGAGAACUAACUCCACAAAUUAAAUUGACACAGGAAUUAGCGAAGCAACGAAAAUGGGGAUGAACCCAAAAAUGCAACAAGCUUAAUUAAAACGGUACCUUUUCGCCGCUGAGUGAUUGAGCUACAAUUCGAGCAUGGUCCCAACGGGUAGUAGACUUGGUGAGACGCUUCACCAGAAUCGCACCGCCGAUCAAAACCAGUGUCUUGAUUACCAAUCCUCGAGCUCGGCUCCAUCCAUUAGAUUCCCAGCCCGUUCCCAUUUUCUAGUUCUUUAUACACGGACGCAGGACCAAGAACCCAGCACCAUUUCUUCCCCUAAAAAAUCGGAUAAAACGAAAAAAGCUGUAGCAGGAUAUCGCUGCAAUGAGGCAGCGGGGAGGAGGAGGAGGAGGGAAUGUGGAGAUUGAAUAACAACUGUGUUAAUAUGAUCGUGAAUUAUGGUGACAGAGAAAGAUAUGGCUCGAAUAAUUGAUGAAUCAGAGAUUUGUCAAUUGUUCGAAUCCCUGACUCGCCGGCGCCCAGUUGUCGACAGGAGCUGGUUAAAGUUCCUUUGGGCUUUGUCAGCCCCGUCAGGCUCUGCUUUUCCUCACAGUUGGUUUCGUUCUCUGGUAAGCGAAGCUAGAUUGCGGUGCAGAUUACUUGGGCCGCUCCACAUCCUUUCAAUUGUGCGCGUAGAGUGACUAUUAUACCCCGCACCUUGAUUAAUACAAAAUCUAUGUAUUUUGGCUUGGAAGUUUCAUGUAUUCGGGAGAAUUCUAAUUAUUUUUUUAUUNNNNNNNNNNNNNNNNNNNNNNNNNNNNAAAAAACAACAGAGGAAGGGAGAGGGGGAGGAUUAUCCCACUGAUUGGUGGCUUAACCAACCACUGAGCUUAUCUGCUUAUGUGCAAGAACUGUGCCUUACUUGACAGGGAUUUGGGAAUUCGAUCUUUAAAUAUUACUUGAAAAUUGAAAUUCGUUUGUUGUUAACUUCAGAAUCUGGCAAUUUUAGUACAAAUGACGCCCAAACAAUAGAUUUUACAGGACGUAAUUUCAAACACAAACAGAUAACCAGUCACUCAUAAAAUCAACAACUUUAUUUAAAGUUUCCAGAAGGAUGAGGGUUCUAUAUCACUGUCGCUCUCAUCAAGGAGAAACCCCCAGAAGAUCCAUCACCAGCAACAGAUUCAAGCACAGUACUCCUCUCUUUCUCAUGCUCCUUAAAACAGUAAACAGGAGCUUGCCAAUUUUCAUCCUCCAGCACUGCUCCGACCUCAAACGUCAUCACAUGAGUAACCAUCCCUAGCACACAACACAAUCACAACAUUCUCAAUGGUAGAUUAUUAAAUAAAAAUGGGUAUUAUCUAUUCUUUAAAUUUCAGAAACAUUAUGUGUUAUCCAAGGAAUCACCUGUAUAGAAGGUCCAGGAAACUGGUCUCCUAGUUAUGACAUCCUCAUAGUACCAAAUGAAAUCCACCUUCUCCCACACGUUGCAGAGGAAGCCGUCAAUUUCUUGCUGACCAAGAUAGUUAGCACCUUCAAGCCAGUUGGGUCGGAGAACGCCUACCGGAAAAUGCAAGACUCUGCAUUCUUGAUUCGAAUCCAAGGUGUAGAUAAAGGAAGUGCCAUUAUCCCAUUCGAGGUCAUACAAGAGCUUGCCUAGCUGAUUCUGGAUUAUGUUGAAGUUUCGGCCAUUGGGCCAGUCGUACCAGAGGUCCACCACUUGGAGUUUGCCGGCGCUAGUGUUCAUGAAGAGAAUUGAGUGAAAUUGAGAAGGCCAUGCAGCUGGUGUUGGGUCUUCAGAUUUUGACUCUAUUGAAACACUGGCGGAGGAGAUUAAAAGAAGAAUUAGCAGAGAGUUGAAGGGCAUGGGUUCCAUUGCUGAGGCCAUGGUUAAUUGUUUAUCAUAUUCCAGUUGCAGUUGGUCAAUCCGUGAUUCAACGACGGUUUUAUCCUUAGAAGUUCCGAUAUUUGCAUCUCAGGACCUCCCAGUAUUGGAAAUUCUAUUUUCACCCAUCCUAAAUUUACACUCAGUUGUACUGUCGCCCACUUACAUUUCAUUUUUCUUAUUUACGCACCACCAGCUGUUGUUUUCAUUUAGGAAUGCCAGUUUUCAGCUUCCAAAAGCAAGUGCAACAGCAACAUAUCUCACAAGAUAGACGAAAUCCCUAUGAAAAUAUGAGAGAGAGAGAGAGAGAGAGAGAGAGAGAGAGAGAGAGAGAGAGAACCGUGCUGAGAAAAAUUCAAUUUUGGAAAAUAAAACAUACAUUUCACUGUACAAUUUCCCGCUAUCAGCAGCUCUUGUUCAUCAGGUUGUAGAUUAUGACAAUUAAUACUAUUCUUCUUCAUAUUUUGCCAAUGACAAGCCAAUAAAUCUUCCAGCUUUACAGCGGAACAGAUACUGAUUCCCGGCAACAGGGCUGCCGGGAUUUUUCUUGAUGUCAUCCCACCGUCUUACCCACAGUUGUCCAGGAACAGCACGUGUUUCAGGAGCAGCAUGGCUAUUGAGGUUGUUCAUGACCUUAUCACGCACUGCAGAGAACAACUAUACCAACAAAUAUAUCAUGUAAUGAUGCAGUGAGCAAGGGAAACAGAUUUAUCAUAAUGAAACACCAAAUUUGAAAUUUGAAGCUAUCUUUCAUAUCAUAUCACACAGGGUUUAUGCUCACUGCCUCUGGGGGUUGCUCCAGACCAGUUAACCACUUCCAAAGAUCUGGAUUUUCCUGAAUAAUAGAAAACACAUAUUAAAACGGGAACACAAUAUAAUAUAUUGAUAAAAAAAAACCUCAGCUUAAAACUAAAAGAAGUCACCAAUGGUAAUUGAGAACUAAAAUGUCAAAGCAGACGUUAAAAGAACAUUUCAUUCAUUCAUCAUUAUCUUUAAUUUGAACCUGACACAGAACCAGGUAAAGGCACAAGAUAUUGAAUUAAAGAGCAGUGAAUGUUGUACCAUCGGUUUCAGUUCCGGUAAACAGACGAUUAACAGGAAAUCUUUCCAGCAUAAAAUCCACCUUAAAGCUAGUUAAUCUUAAAAAUGUUUAAAGUUCAGCAAGAAAAAAGAACUCUCUUUUUGAAGCAGCUAAUCUAAACACGCCCAUGAAUUUACGAAAUACCCUUAAAUUUGAGGAGACGAAUGAAAUCACAUAAAAGCUGUCGGAAGCACAAUAACAAAAUGAAUAUCAAACUUUGACCAGAAAACUAAUAACCAAAGGCAAUUUAGAUUAUAAAUAUAAGCGAAUAAGAAAAUUUACCAAGUCAAGGACAUUACAAGUGCCUUAAUCCCACUUUCCAGGGAAUAAAUAUGCUCUUCCACCCAUUUUCCCCAGAACCAAAUCCAGCUCCAGGAACCCUCUCUGCCUACUCCUAUACAACAGCCCGAAACUUGUCUGCGACCCUGUGUUGUGCAUACUUAGCUACAAACCGUAAAAAGGACCAAAUAUUCGGGGAAAUGAAACGAUAGAAACCUGUUGCAUAAACGCCUUUUACUUUCUUCGUUGGUCAGAUCAAUAUCUGAGAAUUGCGUUUCGUUAUCGCUCACAGAUGAAUAACUUGAAAACAAACCAUACUGAGGUCCGGGAGAAAAUACACAUACAAAUUCAGUCAAAAAACAAAUUUUCUACUACGAUCAAAUCAAGAUAAUUAAGAGAAAUUAGGUGGAAACCUGAAAGAAGUUUCCCUGAGAAUGGGGGAGAAAGCAACUGUGGAGUUCCGAGGGACUGUGGCGGAGGUAUUGACGACAUUACAGGCGUGAUAAGAGCUCUUCUCAAGCUUGCCAUUUUUCUUGAUCCGAGUUUUAUUUGGACGUUAAAAAGUUAACCUUCCCCGCCGUGAACGAAAAAGAAAAUGAUGGACUAAAGAGGCAGUGUCGUGGUGGGCUUCAACAGAUUGGGUGGCAUCCAACAGGCCCGCAUACUACGCCACAUUUGAUCCAAAAGGGAGUUGGGCUCCGGUUCAGUUAUUGUCCACUGCCAAAGACAACGUGUUUCUCUGACUAAUUUCUAAUCUUUCUCUCUUUUUUUUUUCUUUUCCAAUUGAAAAAAGAAAAUAAAUAAAAUAAAAAAAGGCAUCGCGGUGGGCAAAUAUCAAAUUUGUCCAUGUCAAUUUGCCAUUUGCAAAAAAUUACUCUAUUGUGGCAUUUUAUGUUUUAUUAAAGUUUUUCGCACAUUGUAAAUUCUGCAUAGAGUUUUUUGUCACAGGGCGCACUUGAGCAUUGCGCCUGUGCGGCACUUGGACAGGUCCCAACGAGGUUACAGCUCGCCAAGUUCAAUCUAUCGAGGAGUUUUGCCAUGCUGACCGGUCUCGCCCUGCCUUGGGCUCAUCAGAGGAGCGGCUCCAACCCCUGACCAGGGUGUGUAGGUACGGCGAUCCCACACACAACGGCCCUUCGAACAACUCCCCACCCAAUCUUUACGGCAACAUUUUCCCUAGCAUGGUGUCACGGCAUCCCCAAGAAUUAUGCAUGUGACAAUCUCCCCACUCAAUCCAUGCUUGCCCUCGAGCAUGUCUGCAAUUAAGCACUUUGAUCCCAGCAUCGUUUCUCCGAAGUGACGCUUUUUCACCCAAGCUACGAGCGCAACGAGCCAAUGGGGACGUCCCUAUCCCGUCAAAACGCAGGCUUCACCUUGCCUUGCCCCACCCGUUGAGGCACCCGAGGAACCCUAUCCUCGCUCACACAGUUGCCUCGCAAUACUUGCUCAGGACACCACCUUCACUUAGUGGGUCCGAUAUAGCACCUCGGUACGCGCAGCAUCAAUCCUUGCUCCCCUCCACCAAGGAAGCUCAACUCAACUACGCGCAGUCACUAUGCUGGUUCUCCACACUAGGAAAGACAACUCCUCUUCUCCUCUGUUCUUCCAGGAUCUUCAGCGCGGGAUAGCAAACAUGCCAUGCAGAAGCCCACCUUGGCUCUGAUACCACAUGUCACAGGGCGCACUUGAGCACUGCGCCUGUGCGGCACUUGGACAGGCUCCAACGAGGUUACAGCCCGCCAAGUUCAGCCUAUCGAGGAGUUUGGACAUGCUAACUGGUUUUGUCCUGCCUUGGGCUCAUAAGGGGAGCGGCUCCAACCCCUGACCAGGGUGUGCAGGUAUGGUGAUCCCACACACAACGGCCCUUCGAGCAACUCCCCACCCAAUCUUUACGGCAAUAUCUUCCCCAACAUGGUGUUACGACAUCCCCAAGAAUUAUGCACGUGACAUUUUUCUUUUGCCUUCCUGCGUAAUGAUUCCCUCUAUGACCUUGAUAGAAUUAUUUUCCAGAAAAAAGAAAGACACAGCCUCACUCGACUGGGUAUUGGUGUUUCGAAUGACAAAUAUCCACCAUUUCUACUACAAGCCAUCGCAGUGAAAAUAAGUCUUCACAUAAGAAGCUAUACAAAAAUCAUUUAAAAUUCUGAAGAAAAAGGCUAUAGAACUUUCAAUUCCAUUGUACACAGCUUGAAUAAGAACAUUGAUGACAGUAAAAUAAAAUAAAAAUCUUAAACGGAAAGACUCAGCUUUAAUCUAGAUUUCAAUCUCAGAUGCUUAGGCGUUUGAGGGCAAUCAUGUGCUAACAAAAUGUAAAUUAACAAAUAAUGAUUUAAAUGGAAAUUAAAUAUUUUAUAGAUCUCGCCAUGCCCUUAUAAUGCAACAGUGACAUCGCUUGCUUUCACUCGUACGAGUAGAAUCUGCAAGGUCUCCACAGGGUUUAAGUUUUUCCCUUUUUGAAUGUUGCAGAUUUGUUCUCAAUCAAGGACAUGCGAACUGGUUCACAGUCGAAUACCAUGUAAUAGGGUAUCAUAUGGUUGCUUCAAAAUUUUAUUUCGCGUCUCUCUGCAAAAAAUUUUCCUGACACUGUCAAAUCAGGAAGCAGGGCAAGCCACACUCCAGUGUCGGCUGCAUCUGGCGUUGAUAUAUUACCAGACCAACCCGUCAUGGCAGUCUUUACCCAUCCUGGACAGUAGCAGUUGAUAUAAAUCUUGUGAUCUUCAGGCUGGUCUGACAGUUCCUUUGUCAUUAUCCUAGUGAAAGCAUUAACUGCAAGUUUUGACACCGAGUAGUCAGUGAACGUCUGAGGCCACCCACCCGAUUUCCAAGUGUCGUCUUCUACUUGCUGUAGGAAAUUAGAUAGAGUCCUUUCAAUGAGUUCUUCUGAUAGUGUUUCAAUGUCACUUAAUUGUUCUCUCAAAGUUGCAUCUUCAAUUCUCUGUUAUGGGCAAGUAAACAACAAUCAGUUUAAUAGUAUCAAAGAAUUUUGUACUUAGUAAGCAUCACAUACACUAAAACAUAAUCUUUUUGUCUUCUUCCUCCAUUUUUUGUCUUCCUUUCGCCCUCUUUCUCUCGGCAGUGGGGCAGGGGGCAGAAUGGAGAGACCAGUGAUUUACACUAUAUUACAGGACCUUCCUAUUUCUAUUUACAGCAAAAUGUGCACAUCUAAAAGAAUCACAAUAACCCAUGCUUGGAUAUGCUUGAAUUUCUAAUUCUCUAUUAGCCAUUAAAAGCUCUGUUGCACGUGCAUGAAACACAGAAUAUUUUGCCCAAAGGGAGGACAAGCAGGAUUACAGAAGACGGGUGGACCCAGAUCAGAGAAUGGAUCCAAGGCCUCUUUAGAUUUUAAUUUUACCAACACUCUAGCAUUAUGUUCCUGAUUGCAUGAUCCGGAUUACAGAUCACUAGCACUUUGUAACAUUAAAAUUAGCAUUUCAAAGUGCAAACUACGAGUAGAGAAUCAAAUUAUUAUCAUUAUUAUGCUGUAAAUAUUGGUAUUUGGACUUCUUUUUGUCGUCUUAAGUUGCUACGUACCAUUUUUAAAUUAGAACUAAUUUUAUGUUCCGUUUUUAUUCCAUAUGCAUGAUCUACAAUCUAGGUAAACCUAAAACUUUGACCCACAUUACAUUGGCAGGCGUUCAGUGGAAGAAAAAAAAAGGAUAAUGAAGCCUACAUAUAUCAUGACAUAUAGAAGCUAUCUCAUCUCUCAGAAAGAGAAAUAAGGAACAUGAAAGUAUAACUUACAUUUCGUCUGCCACUUAUUUUACCCAGGCGCGAGCUCACAUUAACUAUACGAGCACCUGCAGUAGAAGGUCUCAUCAAUGGAAUCAUAGCUUUAGUCACAUUCUUAGUGCCAUAAUAGUUGGUAUCAAUAACCAUUCGAGCAAAUUCAACAGAAUUAUCAGACCCAGUAUUGAAAUUGACACCGGCAUUGUUCACCUGCAAAACAUAAUUUCACAUGAAAACAUCAAAGAAAAUCAAGAUGAUUUCAAAACUAACGACAUGAAGGAAACAUAAAUAAAAUCAAAAUCAGCUUAAGGGGGCUAAUUUACCAGAAUAUCAAUACCACCGUAGGUUUCUCGUAUCCAUUCAGCAAACUGUUGGAUGGACGAAGAAUCUAAGACAUCAAGCAGAUGGAAGACCACACUUAGACCUGAUUCUUGCAAGACAUUAACAGCUUCAAUACCAGCACUACUUUCUCUUGAUGUCAAUACAACUGUCAAUCCAUGAUCUGCAAGUUGUCUCACAAUCUCAAAUCCUAUUCCUCUAUUAGCACCCGUGACCACAGCAAUACUUUCCGAUGACCACCACCUAGAAACAAUCCCCAAUUAGAAAUUACACCACUUUCAAUUCUUAAUUCAGAGCUGUGUUACAUUACAGACGAUGCAUCCCACUGCUAAAACGAGUAAACUGCCUCAAACAAAACAUAGCCCAUGAGACCAUUUUGUUCUUUGGCCCAAUUGCCUACGCACUACGCAUUCAUGAAGCAUGAAUCCCAGAAAUUGACAAAAUAAUUCAGGAGAUAUUAUAGUAAAUUCGAGCUCAUAUCAACAUAAUUGUACAAUGCACAUAGAGCAUGUAAAAACACACAUCUACAGCAGUACUGCACAAAACUCAGGGUGCUGAGAUCUAAGGCAGAAGGGAACACUCAAGGAAAGAGAGAAGAAAGGUACCUUUGGUGAUCGGAGUAGGGAAUGGUUCGGAGAAGUGAAAUCUCUUGGAGUCUCCUUUCUCUUCUUUCCUGGGCUCGCUCUUUAUUUCCCAUAGCUGCGAAAAUUGGCUUAACCGGCCGGUAACUGAGUAGGGUGUUUGUGUUUUAGGUCUCCCACUCGGGAUCUUUUGUUCGCCUUCUUUCUGUAAUGGAGCUUUGAGGAAGCUGGAGCCUGGUCAAAAUCUCGUAGCUAAUUUUUAGGUCAAAUUUGCGAUUUUUGGAUGCCACCUUCUAUUCUGUGGCACCAGAAUCGGAACCAUGUUUAUUUUGGUGGUGGGUUUAAUUUGGUUUGAUGUAUUUUGUGGGUUGAUCUUCUUAGAUGGGAAGAAGGUUUAGCCUAUGGGCUUUGUAUUUUAGGGCGAGCGAUGAUGGCAAAAACCCAAAAAUUUCCUACAUGCACAAAUUUAUUUGCAAUUCUGAACCAUGUCUUACUAACUGGUCUUGAACUUGAGUUAAAUUAGAUUGUGUUCAAUCUAGUUUAUAAGGCCAUCUCCAACGCUGCGCCAAUUUUUAUUUUAGUGUUGGAGAUGGCUCUCCAACGCUGUACCAAAAUCUAACAGGAUUUUGGCGCGUGAGACUGUAGCAGCGCUAUUUUCUGUUUUUUUUAUUUAUAAUAUAAUUUAAAAUUUAUUUCUUUUUCUAUUUUUUUAAAAUUUAUAUAUAUUUUUAAUUAAGUUUAAUUUUUUUCAUUUUUAUAAUUUAUUAUAUUUUUAAUUUAUUUUAUAUUUUUAUAAUUAUUGAAAAUUAAUUUAAAUUAAUAUAUUAAUAAUUAUAAAUAAUAUUUAUAAUAAAUUAAUUUAUUUAUAACAUAUUAUAUAGAAUAAUAUAAAUAAAUUAGUAAAGUGACACAUAUAUUAUAAUUGAACGAUAUAUAUUAAUUCAAAAUACAAUUAUUCACGGUACAUUAAAUAUUUAAUAUUCCGGAAGGUCAAAUCCAGAUCCGGCAAUAUCAUUGAGAUAUUGACCAUACACAUGAGAUGCGGAUGACGGUGGUGGUUGUUGACGCUGAGCUCUUUUCUCUGAUAUUCAAAUUUUUUCUUGGCGAAAUGUUUCACGAGCAAUUGGAUCAGAAAUAGAAUUUAAAUCAAGCAAUAAAAUUUUAUUUUCUUCUUUAAAUUCCUUUAAGUCCAAAGCUCUACCUUUCAUUAGUCUUCCCUUCUCCCUUUCUGCAGUUGCAUUCGCCAACGAUUCCACAAACUUUUCAUUAUCAGCAUGUAAGCAUUUCAGAGCGAAUGAAAAAGAUUCGUCAAGUUUUUUCUUCAAUUUUGCUUUUUUGACACCAAGAGGUCGAUCUGAUGAUGUAUAAUCUCCUGCAAUAUCCUCAUUUAAAUGGAUUGAAAAAGAUGAUAAGUUUAAAGAUGGUACCAUAGGCGAGUCAGGAGUAGGAUUGUCCGACUCUGAGGACACAUAAAAGGAGCUUUGAUUUUGAACUAUUUUUUUUAGAGCUACAAUCUUUAAACUUCUCAGCAUCUUUCAUCAUGCUCCAAACAUGGUCAAAUUUGAAUCCUUUUUUGUAGCUUGGAUCUUACAUUAGUAAAGUUUUCGCUUGAUUGAGCUGCAUAAUUAGAAAAAUGUUAAGAAAAAUUCUAAUAUUUAUGUAUAAAGUAAUUACCAAAAAAAUACUCACCAGAUCUUGCUCUGAAGCACCACUAGGAUGUAGGUUUUCAACUUGUCAAUAACAACCAUUCAAUUUUCUUAUAACCUUCUCAAUAACUUGCAAUCGACAUUGCAAAGAUCGUGGGUUGCGGGACUCUCAACACUCAUUCUUUGCAAUUUCAUAUGCUUCUGCCACCCGACUCCAAAAACGUUGACUAGAUUGUUGUUUACCUAUAAUGGGAUCUUGUGAAAUAUCUAGAUAAACUCCGCAUAAUAGCACAUCUUCAUUGGUAGAAUAUCCUGUAGAUCUUGAAGUCAUCGUUUACAAAGUGAUUAAAUAUUGAAGGAUAUGGCUAACUUAUGGUAAGUUGUAGAUGUUGGCAUUCCAAUAUAUAUAAGUGAGAUGAAAUCUUAGAUAAUAAUGACAUCAACAAUAUUCUGAUAGAUCUUAUCUAAAAAUUGACCGUUGGAUGGAUUUCAUUUCGAUCUCGACCUUCAGAUAGUAUGCACCCUUAUCCCCACAUUUUUCANNNNNNNNNNNNNNNNNNNNNNNNNNNNNNNNNNNNNNNNNNNNNNNNNNNNNNNNNNNNNNNNNNNNNNNNNNNNNNNNNNNNNNNNNNNNNNNNNNNNNNNNNNNNNNNNNNNNNNNNNNNNNNNNNNNNNNNNNNNNNNNNNNNNNNNNNNNNNNNNNNNNNNNNNNNNNNNNNNNNNNNNNNNNNNNNNNNNNNNNNNNNNNNNNNNNNNNNNNNNNNNNNNNNNNNNNNNNNNNNNNNNNNNNNNNNNNNNNNNNNNNNNNNNNNNNNNNNNNNNNNNNNNNNNNNNNNNNNNNNNNNNNNNNNNNNNNNNNNNNNNNNNNNNNNNNNNNNNNNNNNNNNNNNNNNNNNNNNNNNNNNNNNNNNNNNNNNNNNNNNNNNNNNNNNNNNNNNNNNNNNNNNNNNNNNNNNNNNNNNNNNNNNNNNNNNNNNNNNNNNNNNNNNNNNNNNNNNNNNNNNNNNNNNNNNNNNNNNNNNNNNNNNNNNNNNNNNNNNNNNNNNNNNNNNNNNNNNNNNNNNNNNNNNNNNNNNNNNNNNNNNNNNNNNNNNNNNNNNNNNNNNNNNNNNNNNNNNNNNNNNNNNNNNNNNNNNNNNNNNNNNNNNNNNNNNNNNNNNNNNNNNNNNNNNNNNNNNNNNNNNNNNNNNNNNNNNNNNNNNNNNNNNNNNNNNNNNNNNNNNNNNNNNNNNNNNNNNNNNNNNNNNNNNNNNNNNNNNNNNNNNNNNNNNNNNNNNNNNNNNNNNNNNNNNNNNNNNNNNNNNNNNNNNNNNNNNNNNNNNNNNNNNNNNNNNNNNNNNNNNNNNNNNNNNNNNNNNNNNNNNNNNNNNNNNNNNNNNNNNNNNNNNNNNNNNNNNNNNNNNNNNNNNNNNNNNNNNNNNNNNNNNNNNNNNNNNNNNNNNNNNNNNNNNNNNNNNNNNNNNNNNNNNNNNNNNNNNNNNNNNNNNNNNAUGAAGUCAGAUGGAAUCUCAGAUAAUAAUUACAUCAACAGUAUUCUGAUAGAUCUUAUCUAAAAAUUGACCGUUGGAUGGAUUUCAUUUCGAUCUCUAUCUUCAGAUAGUAUGCGCCCUUAUCCCCACAUUUUUCAAUGAAGUCAGAUGGAAUCUCAGAUAAUAAUUACACCAACAGUAUUCUGAUAGAUCUUAUCAAAAAAUCGACCGUUGGAUGAAUUUCAUUUCGNNNNNNNNNNNNNNNNNNNNNNNNNNNNNNNNNNNNNNNNNNNNNNNNNNNNNNNNNNNNNNNNNNNNNNNNNNNNACCCCUAUCCCCACAUUUUUCAAUGAAGUCAGAUGGAAUCUCAGAUAAUAAUUACACCAACAGUAUUCUGAUAGAUCUUAUCAAAAAAUCGACCGUUGGAUGGAUUUCAUUUUGAUCUCGACCUUCAGAUAGUAUGCACCCCUAUCCCCACAUUUUUCAAUGAAGUCAGAUGGAAUCUCAGAUAAUAAUUACACCAACAUUAUUCUGAUAGAUCUUAUCUAAAAAUCAACCGUUGGAUGGAUUUCAUUUCGAUCUCGACCUUCAGAAAGUAUGCACCCCUAUCCCCACAUUUUUCAAUGAAGUCAGAUGGAAUCUCAGAUAAUAAUUACAUCAACAGUAUUCUGAUAGAUCUUAUCAAAAAAUCGACCGUUGGAUGGAUUUCAUUUCGAUCUCGACCUUCAGAUAGUAUGCACCCCUAUCCCCACAUUUUUCAAUGAAGUCAGAUGGAAUCUCAGAUAAUAAUUACACCAACAGUAUUAUGAUAGAUCUUAUCUAAAAAUCAACCGUUGGAUGGAUUUCAUUUCGAUCUCGACCUUCAGAUAGUAUGCACCCUUAUCCCCACAUUUUUCAAUGAAGUCAGAUGGAAUCUCAUAUAAUAAUUACACCAACAGUAUUCUGAUAGAUCUUAUCUAAAAAUCAACCGUUGGAUGGAUUUCAUUUCGAUCUCGACCUUCAGAUAGUAUGCACCCUUAUCCCCACAUUUUUCAAUGAAGUCAGAUGAAAUCUCAGAUAAUAAUUACACCAACAGUAUUCUGAUAGAUCUUAUCUAAAAAUCAACCGUUGGAUGGAUUUCAUUUCGAUCUCGACCUUCAGAUAAUAUGCAUCCCUACCCCCACAUUUCUCCUAUUAAAUCAUGUAUUCUUUAAAGAUAUAAGCAUAACUCAUAUUUUUCAGUUCAUCUUAAAUUCGAGUCAAGAAAAUUCUAUAGAUCAUUACUUAAAAUGGAUUUCUAUGUUGGAGAUACAUCACAUAAUGAUGCUGAAAAUUCAUCAUCGUCUUCUUCAGAUAUUGAUGAUUAUAUUUCAGAUGAUAAUGAGUUUGUAGUGGAAACACAAGCAGUUCAUCAACAAUUUCUUAGAAAAAAGAUGGUUUUGCAGCAAAUACAAGAUCAACAUCGAGUUUCUAGAGGUGGCUCUGUUCUAGGUCAUGUUGUAAUCAAUCGAGAUCGUGAAGCGGCUGAUCGUAAUUUAUUUCUGGAUUAUUUUUCAGAUAAUCCACGUUUCAAUGAUGUAAUGUUUCGUCGACGAUAUAGAAUGUCUCGAAAUUUAUUUCUUCGUAUUGUCGAUGCAAUAAAAGCACAUGAUACAUACUUUGAACAACAAAGAGAUGCAGUAGGUAAAAUUGGAUUAUCUACUCUUCAAAAAAUCACAUCUGUGUUUCGAAUGCUAGCGUAUGGUUUGCCGGCGGAUGGUACAGACGAAUAUGUGAAAAUUGGGGAGUCCACUGCAAUUGAAAGUCUAAAGAGAUUUUGUCGAGCUAUUGUUGAGGUUUUUAGUGAGCAGUAUCUGAGAUCACCAACUGCCGAGGAUGUUGCAAGGCUUCUUUAUAUUGGUGAGCAACGUGGCUUUCCUGGAAUGUUAGGUAGUCUCGAUUGCAUGCAUUGGAAAUGGAAAAAUUGCCCUACUGCAUGGGCUGGCCAAUAUACAAGUCGUAGUGGAUCGCCAACAAUUAUUUUAGAAGCUGUAGCUGAUUAUGACCUUUGGAUAUGGCAUGCAUAUUUUGGAAUGCCUGGCUCUAAUAACAAUAUUAAUGUUUUGGAGUCAUCGCAUUUAUUUUCCGACCUUGCUAAAGGUAUUGCUCCUCCUGCUCAUUAUAUUAUUCAAGGAAACGUAUAUAAUACGGGUUAUUAUUUAGCUGAUGGUAUAUAUCCGAAAUGGUCAACUAUUGUGCAAACUAUUCGUGAACCACAAACAAGGAAGAAGAAGUAUUUUGCAAUGAAACAAGAAUCAUGUCGAAAAGAUGUUGAACGUGCUUUCGGAGUGUUACAGUCACGUUUUGCAAUCGUUGCAGGGCCAUCACUUUUUUGGAAAAAAAAAGUGUUGCAUGAUAUUUUAACUACAUGUAUUAUCAUGCAUAAUAUGAUAAUCGAGGAUGAACGUGAUCUUAGUGCACCUAUUGAAGACGGUAGAGAAUUUUCAGCUCCAACUGUUGAAAUGGCUGUCGAUGAAACUACUCGAUUUCAACAAUUUUUAGCUCGACAUAAAAAAAUUAAGGAUAAAGAUACUCAUUUUGCACUUCGUAAUACAUUAAUAGAACAUUUGUGGGAGCAAUAUACAAAUUUAAAUGAUCAUAUAAAUUAGCUUGUAAUUUUUUAUUGAUAAUUUAAUAUGUAUGAGUUUAUUUUAUUUUUAGUUUGCUAAUUAAUGUUUAAUUAAUGUAUGUUUAUAAUUAAUGUUUAAGUAAUAUUUUUUUAUAAUUAUUAUUUAAUUAAUAUAAUUUUAUAAUUAAUAUAUUUUUAUUUGUUUAUUUAUAAAAUAAUUAAAUAUUUGAAUAUUGGAUGAAAAUAUAAAAUAUAUAAAUAUUUAGAGUGAAUAUAUAAAAUUAUAUGAAUUUUUUGAGUGAAAUAUAUAAAUAAAAUUAAAGUAAAAUAAAUAAUAUAAUAUUAAAGAGAGUGAAGAAUAUAAAUAGAAUAUUCUUUUUGGUGUUAAAAAUGGUGCAGAAAGUUGGAGAUAAUAUUGUACCAUUUUGGUGCAAAGCACCAAAAUGGUAUAAAAAAUGGUGCAUACGGUUGGAGAUGGCCUAAUUUGCUUUAUAUAUAUAUAUUUAUUUAUUUAUUUAGAUUUUUCAUUUAAUAUUUUAUUUUUUAAUUAGGUAUUUUUGGGAGCUAUGCUCUUUUGAGUUAAAAAAGACUUUUUAUGUUAAAUUUUUCUUAAUUUAAUAGAAUAUUUGAUAUUAAGUUAGUUAUGUAUCAACAUACCUAUAAGGACUUAACACUUAUUUGGAUGAGAAAUAAAAUAUGUACCGAUUAAAACAUAAGUUCGAAAAGUGACACUAACUGAGAUUUAUAUUCGAAUUAGAUUCUCUGUUAUAUGUCCAUACUAAAGUUUAAGAGAAUUUAGAACUCCAACUUACUCGAUAAAUAUUAAAAUUUCAUAUUUUAAAAUACGUCGUUUAUGUGUAAGUAGCAGUCGUGUUAGAAUAUAUAAUAAUAAGAGUAAAUUUAAAGAAAAAAAAGAACUAGAGAAAAUGAAAAGAGAGGAAUAAUGAAAGGAAGAUCAAGUCUACCAAAAAUUCUCAAAUCAAAACUUUACAUUUGGGUCAUUAGUUAUGGAUAUUUUUUAGUUUCAAAAAAAGCUCAAUAGUUUUUUGUAACAUUUACUUUUGUAAUUAUCAACAUUAAUUAAUUAAUUGCACAAUUUUUUUUCUAUAAAUAUUUAGUCAAAAUUCAUUAAAUUAAUUUUCAAAUAAACUGAAUUGUAUAAUAGUCUCAACCUUUGUGUUUUAGCUUUGAUAUACGAAAUAUGGAGAAAGCUACACACGUUACAGAAUUUUUAUAUUCAUAAAUGUCCUCCAUCUUAUGGCAUGGAAAUGGAUAGAAUAGAAAAGAAAGGGUAAUUGACCAUCAACUAACAAAUUUUAAAGCCUUAAAGUCCCUUUCCAAUUACUUCAUUGAAUUGAACGCUUCAAUUUUCACAGGAAAACGCCAAAUAAAGCUGUGGUUUGUAUUCCAAUUCUAUAAAAUCGGUGUCAAUUUAUUUUGAUUUCCUUUUUAUUUUCUUCCAAAUUGGAAUUGUUGAUUCAUUAACAUUAGUGCAGUAGAUCGUCACCUGACCAAUUAUACAUUUUCCUUUCCUUUUUUUUCCCCUUAAAAUGUUUUCUUGCAAAUUUCGAUUCCAAAUUCAAUUAUCCGAUUUGCAUGAAAAAUUCCACUGUGGAACUAUACGUGCCGUCGUGUCUUAAGUUUUUAUGUAUGUAAAGCUAAUAGGCUUGUGUGUGGAUCAAAAAGAAAAGCAAAACUUGGGGAGCAAAUGCGAACGGAAGUUAGUCAAUGAUAUCAGGCUGAAAGAUAUGAGUAGACAAGAUUACAAAUCAAUUCGAAAUAAUGAGGUAAGGCCUGAGGUGUGAAAGGAUGUGGACCUACAUCUAGAAUGUUCAUCAUCAGUUGUCUGUUUUCAAGCAUUUCCUUACUGGUGUGUCCUUUUCUCAUUACUCCAUCAAACACGCUGAUUUGUUGGACUUACCAAUUCUUUAUUUUAUUACCAAAUCAUGUUAACAUUUUAUGUCAAAUUCAAGUAACUUAAUUACUAACACGAAUUUAAAGAAAUGUUAUCGAGUAGAUGUCAUUAUUAAUAACUGACUUUUAUAUUUUUAAAAAUUCAUAAUAUGCAUUUAAAUUUUACUAAAGCAUCAUUGGUUUUUUAAAUUAAAUUUUUUUAAAAAAGAAAAUCUGUAUUUAAUGGAAUACUAAUGGUAAAUUGUUUAUAUUAGUAAUGCAAGGACGAAUUUGUAAAAAUUUAUUAAAAUUUAAAUCGAGGAGUAGUUUGUAGAUUUUAUCAUAAUUCAAAAACUUGCAUUGGCAAUUAAUAAAAAAAUUUAGAGAGAAUAAGAAGUGAAAGGGCAGCAGAGGGAGAAAGAGCAGUUCCGUGUCGAUCUCGUGCCGAAGACAUCGAGCGUGCUUGCCAUUGUUUUUCUUUACUUAAUUUAGUUGAUUUGUUCUUUGUUAUUGUUUCGCUGAGAAUAAGAUUUUUAGAAUUUUAAUAGGAGGCGACUCUCUAUACAUGAUUUAUUUAAAAUAAAAAACUUGUGCUCAUUGAAUUUGAAUUUUACAAAAUUGUACUUUAUUUCUUUUGAUUUUGUGGGUUUUACGUGUCCUCCCUCUUCUUCUAUCAUUGUUUUUAUUGGAAUGGUAGUGGCAGUCGUUAUCUAACUAUUCUAAAAAACUAUUAGAUGGGCUAAAUUGAGAUGAAGUGUUUAUUGAGCUGGUUUUCAUUGUUGGAUUAGGGGCUUUGAUUUUUAUUUUUUUUUCUGUAACUGUUGACUCCGUAGGCUUUUAAUGUAAUUUAUUGCGUAAUUAAAAAUUUAGCGUGAAAAUUAUACAAAAUAAAAAGGUCAAUACCCAAAUAGACAAAAUUAUUGGCAGUUCCGUAUAAAGACGCGCUUUUGUCUUUUGCUGCAUGCUAAAAUUUCCUUGCCAAUUCGGAAACGUGGAAUCCUGCAGAAUGCCCACUCGUUCGUCCCUUUCAUAGUGGAAAGAUCCAAUACGGCUAUAACGCUAUCGCACGUUCACACCAAAGCUUCACUCUGCUAGGAGCCAAAGGAGAUCUCUUUUUGCCUGUUCUCUUCAUUUAUAUUCGAAAGCUUAAUUAGACGACGCGGGACUAAAGCUUGAAGCUUUCUUCUUCCAGCUGAAGGGGAAGCCCGAGAGGCGCAUAAUUUCCUCACUAGCCAGAGAAAAGGGGCUAUAGGAAGGCAAAACAAGCCCUUCCCAUAUAUGAUAUUGAACGGAUAAAGCUUCCAUCUUUGUUGGAUUGGAAAUUGGGCAUUCCAAAUUACGGAACAAAUCACUGGAGAAUCAUUUUUGGUACGUUUACUAUUCUUGCCUUCUUAUGAUUUUUCAUUUUUUGAUUUAAGAGGAAAAAUUGAAGUUUAGAACUCUAUGUUGUUUAUGAUGUUCCUGUUAGUCUCCGAUUGUCUUUUUCCUCAUUAAAUGCUCAUUGGUAAGGGAACUCCAAUAACAAGCAAUUCUAAUGAAACUUUCUGCAGCCUUUCUAUGGUUUGGAAGCAAAUUUGAGGGGAAGGAAAAAUUAUCAUCGGAAGUGACAGUUUUCUUUUUCUUUCUCAGUAGUUUUCCGGUAAUUAAAUUGUUUUGGUUUCUAUUCCUUAAACUGUGCAACUGAGUUUAUGAAAUGUUAUAUUGGAAUGGCAGGCGUCAUGGCAAGUCUUUUUCUAGGGAGCUUACGUUCCUUAUCCAUAUUGGUACUGGCAUUUCACACAUAUUAUUCACAAGCCUCACUGGAAAAUGGGGAUAGAAUAAAAUCUGCUACUUUUCUAUCCCCCAAAUUUGUGUUGGGACCAGGAUCAGUUGAGAACAGAUAUUAUCGAAAUAUUGAUUUCCCAAGAGGUCAUAUUGCUCUCAAGAGUUUUAAUGCUGAAGUAAUUGAUGAGGCUGGGAAUCCUGUCCCACUUCAUGAAACAUAUCUGCACCACUGGGUUGUUGCAAGAUACUAUCAACGUUUGGAUGUGGCGGAUACUGACAACAAUGAUGAGCUUCAAGUUCGCCAAUCAGAUCAUCUUUUUGCAGGGAACAGUGGGAUAUGCCAGGCCAAUGUUCUUAGACAGUAUUUUGGCCUUGGAUCUGAAACACGCAGAACAGCUACACAUGUUCCAGAUCCUUAUGGAAUAGAAAUUGGCAAUCCUGCUGAAAUUCCUGCAGGAUAUGAGGAGAGAUGGUUGAUUAAUGUGCAUGCAAUUGAUACUCGAGGUGCUGAAGAUAAGUUGGGAUGCACUGAAUGCAGGUGCGAUCUAUAUAAUAUCACAGUUGAUGAAUAUGGUCGUCCUUUGAGGCCAGAUUAUAAAGGAGGAUUAUACUGUUGCUACGACCACACACAAUGCAAAGUUAGACCAGGUUUUGAGGGGAUUAGGAGGAGCCUCUACCUGCGUUACACAGUGAAGUGGAUUGAUUGGGAUAGUUCCAUCAUCCCUGUGAAGAUCUUUAUAUUUGACGUCACUGAUACUGGGAAAAGGGUCAAUGGGUCUACAGGAAUGGAUCCAACGAGUGGUUGCCAGGUAGAUAAUUUACUUAGGUGGUGUUUAUACAUUAAUUGAAAAUUAAAUCAGGCAUUUAUAUUGCACUUUUUUUAAGUCGCAAAAAUCUUUUUGAUAGGACAACCAUAAUGCUUGAAAAAGGUAGAAAAAUAAAUAAAUUUAAUUUGUCAUCUAUCUUCUAUUGCACUGUGAAUCACUAUGAUUUUUUUUUUCCAGGUUGAAUAUGAGGUGGAGGCUUGCAGCACAACUGGUGUGACUAGUAAUGGGUGCAUUGAUGUCAGAAAAACAAGCCUAACCAUGCCAACUGGUGGGGAUGUCAUAUAUGGCGUUGCCCACCAGCAUACUGGGGGUGUUGGUUCAACUCUGUAUGGAGAGGUGAUUUUUGAUCUAGACUUUCUACUUUGUUAUGCUUUCAUCUUUGUGUAUGUAGCAUCUACGAUAGUAUUUAUAUUUAAAAUACUAACUAGUUUGUGGUAUAUUUAUUAACAUCCCUUUUGAUUACAUUGUACUGUAUAUGAAUUAUGGAAAUUUCAGGUGCUUGCUUAGUACUUGUCCUAGUUUUACAAGACUAAUGUAUCUUUCCUCAUUCAUUUCAUUUAGUGUGAUCUAAAAAUUAGGCCUUUAUGAAGGUUACCAGACAACUACAUGUGUUGCCAUUUGAAUUUUCAGACAACUUCGAUAAUUUUUGCUUUAUGUUUCCUAGUGCAUAUAUUUCAAAAGCUACUUAUGGUUGCCCUAGAAUGAAUCUUAUCCAAAUAGAAUAAUGCCUUUGCAUCUCCUCCGACAAAGUGGUGUUAUGUUCCCAUGGAACAGAAUAACUUUUCAACUAGUACAUUGUCUAUCAGUCAUAAUUUGUACUCCCUGGAUUAUCACUCCACUUCAGAGUUUUUGAUUACAUAAGACAGUAACAUCCUAAUGUGAUCUGUCUGGUCCAAAAUUAUUAGCAAAGUUCCAUUUUUCCUUGGCUAACAAAGAAUUUUUCCUUAUUGCUACAGCUGAUGUCACUUCUAUUAUUGAUCAUGCCAUAAAAACUUAAAUUUACUCGGUUGUAAUUUGGGUUGGUGUCACAGUCACUUUUUUGCCUAACUGCCAAUUAUCUGCAUAUUUGGCGAAUUCAGGAUGGACGUGUUAUAUGCACCUCAGUACCAACUUAUGGGGACGGAGCGGAGGCAGGAAACGAGGCAGGUUAUAUUGUAGGAAUGUCCACGUGUUAUCCUAAACCAGGUUCUGUGAAGAUAGCAAACGGGGAGAAUCUAAUUCUGGAAUCCAAGUACAGUAAUGCUCAAAAGCACACAGGAGUUAUGGGGCUUUUCUACAUUUUGGUUGCAGACCGUACACUAAAGCACACUACUUCCUUAGCUUCUCUUGUUCAUGUAAGUUCUUAUUCAACAUUCAAAUUGUGCGGUUUGUCUUUGUCACAAUCUCUCUCUCUCUCACGCACACACACAAGUUCAAUCAGUACAAGCUUUUGUGGCUAGGAUAUUUAUGGGCCAAUGGAGUCUGGUAAUCUGGACAGGGGUUUUGUUAUUGUUCAUAAGGUUUAGGGAUGCCCAAAAAUGUCUAAAUAAUAUAUUUAGGGACAUCGAUUCUGGGUUACCGACAAAGCCUAACCUGCAAACAUAUCUUGCUUCUUGCAGGUGCAUGAAAGCAUGGAACCGUCGAUACAAGCUUGGGAUAUAAUAGUUCUGUUGGGACUGACAAUAACCCUUGGUGUAGCUGCUGCUGUUCAUUCUUGGCUAAAGAAGGGAAACGCUGAUGGCUACCAACCAAUUCGGGUCUAGAGUUGUGCAGUUGGCUUAGAUAGAUAUUCACAUCAAUAAAAUUCUGAGAAUGAACUUCUAAUUCUCUUUAUAUAGCUGUACGGAUACUUAUGAUCUUCUUAGAGCAACUGGAAUUAAUCAUAUGGAAUGUAAUAUAUCUUGGCAGCAAAACUAUGUCCUCUGCUUUUGCUUAGUCCAAGUUUGUUUUCUUUUUAAUGUAAUAUUUUUAUUAUCUUGAUCAUAUUAAAUAAAUAAUGUUUUUUACCAUAUCUUUUUGUCCUACACAGGCUCUCAAAUUUAGGCUUUGUUUACGGAAAUAAUUAACGAAAUUAAAAGAAUAGAUUAUUAGUAAAAAUUUGAUAAAUUUUUAUUUAUUUAUUUAUUUUUAAAGUUUCCCUUUUUGACAUUUUUUUUUGGUUAGGGAGAGGGGAGAAGAGAUUGAAUAAUUUGUGCAAAGAGAUUUUUAUUCACAUUAGAACUCGCCCAUAGGUCCAGGAAAAGCAAAAAUUGGCCCCGGCCACAAGGAUAUUCUGUAUUCCCUUAUUCGGUUCGGCCCCCCUUCUCUUCUUGCGCCUUGAGAGGCCAGACCAAUAGCUAUUUUAUUGAGAUUGCAGACCUAGCCAAGCCAACAACGCAAUUUCCUUUUCCAUUCCAGUCUCUCGCACAAUUGCACAAACAUAUGGAGGACGUUUUCCGUAGCUUGAAUGGCAAAUAAUACCACCAUCUUUUGGGUUACUGUUUAAUCUGUUUCUCUAUCUUUUACGUGCCCAUAGCCCAAUUCGCUCAUCAGUUCCCAUAAAACCCAUCAAUAACACGUGCCAAUUCAAACUCGUCUGAAACGCAAUAAUAUCUGGGCAAAGUUUCCCCUUUCACCCGCCAUUGGCGCAUGGACUAACCAAAGCUUUUUAUCGCCUGAAACCGCUCCAUUCUCACUCCUUACAUUUCAUGUCCAAUCUCCCUUCUUCCGCAUUUUGACAUCUUUUCUUGGGCCAUCACUUCUACUCAUGAUCCUUUCUUUUUUUUUCUCACUGAUUCCAGUCGAAUUUUAACAGGGUAUUUCAUUGACGGGAAUCUCGUUUCUGUUUUAAUUGAUUCCCUAUUAAUUACUCGGUCAACACGCGGAGAUCUAUACCAACAAACAGGGAAAAACAGCCCGUUUGAUGCAGCUCAUGCGCCUAUCCAGCAGGUAGCGUUUCUGCAAUUUGGGAAUUUUUACCAUGUCCGGAGCGGGUCACGCCGUCGAGCACCGUGUUGGGCUGCCGGAAAUGGAAACGAACCCCAACCGCUCCGGUUGCUGCAACCCCGUUAAGAAAUCGGGUCCUGUAACAAUGGAUCAUGUCUUGUUGGCAUUGCGGGAAACCAAAGAAGAGAGGGAUGUUAGAUUACGGAGUCUGUUUAAUUUCUUUGACGCUACGAAUACUGGAUACUUGGAUUACGCGCAGAUCGAGGCAGGGUUAUCGGCGCUGCAGAUUCCAGCGGAGUAUAAAUAUGCUAAGGAUUUGUUGAAGGUCUGCGAUGCCAAUAGGGAUGGACGGGUAGAUUAUCAGGAGUUUAGGAGGUAUAUGGACGAUAAAGAGCUGGAGUUGUAUCGGAUUUUCCAGGCAAUUGACGUGGAACACAAUGGGUGCAUUUUGCCUGAAGAGUUAUGGGAUGCGCUUGUUAAGGCUGGUAUAAAUUUCACUACUUUAUUGUUUUUAACUUCGAAUUGUUUUCUUAUAGGGACUGCAUUGAUCAAUCACAUUCACAGUGAAAUUGUGCUGUUAAUAACUGUAUAUGGUGAUGCUUUUGAUAUUUAUAUUGAUCGGAAUACUUUAUUUAUGAUAGUUGUUGUUAACUAUAUAUUGCUAAUCAGACGUCCAAUGUAGACUUUUAUUUUUUAUAAACAAACGCAUUGAAGCUUUAGUUUUCUUAAUAGAUUUAGUUUGGAUAGUCUCUUCAAUUAUUCCAUUUAUUUGGAUCCUAUGCUUACAAUCAUGAUCUAGGGUUGGUUGAUAGCAGGCCAUAGGAGAACAUUUUGGGCAUUAUUACUAGCAAUCCGGUUUGCACAAUAUGAACUGAAUUUUUAAUGCCUGAGCUUUUUUUCUUUUGUGUUAGUAUUGGAUUACAAAAUGGGCAAUGUUCCUUCUGUAUGAGUGAGAAAGUCCAUCUUUUGUAAUAGUUGUGUUUUGGGAGCUGCUUGAGGUGGCGGCUGCCAACUUUAUAGCCUUGUAUAAUGUAAUCAAAGUUUUCACUUGCUAUCACCCAUUUAAUUCACUGAGAGUCUUCUAGAAUGCGUUAUUUAGCAUUUUAAGCCAAUGAAUAUAGGAAAUUGUAGGCCAGAGGUUGAUCAUUUACCUAUAUUGCUUUCUUAAUGUUUUGUAUCCAGAGUUGUUAUUAUUUGCUCAAAGUCUAAAUUACCUUUGCCUAAGUGUAAUUAAUAUGAAAACUACUCUAUUGACAGAUUCCAAAUAUCAUCUCAAAUUAACUGAGUUGUCGAUAUUCUCUACCUUACCUCAAUUUUCUUCUCUACUUCUCUAUUUGCUUUCAUGUUUUAUUCUUCUCUUUUCUCUUGCAUUCUUCUCCCUUGUCUCCUUAGGUGUUGCAUUGCAUUGCUUUUGAAAGUCUUCAUCUAUCCUAGACUAUGUGACCUCAGUUAACAAUUAUUAACCUUAAAUGCCCUUUCUAAUUAUUUAUUUAUGCUGGAAACUGUAUCAUCUUGAUGGAAGCUUACUGUGGUAUGGUUACUUGCAUAUGCUGGUUCUUGUUUAUGCUCUGUGCAUUUGCUAGGCCUUGCUUUAAAUGCACUUGUUGUUUUCAUCUUAUAAGCCCUGGCAGUUUCUGCUUCACAGGGAUUGAAAUCGAUGAUGAGGAGCUUGCCCGUUUUGUAGAACAUGUUGAUAAGGAUAAUAAUGGAACUAUAACAUUUGAAGAAUGGAGAGACUUUCUUUUGCUUUAUCCACAUGAAGCUACAAUUGAAAACAUAUACCAUCAUUGGGAAAGGGUAUGCCUUGUAGAUAUUGGAGAGCAAGCUGUUAUUCCAGAAGGCAUCAGUAAGCAUGUUAAUAGGAGUAAAUAUUUUAUUGCAGGGGGAAUAGCGGGAGCUGCUUCUCGUACUGCAACUGCUCCCCUUGAUCGCUUGAAGGUGGUUUUGCAAGUUCAGACAACAAAUGCUCGUCUUGUUCCUGCUAUAAAGAAGAUAUGGAAGCAAGAUGGUUUCUUGGGUUUCUUUCGAGGCAAUGGACUAAAUGUUGUGAAGGUAGCACCGGAAAGUGCUAUUAAGUUUUAUUCUUAUGAAUUGUUAAAGAACGUCAUUGGGGAUUUUAAGGGAGGAGACAAAGGUGAUAUAGGUCCUGCUGAGAGACUUUUGGCUGGUGGUAUUGCUGGUGCGGUGGCACAAACUGCUAUCUAUCCAUUAGAUCUUGUGAAAACUCGAUUACAAAUUUGUGAAGGUGGAAAUGCUCCAAAGCUGGGAGUUCUAACAAAGAAUAUAUGGGUUCAGGAAGGACCACGAGCCUUUUAUAAAGGCAUUGUGCCAUCUCUUCUUGGGAUUAUACCUUAUGCUGGGAUUGACCUUGCUGCCUAUGAAACGCUGAAAGACAUGUCAAAGACAUAUAUUCUGCAUGAUAGUGGUACAUUUUUUUCAUUCCUGUUGUUUAUCAUCUCUCUAGGUUUUAUGAUUUAAAGGGAGCUAUUGUUCUGAAAGCUUUAAAUGCUCUAUAGAACCGGGUCCUCUUGUGCAAUUGGGUUGUGGGACAAUCUCAGCAGCGUUUGGAGCAUCAUGUGUUUAUCCCUUGCAGGUUAUCAGAACCAGGUAUCAUAUGUAGUGUCCAUAUAUGUAUAUAUUUAGUGGAUUGAGAGUGAAGGUUGAAUAUUUCGCUUGUUCUCAGGUUUAUUCCAAUGAAUUUUUGUUAUCUAUCCAGAAAGCUCAAUGUUUCAUUUCUGCUUUGCUCUGUCUUUUCAGAAUGCAAGCACAGCAUUCUAAUUCUGCUGCUGCUUAUAAGGGCAUGUCUGAUGUAUUUUGGAGAACAUUCCAGAAUGAAGGUUUUAGAGGUUUCUACAAAGGACUUUUCCCAAAUCUUCUGAAAGUUGUGCCAUCUGCAAGCAUAACAUAUUUGGUUUAUGAAGCUAUGAAGAAGCGUCUGGAUCUUUGAUUGGAGAUCAUGUCCGGUGGCAACUAAACGUAUUUCAGAUAUGGAAAUAGUCAUAUGAUGUUGACGAAAAUAAUUAUAGGAUUGCUAGUGAAGUAGGCAAUACGAUUAUUGGAGUUAUGGGAUAGACGGUAAUUCCCCUUCAUGACUUGGGGGCACAUAGUUUUGUCUGCAGGAGAUUUCUUUUUUUUUUUUUUUUUCGGAAGCUUAUUAGCAUUAUUAAGGUGGCUUUAAGAAACAAGGAUUAUAUUUAUAUGACAUCAUAAUAUGUCCGACUUGAAGGUGAUGGGCUUUUCCCAUUGCCUUCUGUCACCAUUCCCACUUUCUUUCCAAACUUGUGCUUACGUUAUCUCGAAGAUGACAACUUUAUUUUUCAUUACUUAACGACUCCAAGGAAACAUAGCCACCCUUAUCUUCUGUAAUAACAACUAUCUUUACUAGUAAACCAUAUCACUCACCAGUGCCUGAUUAUAUUUGCUUGUUUAGCCAUAUGUAGGAUGAAGGUUUGGCAGACGUAUUGUGGUAUGGACCCAUGUGUUUAAUAUGGUCAUGGUUCCAUAGCUGUGGCUGUGGAGUCAAAAAAACGUUUUAAUGAAUGCGUAUUGCGAUCAUGGGAUGCGUUUUUUCCAUGCGGAUGUGCCGUUUAGAGCUUUUUAUGUUUAUUCUUAUUUUAUUGUUUUUAUUAAUUUAUUGGUCGAAGCCGUUUCAAGCAGGAUGGUGGGCAAGUGGUCCCCUGUUAUGCGUUAAUGUCUAGCUGUUUCAUUCAUUGCUAUAAUGUGUGAUCUUCUAGUUAAGAUUUUCAGAAAAGCAAAGCGCUGCUAUGUGUUGGCUAAAGCUCUCCUCUACUUGGGAUAAUUAUUGUUGGACAUUUUUUUUUAUUUUUUUUAAAAAAUUAUUAAUAAAAAAUAAAUAAAAUUAAUCGAUGUAUUUUAAUUUGAAAUUUUAAUUCUCUAACUAUAUAUAUAGAGAGAGUGUAGGCCAGAUUCUCAAUUUAGAAAGCUGCAUGCAUUGAUUUUGAUUAGCAUGCGUAUAUGUGCUAAUUUGCAGGACUCGGUCGUCGCUACUUAUUAAUAAUUUGUUGUAUGUUAGUAUCGAAAUUGUUACAUUACUACCAAAAUACCCCGAAAAUUGGAAGAUGGAAAUCCGAACUCGAAAUUGAAAGAUACCUCAAACUGCUUAUUGGGGUUCCAAUCCCAGCUCAUAUGUUUCGAUCAUUACACUUCGGACGUGGUUUCGACUUGGAGAGAUUCAGAUUCGGACGCAUCAAAAACAUGACCAAAUAGAAAUUCUAUCUUCAACUGAAGUUCCUCUGUCACUCGAUUAAUGUUUCAGUAAUAUGAUUUUCUUUUUCUAAUCACUCAUUGGAAAAGCAGUAAGGGCUGUGUUUAAUUUCCUUGAUAAUAUAAUUUAAUUUAAUUUCUCCUAAUUUAAAUAUUACCGGAUUUACUCAUUGGCUCUAAUUAACCUGGAUAUUCAUAUAAAAACGCAUCACCCACACCACACAGCUGUGUAUGGCUAAUUGCCAUCUAGUUUAUUUUCCUUGCAAUGGGUGAGAAAAGAGUGUCUGAACCAUUAGAAAUUUAGAAUAUAUCUUAACAACUUUUAUAUGAAUUCGAUUUACCAUAAACUCAAAAUAUAAGAUCUCACUUUUUUCUAUGUAAAUUCCACAAAUCCAACAAACCGAGCCUUGCAAAUUGUACUUCUUUAGAAAAUAACAAAAAAAAAAGGAAAGAAAGAAAGAUAGCAAGUAGACAUCAAGGAAGUAGCUAUAAACUAACACACAAAACAGAUUGGCAUAGCUUUUACCAGUAGCAUCACACAGCUCCUGAGUGAAAUAUACACACUCAGUUUAUGCCAAGGAGAUAUAAAGUACAAGAAGAAGAAGAAAAGAAAAGAAAAAAUCCGGAAGAAAGGCAUGACCUUCCCUUUGCCUCUGUGACUUGCCUUAAGCCCCCACUUCCACGUCCACCCCAUGAAGAAGAGGAGGAGAACAGAAGAUCGAGGAUUUCACCAUUAUCAUGCCAUCUUCUUCUUUUUUCUUUUCCUCCACAUAUUUUCUUACACUGUCAAAAACACUUCAAUCAGUUCAAAGAGAGCAAGAAAAUAACUAAUAAGUAUCCUGUGCAUUGCUUCUUCUCUUCACAGUAUGCCAUCUAUAUAUAAUGGCCACUGGGUAUAAGAGACCUAUAACAGCAGAGCCAAUUAUGAUUAUUCUUGAGAAUGGUCCACCACCAAGGCAUUAUUCUCUUACUGGGUGAUGCUUAUCCCACUAAGAAUAUUUAUUAUUCUUCUAUCUUCAUAUAAAUUACAAUACUUGAUCUCACAUCAAGACAUACAAACAGCAGGAGAGCCGAGUCAUUUUUCAUGUGGAGAAAAGCUAAAGAAAGAGGAUAAUCA